CAAAGCGGAAAAGGUGUUUCUUCGUCGUCAUUAGACCAGACCAAAUGUGCUCAUAUUUCAAGUAGAUCCAUGACAUAACUUUGUGACCUAGAUACUUAUUGCACAACAGAGUUUAUUUUUCACUAUGUGGUUGGUACGGUACCUGUAGUUGAGACCAGUUGAUUAUCUCUCUCUCUCUCUCUCUCUCUCUCUCUCUCUCUCUCUCUCUCUCUCUCAAAACAAUAUCUGAAGUUCAACAACCUUACGAGCACUCAUGUGGCAUCUUUAUAAUAUGGGGGAGAUGCAUGCCAAGAGCUUCAAGAUGAUAUGUGCGAACUGUUACAAACCAAGGUGUGGUUUUGCCAACCAUCCAACCGUUGUCCUGCAUGCUACUAGAAUAUCUAGUCAACCUCGGAUGCAGAGAGGAGUCAUCGGAUGCUCCUACUAAGGCUUGUCAUACUUUCAGGUCGAACACGUGACAUCCCUUUAGGUUGAAUCUUGAGCUCGCAUUCCCAAUGCAUCCCACUUCUACGAAAGUUGUGCCACCCAUCAUCAUUCUUCUACACCCAACCAUUAAAAUGAACCUUGCUCCCACAUCCAUAUCGAGGUCCAAGCAGCUACGCAAGAGAAGGACAAGCUAGCAUUUGUCUUCAACUCAAGCUUUCAUAUUGCUCUGCUAUGAAGGGCAAAGUGCGUAGGUGGAAAAGGUGAUUUUGAGCUUCCCAGUUUAUGGCAUCAGCCACCUAGUGCCGCGGUAUUUAUAGUGGUAUGUAGUGNNNNNNNNNNGUUUUGAGGUUUCCAGUCUAUGGCAUCAGCCACCUAGUGCCGCGGUAUUUAUAGUGGUAUGUAGUGUAAUGAGACGGCAUCUAAUAAACUUUGAGUUAUUUGCUUGAGCCCACUAUGUUGGAAGAAAAAACGAGUUGGUUUUCUCAUAAAAAUUAAUUGCACAACCCUUCUCUUUACAUAAUUGCUCUUUUGGUAUAUGAUAAUUGUGACCCUACUUAAAUAAUNNNNNNNNNNNNNNNNNNNNNNNNNNNNNNNNNNNNNNNNNNNNNNNNNNNNNNNNNNNNNNNNNNNNNNNNNNNNNNNNNNNNNNNNNNNNNNNNNNNNGCCCAAAUAUAUUUAUGCAACCCUCAUCAAACAAUCUUUAGUAGUCCAGUUGGCGCAGUAGAUAGAAAACCAGACAUAAGUUCUAUGAACAUGGCCUGCAAAACCGUGGUCUGAAUUCAACCUACAAUUCUUAUCGGACUCGAUGGCCAUCUACAACCACAAAGCAGCCACCAAGUGCACCAUUGGGGUCCACACCCUAUUCUGGGCAGAUUGGUGGCUUCGGGAGGGGCGCGUCCAGGAUAUCAUGCCAAGCUUGUUUGGUGUAGUGAAGCAGACCACGGUCAAGCCCAAGACGGUGAGCUGCCAAGCUAUAUCAAGAGAGAGGUGGCAUGACGUAUCGCCGAAUAUGUCGGCUCAGGCAAUACAUGCAUGAGUUCUCAGAUUGGUCGGUCGAGUUUGGAACGUGUAACUAGUGGAUGGAGUUAAAGAAAGGAAAUUUGGAAGUCAAAGGCACCGGCAACAUGCAAGGCAUUCUCUUGGCUCGUGGGAAAGAAACAAUGUUGGACGGCCUACAAAUAGCAACGACGGCUUUUUGCGCUGCAGAUACAAUCACAAGCCACAUAGGUCUUUCGUAGCAGAUCAACAUAAUUACAAAUUAAGUAUCUAUGCAUUGGAGGCUUUAGUUACUUAGUCCUUUAAUAUACUUAGCAUCUUAUCUUAGCACUGAUGCAUUAAAAGUAACCUUAGAUGAACCGGAGCCAAAGCCAUGAAGGCGGAAUUUAUGCAAUGCAGUCAAUGCUCACUUAAAAUAACAGAACAAUUUUUUUAAUAGUCUAGUUGACGCAAUACCCCGCAAAAAAACCCAAAGCAAUUCAUAUAGAGAUAAAAUGUGCCCGGAUCCAUUUCUAACAGAAGUCGUAACCGUCCUUUUCUACCAUGAAACGUAUAAGUAAAAUACAUGCACAUUCAUAACAUAAGGUCCCUUUGUCUAGCACACUAACACUAUAAAUAGUGUGGGGCAGUAGGUGGCCAAUUGCAACCAUUGCUCGCGUCGCAGAUACAAUCAUAAUCCGGACAGUGCCUUUGCAGCUGAUCAACUUCAAAAUUCAUAGCAUAAGUUAAAUCGAUGAUUGGCCCCGUCUCUCUUGGGUAGCCUCUACGGUUAACUUUAGCAGGGUACACGUACUCGGACGAUGAUAGAUUUCGUAGGAAUGAGAUGCGUUGGGAAUGGAAGUAUAGCUCAUUGAUAUUAUCCGACAACCUGCUCAAAACCGUGGUGUGCAUUUUCAGGCUCAGUCGGAAGACCAACUUUCCAUGCAGUGCUUCUAUCAACCAAGGAAGCUACUUCUUGAAAAUAUGUAAGCACAUCGCAUCAUGUCUUCACAUAACACCUGCUCCGGCAAUUGGGGAGGCGAGCUCCCGAUGUAGCACAACUCGAUGGAAACUGAAACAUUUUGUUGUUUAUAAACACCUUGCUGUUGUGUGGUUGAGGGUUGUAUUCUUUGGUAUUGUCGAGUGUAAACCGAGUUUGGUGUAACUUACAGUUUCGCAUCAUGAAGAUGUGAUUUAAAAAAAUAGAAAAGGUUGCUGCGAAAGAAUAGAAUUAAAAUACGACCGAUCUAUGUUCAACUACCAACCGAUCUUGUCCAUCAUAUUAAUUAGAACAAAUGAAGGGCCCACAUUGAUAUAAGGGCACCAUAUCUUCUUGACUCAAAUUCUUAGGCCUCUUCUAAUUCUCCACCUUGUACAGAUGCUAAGGCUGUCAUGUAGGCGAAAAAUCUUAUGUAGCAAGGUAAUUAAGAGGAGAGAGAUGAGCGUGAUAAUCCUAAAAAGAAACAAUGCCAAACACAUGAACCGUAGGCAAAACACUUAAAUGAAAAAAAAUCCAUCAAUGCAUGAAUAACUUUAGUUGCUAAAUCAUUAAAUGAAGGAUGCUUAGCAAUAACAAGUUAAGCAUUUAUGCAUUGGAGGCUUUAGUUACUUAGUCCUUUAAUAUGCUUAGCAUCUUAUCUUAGCACCGAUGCAUUAAAAGUAUCCUUAGCUGAAGUGGAGCCAGAGCUAUGAAGGCGGAAUUUAUGCAAUGCAGUCAAUGAUCACUUAAAAUAACAGAACAAUUUUUUUAAUAGUCUAGUUGAUGCAAUACCCCAGAAAACAAAAAACGAAGCAAUUCAUAUCGAGAUAAAAUGUGCCCGGAUACAUUUCUAUCAGAAGUCGUAAUCAUCCUUUUCUAACAUUAGACGUAUAAGUAAAAUACAUGCACAUUCAUAACAUAAGGUCCCUUUCUCNNNNNNNNNNAGUGGGGCAGUAGGUGGCCAAUUGCAACCAUUGCUCGUGUCCCAGAUACAAUCAUAAACCAGGCAGUGCCUUUGCAACAGAUCAACUUCAAAACCCAUAGCAUAAGUUAAAUCAAUGCUUGGCCCCGUCUCUUUUGGGUAGCCUCUACGGUUAAGUGUAGCUGGGUACACGUACCAUGACGAUGAUAGAUUUCGUAGGAAUGAGAUGCGUUGGGAAUGGAAGUAUAGCUCGUUGAUAUCAUACAACAACCUGCUCAAAACCGUGGUGUGCAUUUCCAGGCUCAGUCAGAAGACCAACGUUUCCAUGUAGUACUUCUAUCAACCAAGGAAGCUGCUUCUUGAAAAUAUGAAAGCACAUCGCAUCAUGUCUUCACAUAAUACCUGCUUCGGCAACUGGGGAGGCGAGCUCCCAUUGUAGCAGAACUCGAUCGAAACUGCAACAUUUUGUUGUUUAUAAACACGUUGCAGUUGUGUUGUUGAGGGUUGUAUUCUUUGGUAUUGUUGAGUGUCAACUGAGUUUGGUGUAACUUACAGUUUCGCAUGAUGAACAUGUGAUUUUAAAAAAAUAGAAUAGGUUUUUUGCAAAAAAAUAGAAUUAAAAUACGACCGAUCUAUGUUCAACUACCAACCGAUCUUGUCCAUCAUAUUAAUUAGAAAAAUGAAGGGCCCACAUAGAUAUAAGGGCACCAUAUCUUCUUGACUCAAAUUCUUAGGCCUCUUCCAAUUCUCCACCUUGUACAGAUGCUAAGGCUGUCAUGUAGGCGAAAUAUAUUAUGUGGCAAGGUAAUUAAGAGGAGAGAGAUGAGUGUGAUAAUCCUAAAAGGAAACAAUGCCAAGCGCAUGAACCUAGACAAAACACUUAAAUGAAAAAAAUCCAUCAAUGCAUGAAUAACUUUAGUUGCUAAAUCAUUAAANNNNNNNNNNAAUGCUUAGCAAUAACAAGUUAAGCAUCUAUGCAUUGGAGGCUUUAGUAACUUAGUCCUUUAAUAUGCUUAGCAUCUUAUCUUAACACCGAUGCAUUAAAAGUAGCCUUAGUUGAAGUGAAGCGAGAGCCAUGAAUGCAUAAUUUAUGCAAUUCAGUCAAUGCUCACUUAAAAUAACAGAAUAAUUUUUUUAAUAGCCUAGUUGAUGCAAUAGCCCCAAAAAAACAAAGCAAUUCAUAUAGAGAUAAAAUGUGCACGGAUUCAUUUCUAUCAGAAGUCGUACCCGUCCUUUUCUAACAUUAAACAUAUAAGUAAAAUACACGCACAUUCAUAACAUAAGGUCCCUUUGUCUGGAGAUACAAUCAUAAACCAGACAGUGCCUUUGCAGCAGAUCAACUUCAAAACUCAUAGCAUAAUUUAAAUCGAUGCUUGGUUCCGUCUCUGUUGGGUAGCCUCUACGGUUAACUUUAGUUGGGUACACGUACCAUGACGAUGAUAGAUUUCGAAGGAAUGAGAUGUGUUGGGAAUGGAAGUAUAGCUCGUUGAUAUCAUCCGACAGCCUGCUCAAAACCGUGGUGUGCAUUUUCAGGCUCAGCCGGAAGCCAACGUUUCCAUGCAGUACUUCUAUCGACCAAGGAAGCUACAUCUUGAAAAUAUGAAAGCACAUCGCAUCAUGUCUUUACAUAACACCUGCUCCGGCAACUGGGGAGGCGAGCUCCCGUUGUAGCAGAACUCGAUUGAAACUGAAACAUUUUGGUGUUUAUAAACACCUUUGUGUUGUGUGGUUGAGGGCUCUAUUCUUUGGUAUUGUCGAGUGUAAACCGAGUUUGGUGUAACUUACAGUUUGGCAUGAUGAACAUGUGAUUUUAAAAAAAACCAGAAUAGGUUGCUGCAAAAAAAUAGAAUUAAAAUACGACUGAUCUAUGUUCAUCUACAACCCGAUCUUGUCCAUCAUAUUAAUUAGAACAAAUGAAGGGCCCACAUUGNNNNNNNNNNUAAGGGCACCAUAUUUUCUUGACUCAAAUUCUUAGGCCUCUUUCAAUUCUCUACCUUGUAUAGAUGCCAAGGUUGUCAUGUAGGCGAAAUAUCUUAUGUGGCAAGGUAAUUAAGAGAAGAGAGAUGACUGUGAUAACCCUAGAUAGAAACAAUGCCAAGCACAUGAGCCUAGGCAAAACACUUAAAUGAAAAAAGUUCAUCAAUGCAUGAAUAAAUUUAAUUGCUAAAUCAUUAAGUGAAGGAUGCUUAGCAAUAACAAGUUAAGCAUCUAUGCAUUGGAGGCUUUAGUUACUUAGUCCUUUAAUAUGCUUAACAUCUUGUCUUAACACCGAUGCAUUAAAAGUAGCCUUAGCUGAAGUGGAGGAAGAGCCACGAAGGCGGAAUUUCUGCAAUGCAGUCAAUGCUCAUUUAAAAUAACAAAACAAUUUUUUUAAUAGUCUAGUUGAUGCAAUACGCCAAAAAAACCCAAAUCAAUUCAUAUAGAGAUAAAAUGUGCCCGGAUUCAUUUUUAUCAGAAGUCAUACCCGUCCUUUUCUAACAUUAAACGUAUAAGUAAAAUACAUGCACAUUCAUAACAUAAGGUCCCUUUCUCUGGCACACUAACACUAUAAAUUGUGGGGUUGUACGUGGCCAAUUACGACCAUCGCUUGCGUCGCACAUACAAUCAUAAACCAGACAGUGCCUUUGCAGCAGAUCAACUUCAAAACUCAUAGCAUAAGUUAAAUUGAUGCUUGGCCCCGUUCUCGUGGAUAGCCUCUACGGUUAACUCUAGGUGGGCAAACGUACCCGGACGAUGGUAGAUUUCGUAGGAAUGAGAUGCGUUGGGAAUGGAAGUAUAGCUCGUUGAUAUCAUCCGACAACCUGCUCAAAACCGUGGUGUGGAUUUCCAGGUUCAGCUAGAAGACGAAAGUGUCCAUGCCGUACUUCUAUCAACCAAGGAAGCUACUUCUUGAAAAUAUGAAAGCACAUCAUGUCGUGUCUUCACAUGACACCUGCUCCGGCAACUCGGGAGGCGAGCUCCCGUUGUAGCAGAACUCGAUCGAAACUGAAACAUUUUGUUGUUUAUAAACACCUUGUUGUCAUGUGGUUGAGGGUUGUAUUCUUUGGUAUUGUUCAGUGUAAACCAAGUUUGGUGUAACUUACAGUUUGGCAGGAUGAACAUGUGAUUUAAAAAAACAGAAUAGGUUGCUGCAAAAAAAAUAGAAUUAAAAUACGACCGAUCUAUGUUCAACUACCAACCGAUCGUGUCCAUCAUAUUAAUUAGAACAAAUGAAGGGCCUUGGUUCUCCUCCUCCUCCGUCGGGACCUGCAAACCAACCCAUCACAUUAGAGAUGCACACCUGCCUAGGAAAAGAAAUCGCAUGCCUGCAUCAGGGAUUGGGAGAGGAAAUUGAAAUAGAGAGAGGGGAGGACCUUGAUGCUCAUACUUGUCCUGGGACUGGGUCUGGAUCACUGGAGGAAGAAAGGAGCUUGACGAGCACAAGAGCGGCGUCCAGGGCAGAGGAGGCUCCGCUACAUGGUGCCUUCCUAUAGAUAAGAGACGAGUUUGGGUUAGACUUCAGAGAGGUAGAGAAGAAGAGAAAGAAGAAUAAGAAGAAGAAGAAGAAAAAGGUGAGAGGUUUAUACCGUAGCACCGUCGUGGAGCCCUCUUUGCUCGGUCGGUCGCCAUGGCCGGCAGCUAGGGUUUCUGUCGCUAGGAGAGAGGGAGGAUCUGACUGUGGUCUUUGUUGCUCGAGCGGAUCUAUAGGCGGGGAGAGGAGGGGAGGCGGCGUCGGCAGUGGAGUGGAGGUCGGGGUUGGGGAAGACAAUGGAGGCCGGCGAUAUUGAUAUCACGCUGCGGUCAAUGCGAGCGUGGGGGAGGCAGGUGUGUUCGUGGGUCGCGCGUCUUUUUUUUGGCCUUUUGUCGGGCUAGGAUGGGAGAAGUAGGCGUGGGAGGGGCGAUCGCAGGUGGGUACGAGCGAGGUUGAACCAUCACGGCAACGGCUGAUUCCCCUUUAAUAGUAGAGAUUUGGAAGAGUCGAGGCUCCAAACCUGGACAACCAAACUUGCACAAUAUCGAGUUCGCAAUCAAGCUCAAGUAUUAAUGCUAGCGUUUCAUGGCGCAUUAACCUUUUGUUAGCAAAGGAAAAGGAGUAUAUCAUUACUGUCUGAUCUUCGAACGCGCUAGCAAAACCGUUGGCAUCCUCUGGGUUGAAGGUGAUCUGACGAAUAGUUCCAGAGUGUUCAUCCUCAAAAGUUUGUGAGCACUCACAGCCUUUUUCCAAGUUCCAAAGCCUAAACGGUCUGUCAUAAGGAGAUGACAGCACAAACGGCUGGGUUGGAUGGAUGGUCAUUGCUGUGACCCCUGAAAAACCAGCUCUGAAACUCAUGAUCUGUGUACUAUCUCUGUUCCGUAGGUGCACACAUUGAUGAAGGCAUGAAGCCAUCGUCUGCACCAGCCAGAAACCAUUGCUUCUGUGCGAUAAAUUUAAGGAAUUUAAGUGUCGCUGAUAGCCCUGAAAUUUGAUUAUUGAACCAUGGGAUUUGAGAAGAAUCAACGACGUAGGAGCCGUCUGACAAAUGUUUCCUAUCAGACUUUUGGUAAGAAGUGUUUGCGAAGACUAAAGGAUUGUGCUACUAAUCUAAUCAAAGUUAGCUAAUCAAAGUUAGGAAUGAUGGCGAUGAUGGUAUACAAAGUUGCAAAUCACUGUCUAACUAUGUAUUAGAAUUUACCGAUUGUCUAAUUUUUAAUUUUGACGGAACUCGUUGUCAAUGUAACCAAUUAUACUCGACUCAUUGUCUCUACAUGGCUAAUGGCUUCUACAAGUCUACAUGAUUGGUCUGAUUGAGUACCCCAGGUUGGUGGUGCUUGAAAAGGGGAAGGCCCAGGUAUAGUUGUUGCCUCCACCGCCUCUCCUCUCUUCUGCCACUAGAAUUCUAGCUCACUUACGUGCUCCGCCUCCUUUGUUCUUGCUCCAACACCUCUGCAUGGUUCUACAUAUCGGAGUCAUCCCACGUUGAACCACCCACAUGAUGUCAGAGGCAGUUGCNNNNNNNNNNNNNNNNNNNNNNNNNNNNNNNNNNNNNNNNNNNNNNNNNNNNNNNNNNNNNNNNNNNNNNNNNNNNNNNNNNNNNNNNNNNNNNNNNNNNGGGGGGGGGGGGGGCAACCCACCCCGGGGAAGCCCAUAGGCAUUGAGGGUGGCGCACCAUCCCUUAGUGGGCUGGUGGGACAGCCCAAAAGGGCCCUAUGCGCAUUGGAAGAAAAAUCAAAGAGAAAAAAAAAGGAGGAGGUGGGAAGGGAAGGAAGGACUCCCACCCACCAAACCAAGUCCAACUCGGUUUGGGGGGGGAGACCUUCCCCCCUUGGCUCGGCCGACCCCCUUGGGGCUCCUUGAGCCCCAAGGCAAGGCCCCCCCUCUUCCCCUAUAUAUACGGAGGUUUUAGGGCUGAUUUGAGACGACUUUUCCACGGCAGCCCGACCACAUACCUCCACGGUUUUUCCUCUAGAUCGCGUUUCUGCGGAGCUCGGGCGGAGCCCUGCUGAGAUUAGAUCACCACCAACCUCCGGAGUGCCGUCACGCUGCCGGAGAACUCAUCUACCUCUCCGUCUCUCUUGCUGGAUCAAGAAGGCCGAGAUCAUCGUCGAGCUGUACGUGUGCUGAACGCGGAGGUGCCGUCCGUUCGGCACUAGAUCGUGGGACUGAUCUCGGGACGGUUCGCGGGGCGGAUCGAGGGACGUGAGGACGUUCCACUACAUCAACCGCGUUCACUAAUCCCCUCUCGUAGAUCACUCAUCCCCUCUCGUAGAUGGACAUCACCAUGAUAGGUCUUCGUGCGCGUNNNNNNNNNNCUAUACUGAUACACUCCACUCACAAUCAUCCUCAUAUACCCACCUAGUUAAUCUCACUUCAACAUCCAACCCAUAUGUGGCAACUCGACAACAUGUGUUGAUCCGUGAGCAUAUAUAAUAUGACAACACUACCACAAAGAGAAGAUAAUAAAUUCUGAUGAAUGUUGAGCUACUCCAAUGUCCCACCUUGAAAGGUACUCCGUUCAUCCCAAAAUAUAAGAUAAUUUUUUACACUAUCUAGUGUCAGGGACCAAAUCUCAAUCUCCAUUUAAGAAAGGCAUAGGACAACCAUAGGGUGUCGACCUUCGUGUUUCUGACCGGACUGCCUGAAAAAUGUUCACCAUCCUUCCAAGUUAAACUCAUAUUUUAAUUAGUAGAAGAUUAAACAGAUGUUGUACUUCCUCCGUCACGGUUUAGAAGGCACAGUUAAACUUGCGUGCGUUUCCAAAAUAGACAAGGUUUAAGGCGUGAAAGCAAUUACUCUUAUUAAUUAGUACUAGUACUAGUCAUGCAUGCGCCCUCCCAAUUUGCUGCUCAGACAUUAGUACUAGUAUUUUCUCAGUUGAUUAGGUGCAUUAGCAUUUACACCUGCUACAUCUCACAACCAAUCGAUGACUACCUUGGUCCCAGAGAUUUUCAAGUGUGCCUUCUAAACCGUGACGGAUGAAGUACUGUUGAUGCAUUCAAGAAACAAAUUCUGACAUAAAUGAUUAGUUACCAGAAUGAGAAGAUGUGCCAUGCACCACUAAAUAAAAUAAAUACUAAUUCGUCUCUUAUUUUUUCCCAUUUUAACCAUGAAACAACAACCAGUUAAAGUGUUCGACAAAUCAGAUCAUGCUUGCUCUGGUAGAACAGGCUAUUCUAGCAGAUGUCAAUCUACUCAAAAACUUGACAACUAUGGUCCUUCCGCAGAUGCUAGCAACAAUAGACAGUCGUGGAUAAUUUCCUUUGAUCAAAAUGACACGCCACAUUGUUCCACUAGUCCGUCGGUGGGAUGGUUGAACUGAGCUCAAUCAGUACAAACCACUCGAGCAUGCAUCGAGCAAGGAGAUGCCAAACUACCUUGCAUUUCUGUUCAACUUGGCAGAACCAAAAAUUUCAGUUCAUGGCGUGCUAGCAUAGCAUAUGCACACUGAUGAUUAGGAUGUGCCUCGCAUGGUUACAUUAAUUUGAGUGCAAAAUGGUUUAAUAGAUUCACUGUGGGCGCCAGCAAACAGAAAAAGAUUAUUGUCAAGUAUUUGUUUCCUGUGAAGGAUAUCUCUGACUUUAAUUAUUUGUUGGCUAGAAACCAAGCAAAAAAUCUUCUGUUUUCUCUUAGAGCCUGUGGAUAUUGUUUUUAGACUAAUUGUAUACGUUGCCAACAGAAAACGUUUCAGUUUGCUUACCGCUUCCAGCCACGCCUCACGCCUGUCAACUAAAAAACUACUGAUAUUCAAAAAAAAUACUGAUAAGUUGGAAACCGACANNNNNNNNNNNNNNNNNNNNNNNNNNNNNNNNNNNNNNNNNNNNNNNNNNNNNNNNNNNNNNNNNNNNNNNNNNNNNNNNNNNNNNNNNNNNNNNNNNNNACUCCUUCGAAGAUACCACANNNNNNNNNNCCGCCAACCGACAAGGUGGUUGGUAUUUUUUGAUAAAGGGAAUUUUUAUCGACUCAAAAUGUAUCAUCAAAUGAAAAACAAACUUAAAGAAGGUGAAGAAGACAACAUAUUAUCAACAGUGUGAUCAUAUAGGACCGACACUAUGUUUAUGUCAAAGAAGGUGAUGGACCAAUCCAAAAAUUAUGCUGCCAUCCAUAUUGGAUAAAGACUUCUAUGAUCAGCCGCUCCAACCGCAUACACACCGCUUUAAACAUCAAUCGGUACUUCGUUCGGUGUAGCGUAGACCAUGUACGAUGUGAGGGCAAACAACACAAAACAACCUCGGAGGUGUUUUUGCCCUCAAAAAACAAGUUAUUUCUUCAUAACCAAAGCGCUUAUAAUAAGACAUAUUCUUCCGCCCGAAUUAGCAUUAUAAACCUGUUUGAAUUCCAUCCAACGAAUGACCAAUAAUAUUGAUAACACUUGUGGAAGGAUACAAAUUAGACGCUAUUCGGUCAAUGAAUAAGUAGAACAUGCAAAUUUGUAUCGAAAAAGAGGGUUUUAUUAUUAUAUCGUCAUGAAUACAUAAAGUCUUCUUACUUCCUUGCCAAUNNNNNNNNNNUAAAGAUUUUAACUUCAAACGAAAUCUUUGACAUCCAAUUAUUUUUGUUAUUAUCCAUUGAAACCUCUGAAUGCGUGAACGCAUGGUACAUAGAGUAGACUGUGAAGGACCUAGAUGUAGUAAGAUUCCAACAAAACAUGUUCCGUCCUUGUGUUAGGUUAAUCGGCUCCAAUCGAGAUAACAGAUUUGGACAUGACAUAAGAUGGGGGCUAAUCAAAUCCCCCCGNNNNNNNNNNGAAAGAUUUUAACUUCGAAUGAAAUCUUAGACAUCCAAUUAUUUUUGUUAUUAUCCAUUGAAACCUCUGAAUGCGUGNNNNNNNNNNNNNNNNNNNNNNNNNNNNNNNNNNNNNNNNNNNNNNNNNNNNNNNNNNNNNNNNNNNNNNNNNNNNNNNNNNNNNNNNNNNNNNNNNNNNNNNNNNNNNNNNNNNNNNNNGAAAGAAAUAUUCGGCGAGAUUGAACUGAGCACCUGUACCAGAGUAUCAUUUCUAUCGUGAAUAAUGUGAUACAAAGUUGUAUAUUGUUCUCGAAAGCUGCCAUUGANNNNNNNNNNUCGCGAAGGAUACAAAGUGGAAAAGGUGUUUCUUCGUCGUCAUUAGACCAUACCAAAUGUGCGAGUCAUCAUAUUUCAAGUAGAUCCAUGACAUAACUUUCUGACCUAGAUACUUAUUCCACGACAGAGUUUAUUUUUUACUAUGUGGUUGGUAUGGGUACAUGUAACUGAGACCGGUUGAUUAUCUCUCUCUCUCGGAAAACGAUCUCUGAAGUUCAACAACCAUAGGAGCACNNNNNNNNNNNNNNNNNNNNNNNNNNNNNNNNNNNNNNNNNNNNNNNNNNNNNNNNNNNNNNNNNNNNNNNNNNNNNNNNNNNNNNNNNNNNNNNNNNNNAGGUCUGAUAGGAAGAUUAGCAUGACGUACCUUUGGGAGGGGCGACCGUUUGCGNNNNNNNNNNAGUAUCCGGAGCGGGCAGGCGGCGGAGACGGACGACCCAAGUCCGGCGGCGGUGAUCGAGAUGGACUCGUGUUGUGCUGGACGACGUCAUGUGGAGGGCUUGCACGUGAUCUGCUCUUUUUCACUUCCUUCUGCAAUGUGCGUAUAUAGUCAUCAGGCUUAUGGUGUAAGUCAUACUGUGAUGGAAGGGUCGUGAAGUAUUUUGCAAAUGCUAUUUGCUUCUAGGUGUAUUCCGGGCGGGGCUCGGGUUCCUUCUUUUUCAUCUGCGCAUCAUGAUGUUCCUUUGCUAUCCUCGUGUUUUCCUCGGGGGUACGAUCAUAAGGUCCGAUAGGAAGAUUAGCAUGACGUACCUUUGGGAGGGGCGACCGUUUGCGCUUUGGGGUGCUCUGUGGCUUAGGAAUCGUCGGCGGAGCGUUCUUGGUGGCACGCUCCCGCUUUAUAUUCGUGGCAGGCUCAGGCUUUGUAUCCGGAGCGGGCGGCGGCGGAGCGUUCUCGGUGGCACGCUCCCGCUUUGUAUCCGUGGCAGGCUCAGGCUUUGUAUCCGGAGCGGGCGGUGGCGGAGACGGACGACCCAAGUCCGGUGGCGGUGAUCGAGAUGGACUCGUGUUGUGCUGGCCGACGUCAUGUGGAGGGCUUGGAGGUAAUGGAGGUGUAGGUGACCUGCGACGACUCGGAGGCGGUGUUGUCCUUGGGGCCGAGCCUGGAAGCUUGAUGUAGUUCUUGUCCCAUAGGAUGACUCCACCCAGUACUUCUCCGAGUGUCCUCUCAUCUUCGGGUCCAGCUAUGUCGAGCUCCAUAUCAUUAAACCCCAUCAUGAUUUCAUCCACCCCGACUUUAGCAAAGCCAGCUGGAACCUCACGGCCAUGCCAGCGUGCAUCAGGGCCAGAAGGUAAAGCUUGUCCGACGGCCACCUUCAUGGAUAUGUUCUUGAAUUUCUGAUGGAUUUCACAUGAUGUUGACUCCUUGAUUCCAUCCACGGGGUAGCCGGGAUCGCCCUCUAUCAUUCUUCGUUCAUCGUCGGGCGGGGCCUCAGAUUCAGCCACACUGCUUUUCCGCUUAGAUGGGGCGCCGGUAAUAUCAAGUGCAGGAUCUUCCUGGCGCGGUACUCCUCUAAGCUCAUCAAUCUGCUUCUGUUGCUCGUUAAUCCUGGCAAGCAACUGGUUGAACUUGUCAUUCUCCUCAUCAUGUUGCCGCUUCUUUGCUCUCUCUCGGCUUCUGUAAGUGUCUUGGUCUCUGGCAAACCCAAGCCACCACGGGUAAGAUGGACCGAAGCCUCGCGUUCGUCCUCCAUGUUCGUCAUUGCCGAGGACCAGUGUGAGCAAAUCUUUAUCUCUAUCUGCAGUGAACUUUCUUUGUCCCUCCUUAAUUUCUUUCACUAUCCUUUUCCAAUUCUCCCUGGUAUCAUAAGAUUGUCAUUGCAGAUGAGGUCCCCUGUUGUUUCGUCGUACGACCCACCAUGCGCAAGGAACCAAUUUCUUGCUCUCAAUUCCCACUCAUCACGGAGUGGUUCAGGUACGAUGCCUUUAUCUAUCAGAUCUUGCUCUUUCUUUUCCCACUUUGGGAUGGCAGUCUCAUAGCCCCCUGGCCCCGGCUUGUGGUGAUAUUUCUUCUUGUCAGCAUUUAUCUUGUUCUUUUCUGAUAAUGCCUGGGCAUCUUCUGACUCCUUGUACUCUUGAAAUUUCGUUGCCUGCUUGGCUAGAUACCCCUCGAUGUCUUCAGAUAGUUUUUCCAUAGCUUCUUCUUCCAGCUACAGAACAGUUCAGCCAUCUUCUUUAGAGUCCACUACUUGACUUUGGCCCUCAGUUUGUCUGCGGCGUCUUCAUUCUCACAUUCUGGCAGGUUGAAAUGUGACAUGAGAUCAUUCCAAAGAUUAUCUUUGUACCUUUCGGCGACAUAGUCACUAUCGGCUGCACCUUUGCACUUGUUUCACUCCCGAACGCUGAUCGGGACGUGAUCCCUAAGAAGAACUCCGCAUUGCUUCUUGAAUGUGCUAGCAACAUUCUUAGGAAGCUUGGGUUCGCCCGUAGGCAUUAUCACCUCAAAGGUGUAAUGCGUCCGUGCAUCCAACUUUCUAGUCGGGCCUCGUUUCGUAGAUUUGCUCGAUGUGGAAGCCUAAGAGGGAAAAACAUUCGUCAAAUGAAUGUAUAUGUAUACAGUAUAGAGCUAUCUCCAAUAUUUUUCACAUAUUACAAGUGAUUGUCGAACUUCAUAUGUAUACCUCGCCGUACUUUAUUAUUUCUUCAACGACUUCUCCACCGCCUUCUCCAUCAGUGGAGCUAUCACCUUCUCCGUCAUUGGACCUAUCUCCUGCCCCAUCGGCUUCAUCUUCGUGUCGCUCGACCUCCAUUCCAUGUCCGGAGUCGUUUAGAUAUGACGUCGGAGAUUCGGCUGGUUCAACGUCGGGGCCGUCUUUGAUUAUAUCUUCGAGAAGUUCUUCCUCUUCGAGGUUCCUGAUAUGUGGAUCCAUAGUUCUGCAAAAAACGGACAUUUGAUUAACUAAUAAACUAACAAACUAUAUAAGAGGGGUUGGAAACUUCGAAGGCUCGUUUUAUAUAGGAGGACCUUUAGUCCCGGGUCUUGGCUAGAACCUAAACUCUAAAAUACCAGCCGGGCGGAGCACAGUCCCGGACACUUAAGCAUAUACAAUAGCAAAAUUAAACUAGUUCUAUUAAUUUUCUAGCUAAAAAUAAACUAUUAACACUUAAGCAUAUACAAUAGAAAAAUUAAACUAUUAACACUUCAGCAUAUACAAUAGCAAAAUUAAGCAAUAAUCUAAGAAACACUAUUAACACUUAAGCAUAUACACUAUACAAUAGGAAAAUUAAAUGACAAAAAAAAUAUUUCUUCUUCUUGUAACCCUAAACUAAUUUUUCCUCUUCUUCUACUUCUUCUUCUACUUCUACUUCUCCUCUUCUUCUACUACUUCUCCUCUCCUCUUCUUCUAUUUUUCCUCUUCUUCUCCUCUCCUCCUCUUCUUAUUCUCCUUUUUCUUCUUUUCUUCUCCUCCUCUUCUUAUUCUCCUUUUUCUUCCUUUCUUCUCCUUUUCUUCCUUUCUUCCUUUUUUCUUCUUUUCUUCUCCUUUUUCUUCUUUUCUUCUCCUUUUUCUUCCUUUCUUCUCCUUCCCCUUUUCUUCCUUUCUUCUCCUUUUUCUUCCUUUCUUCUCCUUUUUCUUAUUUUCUUCUCCUUUUUUUCCUUUCUUCUCCUUUUUCUUCCUUUCUUCUAUUUUUCUUCCUUUCUUCUCCUUUUUUCUUCCUUUCUUCUCCUUUUUCUUCCUUUCUUCUCCUUUUUCNNNNNNNNNNUUUCUUCUUUUCUUAUCUUUUUUCUUCCUUUCUUCUCCUUUUUCUUCCUUUCUUCUCCUUUUUCUUCUUUGCUUGUGCUGGCCGGAGUGUUGGGCAGGAGGGGGCGUGGGGCUUACCGGACGGAGGUGUCGACGGCGCGCGGCGAGGAGGGCGGCGCGCGGCGAGGAGGACGGCGGCAGCGAGCACGACGACGGCGACGGCGAGGAGGACAGCAGGCUGCGGCGAGCAGGACGGCGGGCAGCCUGACGGCGUCGUCGAGUUCGUCGCUUGCCGUGCCGGGCAGGAGAACGAGAGGAAGAAGAAGAGAAAUGGACGAUUUGGGUUCGAAAUUUUCUAACUCCCGCUUAUACAGGUGGAUCUUUAGUCCCGGUUCGGGGCUCGAUCCGGGACUAAAGACCCCUUUAGUCCCGGGUGGAGCCACGACCCGGGACUAAAGGCCCCUUUUCGGGCAGACCAAAAGGCGGGAAGCAGGGGCCUUUAGUCCCGGGGCGCGGCAAGAACCGGGACUAAAGGGGGUCUUUAGUCCUGGGUGAAGCCACGUCCCGGGACUAAAGGCCCUUUUUCGGUAGACCAGAAGGCGGGAAGCAGGGGCCUUUAGUCCCGGGGCGUGGCAAGAACCAGGACUAAAGUGUUGCCUAUAUAAACCCUCGCCCCUGCCCACCAUAUCCCCUGUUUUUUGGUUGUUGAAGUGUGACCAUGCCAUGCUCUUGCCACUCUAGUUCAUGCACAUGACGUGUUCGAUGAAAUGCCCGAGCCACUCUACUUAAGCUUUCUCCUCUCCAAGCUCCAUUUUCCUUAAUAUUUGUCUAGGUUUGGCCGUGCACCAACUCCGAGCACCACCGUGGUGAGCCUCUUGUUCUUAUCUUCUUUUUAAAAUCAAAAAAAUCUUACUUGUAUGAUUUAGAUACAUACUUGUAUAAAUUACUCACUUUCAUUAUUUUUUGUUAUUAUAUAGUGCGAUGGUUUUGGUAUCCGCCUCCGUCGGCCCUCGUCCUGUCUAUGAUUCGGAUGUGGUAUAUAUUAUCUUUUAUAACUAUUUGUUUUAUUUAGUGUUUAUGACAAUUAUGAUGACCAAUGUGACAUAUUUUUUUUUAAUCUAGGAGGUAUGUGAACCAGAAAUUCCAACCCACAUAAAAAUUCUUGUCGAGAAGUCAAAUUUGGUUGAAAAAGAAAACAAAUACUUGCAGAAAAAAUUGAAAAUAAUUGAGGAUAAGAAUAUGGAACUGGAGUUGCAUGUCGCCGAUGUCAUCGAUGAUCGCAAGAUGAAGAUCGAUGCGAUGCGGUUGAAGAUGGAUGCAAUGCGCUUGAAGAUGGAUGAAAUGCGCUUGAAGAUUAGGAAUAUUAGAAAAUAUGCCAUUGAUAAAGAGGCUUGGUAUCAUUAUGCUGUUGGGUAAAUUGUUACCUUAGUUGCGAUUUUGAUCGCGUUUUUUGUUGCAUUUAAAUGUUUUACAUAGUUGUAUGUUGUUUUAUGAGAGAACUUUGUGUAUUUAUUUUUUGCAAUAAUAACAUUUGAUCACUACUGUCCUUUGGCUUUAAUGUGAUGAUGAACUUGUAUUAAUUUGGUCAUAUGUUCUCCAAUGGUUUUUUGAUAUAUUUAAUUUCAUAAUAGAGAUGAAUCGCCAAUGAUAAUAUUUAAUUUCAUAAUAUGGUUUUUUGAACUCCAUACUUUUUGUGUGUUCAACAAUUUCUAACUUCAUUUGGUAUAUUUCGUGCAUUUACUUAUUUUUUUGAGCUAGUUGACCCUGAAAUUGAAAAACACUACAAAUGAACUCUGAAAAUGUUGAAAGUUGGCAUGCUAUCAUCANNNNNNNNNNCACCCUGAAAUUGAAAAGCACUACAAAUGAACUCUGAAAAUGUUGAAAGUUGGCAUGCUAUCAUCAUUUCACCCACAUAGCAUGUGUUAAAAAGUUGAGAGGGCUACGACAAAAACUGGAUGCACUUCGUGGACAAAACGGACAAUCUCUCUCGAAGUAUCAGGGUUUCGAACGAGAACUCAUCUCUUACAAAGGCAUUUCAUUUUUUUGAACUUAUUUGAACUCCAUACUUUUUGUGUGUGCAAAAUGCACCAUUCAAAGUCACAUCACAAAAAAUCAACAAUUUAUGACUUCAUUUGGUAUAUUUCGUGCAUUUACUUAUUUUUUUGAGCUAGUUNNNNNNNNNNGCAAAAACUGGAUGCACUUCGUGUAUAAAACGAACAAUCUCUCUCGAAGUAUCAGGGUUUCGAACGAGAACUCAUCUCUUANNNNNNNNNNNNNNNNNNNNNNNNNNNNNNNNNNNNNNNNNNNNNNNNNNNNNNNNNNNNNNNNNNNNNNNNNNNNNNNNNNNNNNNNNNNNNNNNNNNNAAAGAUAGUUGGGAGUCUUCGCUAUUUGGUACACACAAGACCUGACAUUGCGUUCGGAGUUGGCUAUGUUAACAGGUUCAUGGAGGCUCCCACGACUGAGCACUGGGCGGCUGUUAAGCACCUGCUAAGGUACGUGUCUGGAACGCUGAACUAUGGAUGCAUAUACAAGAAAGGGGGUGUCGAGCCACAGCUUGUAGGCUACAGCGAUGCAGAUUUUGCUGGAGAUGUUGAUGACAGGAAGAGCACAUCAGGGACAGUGUUCGUCUUUGGGGGGAGCGCGAUCAGUUGGCAAUCUCAGAAACAGAAAGUGGUUGCUCUCUCCUCCUGCGAAGCCGAAUAUAUGGCAACAACCACAGCUGCUUGCAUUGGUGUCUGGCUCCGGCAAAUGCUCGCAGAUCUCCUCGGGGAACCUCAAAGGAAGACCAUGCUGCUCAUCGACAACAAGUCUCCGAUCCAACUUUGCAAGAACCCUGUCUUUCACGACAGAAUCAAGCACAUUGAGACUCGGUUUCACUUCAUUCGCGAGUGUGUGCAGGACGGAAGGGUGGUCGUCCACUAUGUCCACACCGGCGAGCAGCUCGCCGAUAUUCUCACAAAGGCUCUGCCUCGAGAGAAGUUCCAGGAGCUGCGAGAGAAGUUGGACAUGGUAAACAUCAACAGCUGAUUAGGGGGGAGAUUGUUGGCUCUAACAGCUGCUGGAGAGGAAGAAGAAGUUCAGAAGUUCAGAAGUUUCAGUGUCGAAACUCUCUUCAGUUUCGACAGUCAUUUUCUUUCUGUCAGUUAGAAUAACCGAGCUGCGUCUUGGCCGUAGUUUGUUAGCUGUUAUCGCGGCCUUGACUUGAUCGUGGGAUGGCACGAAGUAGAUGGUCAAGGCCGUUAGAUGUGCGACGCGCGAGGAUCGCUGGGAUGGCAGCGAUCGUGACUCGGGCCUCGCUAGUUUUCCCUUAUUUUCAGGAGUUUCGUUGUAGCUCUGAAUAAAAGUAACGAGAGCAGAAAAGCUGCAGUUGUUCGCAGCGCAAAACACUCUCCCUCACUGCAAUCGUAAUCUCGCCACUCUCUCUACGAUCUCCACUCCCAACAAAUAACAAUGCGAAAGCAAUUUAUAGCACAAGACUAAAAUUCAUGGAAAGGAAACAAAAUACAAAACCAAAAUCAGGACCCAAGCCUUGUAAUCACGGGCAUGUACCUGCAUCUUACGCAUCUCAAAUCGACCAAUAAAAAGUGUAACUGAUAACAUGAGGUCGAAAACAGUUUUAAACAAACUGUUGAGGUCCUGCAGAACAUAUCGACAAAUAGUCAGCCAUUUUUAUAACAUCAAGUUGAUAAUAAGUUCUUAUGUAUAGGUCAAGAACAUACCCAGAAUAUCAACAAACCAUGUCCUGAAAAUCCGAUUUCAACAGUUUCUUCACAUUCUCGUACUCCAAAAUUGUUGAAGGAUGAGUUAGAGCCCAUCUAUACAACAAUUCAAGGAAACAAGGAGAAUGAAUGAGUCAGUUACAUUGAGCAUCUUUUUCUGGCCUAUUUUCUUAUCUACUAGACAAAUAAAGUGGUCAUCAUCAUGUCCAACUUCUCAGUAUCUUAAUAAUUAAUAAUUACCCGAGGAUAUCUUAUUCAGUCACACAAUAUUAUUCACUAAAGCAUAUUCGUAUGAUGUAUAAGUAAUAAACUAAAUACAACACCUUUUAGUUUUUUCCCAAGGUUCGCCAACAACCAUUAGCAUUUUGUUAAGGGGCCAUGGACGUUGACAAUCAUAUUAUAGUUCUCCUUAGAUGAAACACUGACGAAUAUAUUGCAUUUCCUGAGAAAGCAUUGAGGCUAUUGCAAAAAACGGAUCAGGAGGCUCCCACAGCAAUUGAUGUGAGGCCUGCUCCUGCCGCCGCUGUCGGGGGGCAUCGUCGGGCAAAGCCCGUGUGGUGUGGAGCAUCGGCGGAUCUCCCGGCCAUAGAUCGGAUUGAGGUUGUGGCGUUCUGCACCGGCCUUUCAACGACAAUGCUGCGGGGAGGCGGCGGCCAGGAUUUGCGACCUGCGAUAGCGGACGGUCAAGGUGAGUGGAUUGCAGCGGCAGUGGACACGUCCAAUCUAGGCUGAGAUGGGUUCCGACUAGCAGUCACCUACGUCGUUGUACCGGCUGCAUCUCAACGUCUCCGACGUUAGUUUGCGGGUUCGUGGGCUUGUCCCGCAGCACGAGGAAGCCAGAGGCUCCGACCCCGGCGACGGCGUUGGUAGCCUCCUCCUCCACCGGAGGUGGUCGACUGGCUGGUUGUGGCAGAUCCCUAGAUCCCACGGCUAGCCCCGGCGCGCGAGUUGGGGAGGCGUGAUUGCCGGUGAAAACCGAGCUUCGACAAUGGUCAUGUUAGGCGAUGGCGACAUCUACGGGGCGUUACUUCGUUGAAGGUAUCGCCAUUGUAACCACCUUCUACUCACUCGUGUUGCUUCGGGGGAAAUCCCUCACGCGGAUGAUGGAGGCGCUCUUGGUGUAGAUCUCCCUCAUGCGGGCAUUGUUUUGGAGCAGCUGCUAGUCGAAGGAGGCAAGCAGUGGAGGGGUGUACAUCUAUCGUGUCUGCGACGCUGAGUCUCGGCGGCGUGGCGCAAUAGGGUCUUGGUGAUGGGUGUGAGAUGAUGGACUCGCGCAGGGCGGGGAUGCUGUCUGGCGUCGUGGUGGCGUCGACGGCAGGCCUACCAAGGUCAAUGCGUCAGUACUUGCUCUGAAGAUGGAUCGAUGGAAGACGGUGGUGACGGCCUUUGUAGCGGGUGCAUGUGGUGCCAGCUAUGAGUGCGUCAGACCGGUGUAUGCCUCAGACCUAGCAUUACGGCUUGGUUGAGGUCUUCAACUUUAAAUGUUACGUUUUGGUGUGUGAGGUCUGGGUAUAUGGCUCAGACAAUCCGCAACCCUUUAUCAAAUGGAUAGAAGUAGCGACAAAUAUUGUUAAGACGAUGGCUUCGGACCUAUUGAUGUACUAUCUUUUAAAGUCUUGGUCAAUAAUUAAUAAAAUGAUUGCAUGCAUCGUCCAGAUGCACAGACCGGGGUCAUCCUCCUUUUUCAAUAAUAAGAUAAAAAAUAUAUUGUGUUUCCUUUUCAUCGUCAUAAGUUCCCUCUUAAGAUGACAGAAUGCAAACUUAUAUGUUGACUUGUUUAUAGUACAUUAAAAAGAUCUGAUCUACCAGAUGGAUGUGUUCAGACAGUAGACAUACCCAGUUGACCGCUCCACGCCAUAAUUGGCUGUGUAAAAGCCCACAAAGAAUAGACAGGUGAAAUGAAGUUGAAGUGUUCACAUCCAUUGGAAGCAUUCUGCAACAAACAUACAAGAUAAAAAUAGAACAGUAAAUAAACAUAAGAGAUAUCCAAGCACGAACAGAAGGUGAAGUACUCCCUCCGUCUCAAAAUUCUUGUCUUAAGUUUGUCUAGAAAUGGAUGUAUCUAAAUACUAAAACAUAACUAGAUACAUUCAUAUCUAGACAAAUCUAAGACAAGAAUUUUGGGAUGAAGGGGGUAUAUACUAACUUCUCUAUAAAUGGCCUAUUUCGAGAGAAGUGGGUAAUCACCGGCAGAGCCAACCGGAGCAAACCAGGACGAGCAAGUCUUGUCUUUAAACUUAUGCAAUCGCAAUAGCUUUGAAAUCAGUGUAUUAUUGUUUUCUCUGCAGUGAAAAUGCAACUCAGCUAGAAGUUGUACGAUCAAUAGAUUUGUCCCUUGAAAGAGUCCUGUUACCGCAGUGGCUGUAGAACACGCAGCAAGCUAUACCUAUCACCUGUGAUGUGAUAGAAAAUGCAGAUCUUAGAAAAAUCACAAGUAUCUAAAUAAGAUGAACGGAAACGUGAAUCGUUGUAUGCCAAAAAACUUACUGCACAAUUUUGGAUUAUAAAUAGCUUGUUCUCUGCCAUGAAAGAAAAUGCAGAUCUUAGAAUCUCUAGCUUGUUCUCUGUCAUGCGAGUCAAGCUGACAUGCGAGAAACAAGACCCAAAUACCAGAGGCCAAGAAAUACGACAUGGAAGACGAUCAAGAAAACUAGAGAGGAAAUAUAAAUAGCGAGGAACAGGGAAAGACUCAUCCUCAAAUCCAACCCCAUUGAUUGAAAACUACGGAGAUGGUAUAGUGCUGCAAAAAAUAUAUACCCAAGCGAUGUACCUGCAUUCACAAACAACCUCAGGGAACUAACUAAUACAUCUUGUUUUACUUAAAAUAUCUUUUCAAAGACUCCAGAGAUUACUUACCAACGACUAAAGUUUGAAUAGUUUGGCUUGAUAGUCUUCCUAAUCAUGAAAUGUCUCGAGUGCUCAUGUGGGUAUGGGUAUCCAUGAGUCAGAAUGGUCCUAACCCUCUCCAUUUUAAGGGAUUCAAUCAGAUGACCAACGGGCUGCUUAUGGAGCUUUUCUCUUCCAUUAAAAAUAAUGCACACAAAGUGAGUGAUAGUUCAUACUCCGAUUCAAAGCAACCACAGAGGGCCCUUUGUCACUGGAGAAAAAUCAUAAUGUCUACGUGAUAGCGCAGAGAGAUGAUCUACAAUUCAUCUGUAAAGGUACUUAUUUUCUGCCUUCAAAGCUAAUAGUAGAGCACUUGGCGAAAAGAAAGAAGAGAAUCCUACUCCCUCCAUAUCUAAAUAAUUGUAUUUGGAAGAAUUAAUCGGGUUCUUUCGAACUAUAAUUAUUUAGAUAGAGAGGAAGUAGAAGUUAUGCAGAGUAUUCUCUGCAUACUGCCACAGCCACUGAGUAAACCCGUAGUACCCUGACCAUGUUGGCAUGAUAUCUAUCCUACAAGCUGUCUCAGCAGCUCCACACUCAAGCACGUAAAUACUACUGGUAGUAACAACCAUCCAUGCGAUAUGCAAUAUAUAAACGAAUCCUAGGAGGCUCGUAAACAUUCCCAGGUAGCGUUUUUGACGCCCUCCUCCUCGGCUCGAGGAGACCUCGCCCGCCGCCGGAGGGAGCCCGCUCGCCCGCCCCCUCCUCCUCCCGUCCAGCGCCGGGCAUUGGGAUCUCGCGGCUCGCUCCACCCGCGCCACCCCGCCCAAAUCCUAGCCGCCGUCACGGGAGAGUCGUGUUGCUGCAGCAGGAUCCAACGAAUCUGGAGACACGCACCGCGCCGUCACCGGACCCCCUCUCCGCCCCCACUCCCGCUUCGCCGCUGCUGGAGGGGACGCAGGCGAAGCCGCGCGCGCCCCGGGGAUGGCGGCGGAGGGGCCCCUCGCGUGGCCCUCGGGCUCUGACGGCAGCGCCCCGCGUCGACAGUUGCGGGAUCCGGUGUGAUCUCGCCAAUUGGUGGUGGCGGAGGGCGGAUCCGGGGCUCCAUGGCCGGAUCUGGCGGGGCACUCGGCCCUGGUGGUAGGGAGAGGCAGCCGGGCGCGACUGCGCUGGUCGGUUGGGCACGAGCAAUGUCCAGGCCGCGCGGUGCAGUGGCCUUGGUUGGGGGUUGUGAUGGUGCGUGGCGGCCAUGCUCAACGGUCGGUGAUGGUGGAUAUCGAGCGCAGCUCCGGGAGAAAUCCUUGCUCCGGUCUUCAUCGGAGUCGCGACGGCGACGCCCGCGGGUGCCGCUAUCUUUCUUGGAAGCGUCGUUGUAGAAGUGUGAUGUUCCCCUUCAUCGGCCGCUGCCCGCACCGCCACGUGCGCCCCCAGGUCCUGAUCUGUGGGCCUCUCUCCUGCGGAUUGACGGUGCCGGCGUGGUUGCCGGGGCCCUUCCUGCGGGUGAAGCCGGUGGAGGAGAUUCGGAUUGGGGAAACCCCUCGGUUGGCCCAGGCCCGCCAUGCCAACGACGACGCUCAAGGGCGCCGUUAUUCUUUUUGGAGACGUCGGUAUACAUCUGCUCCUCUGCCCCCCUUCCUUGCCUCUCGGGUGAAAAUCCUAACUUCGGUGGGCGGCGGCGGCGUCCUUGACGUCGUGACCUUCCUGAAGGCGUCGCCUUGAGGGCUGAGUGGUGGUGGGCACUGUGUGGGUCCUGAACGGUUGCUGGUGUGUGGGCACUGCUUCGGGGGAAACCCUAGGAUCUGGUCUUCCAGAUCGGACGAUGGCGGUACUGCGGUGCCGUUUCUCUCUUGGGAGCAUCGUUUGUGGAGGAGCGCUGGCAGACUGAGGCAGGAGGUGGUGCGGCUUCGUCUUGCACGGAAUUUCAAUGGAGCUGUCAAGUCAUGUCUGGCCGACACGUGCUACGCUAAGUCAUGCCUGGUUGGCAGGUGCUACGCACGAUAGAUCUCCCGGAGUCUUUGCAUCUGGACGGAUGGGCGCAGGGCGGUGGCGCCGUUGGGUGCCCUGGUAGCGUCGAAGGAUGAUUGGACUGGCAAGGAUGAUGCGGAUCUCUUUCCUGAAGAUGGAUCAGUGGUUCGAGGAUGAUGGCGGCUGGUAAAAUGUGUGCGUGAGGUGUGUGUUUUAGGUGUGAUGCACCGGCUGUUGUUCCCGAUACGUUAUGUGGAUGGAUUGAAAACAACACCGGUCUUAGAUAUGUGGAGUGAGAGCACUUCAUAUUAUCAAAUUUGUAGGUGUGAGUGGUGGCUUUGGAUGGAUUGAUGUAUAAUCUUGUUAAACCUUUGUGGAAUAAUUAAUAAGAUGGACACAUGCAUCAAUUGAUGCAGAGGCCGGGGGUUUGACCUCUUUUUCAAAAAAAAAAAAAAGGAAUCCUAGGAGGGGAAACUGGAUACAAACUGAAGGAGCCGAUUAAGCAUAUGGAUCCAUGCAUGGGAAAGGGACACGAUCGAGGCAAUCAUUAGCAGAGACAGAAACCUAGUCUUUAGUGUUGUUUUCCCUUCAGCAGAGACAGAAACCUUGUCAUUAGCAGAGACAGAAACCUAGCCCAAGUAUAAUAGACAGUAUCUGUGAGAAGAACAGAGAUCGCAACACCUUUAUAUGCCGGAGACGGACGAACCCGAGAAAGCAGAGCGAGUAAACAAGGCGGGCAUGCAGGAGGAUGUAACUAAACUAAACUGGUGGAGGUGGUGUAGAAAGCAGAGGAAGCAGAUCUGAAUUGGGCGCGCCCCUAACCCCAAUGCAAGCAAUGAAGGAAUCGCAUGCAGCAGCAAAGGGAGGAGGCUCUGGCUAUUUUGGCGUGCCCAAUUAAUGAUGCGGGAAGAAGGGGACGAACGCCUCUGGCCUGCGGCGAAACUCGGGAAGGUGGGCAAAUCUUUGGCAGCCCUGAAUCUGCCCCUGCUGCACCUCUCUGCUCUGCUCUGCUCUUGUAGCUAGCCGGGUGAGUGCGGUGGCGGUACAGUGGUGUCACGUCGGAAUAAAGCAGCAGCAGCCUAAAUCCUAAUGUGUGAUCGGUCGGCGUCUGUCUCCAAACCUCACUGACUUUUCUUCCUGCUCUCUGCUGAUCUCUGCUGCUUUUUGAUGCAGGAUACAGCGGGGAUGAGGGAACAAUACAGCACACUAGGUGAGACGCAGAGCCUGCAAUUGCUAAUCCACAUCUACAACUCUAGACUUAUACCCUCCGCCGUCCGUCGAUCGACACGUCGGUCACGCAACCUUUAUUCGUGCUUCCCUUUGCCCACAUGACCAUUAUUCUCCCCAUGCAUGUCAGCGCUCCUGUCCUCUCGCACCGCACCGAUUCCAUUCAUGCAUGAAAGCUUUUGUACUCGGCCAAAAUAAUGCACACCGACUGAGCCCGACGGUUAAGAAUGGCCGAACGGUUCAGCUUCUUCACAACAUCAGUAGUAAUCUCGAUAAACAUAGUAUUCCUGACCUCCUAUUUUUUUUUUUAUUACUUCUCCUACCGUUUGACACAUUUGCAGGCUUGAAUUCAUAUCCCUGAUACAUUCCAUUUCACAACAUUAGCAUUAGUAUGUUGAUAAACAUAGUACUCAGCGAAAUUGCAUACCGCCCGAGCUCGUAUUUGUUAGACUUAACCCUGUUGUUUAUAUUUUUGUUACGGUUUUAUUUCCGAGUUUGCAUGUAGAUCAAGCUGUGGCAUGUGCACACCUAGAGAUGUGAUCACGUGUAGACAUUGCAAAGCUUGUUAGUCGUGUAUGUAUAUGUCAGUGUGUUAGCACUAAUAGAAAACAGGGCUAUCGUUCGGCCCUGGCCAGCCCAUUAGUCCCGGUUCUUCAACCAAUGGGGGGGGUAUUAGACCCGGUUCGUGAGCCCAGGGGGCGGCCGGGGCCUCGUGGGCAUUGGUCCCGGUUCGUGUAGAACCAUUUGUCUCGGUUCGAGCCACGAACCGAGACCAAUGGUCCUCGCUGCUGGCCCACAACCAUUGGAUUGUUUUUUCAAUCCGGCGAGGAGAGGGCAUUUGGAUGCUCUAGUUCACCUCCCAUGUACAUGAGGUGUUCGAUGAAAUGCCCGAGCCACACUAGUUAAGCUUUCUCCUCUCGAAGCUCGAUCUAGGAGCUCCAUUUUUUUUCGAGAUUUGUCUAGAUUUAGGGGUCCGUCACGCCCCGUCCCCGUUUUCACCGCCGUUGAUCGCCCGCGCCGAUCUCGUCGCCGGCACCACCGUGGUGAGCCUCUUGUUCUUAUCUUCUUUAUGAUACUUGUCUGAUUUUCUUACUUUAGAUAGAUAUUUGUCUGAUUUCCUUAAUUUUGACACACAUAAUUAUAUGUAAUGCACGCAGAUGAACCGGCAAUGGAUGUAUGGUGACAGACACACCUCCGAGUACAUUAAGGGUGUGCAUAUUUUUCUCGAAGUGGUUGAGGCAAACAAGCAGAAUGGUUUUAUGUGUUGUCCAUGUAGUAAAUGUGGGAAUACGAAGUCUUACUCUGACCGGAAAAUCCUUCACACCCACCUGCUUUACAAGGGUUUCAUGCCACACUAUAAUGUUUGGACGAGGCACGGAGAAAUAGGGGUUAUGAUAGAAGACGACGAAGAAGAAGAGGACGAUGACAACUAUGUGCCCCCUGAAUACGGUGAUGCUGCAACGGCGGGAGUUGUUGAAGAUCAAGAGGAACCAGACGAUGUGCCCGAUGAUGCUGCAACGGGGGAAGCUGCUGAAGAUCAAGAGAAACCAGACGAUGUGCCCGAUGAUGAUCUCCGCCGGGUCAUUGUCGAUGCAAGGAUGCAAUGCGAAAGUCAAAAGGAGAAGCUGAAGUUCGAUCACAUGUUAGAGGAUCACAAAAAAAAUUUGUACCCCAAUUGUGAAGAUGGCAACACAAAGCUGGGUACCGUACUGGAAUUGCUGCAGUGGAAGGCAGAGAAUGCUGUGUCUGACAAAGGAUUUGAGAAGCUACUGAAAAUAUUGAAGAAGAAGCUUCCAAAGGAUAAUAAAUUGCCCGACAGUACGUACGCAACAAAGAAGGUCGUAUGCCCUCUAGGAUUGGAGGUGCAGAAGAUACAUGCAUGCCCUAAUGACUGCAUCCUCUACCGCGGUGUGUACGAGGAUUUGAACGCAUGCCCGGUAUGCGGUGCAUUGUGGUAUAAGAUCAGACGAGAUGACCCUGGUGAUGUUGACGGCGAGCCCCGCAGGAAGAGAGUUCCUACGAAGGUGAUGUGGUAUGCUCCUAUAAUACCACGGUUGAAACGACUGUUCAGAAACAAAGAGCAUGCCAAGUUGAUGCGAUGGCACAGUGAGGACCGUAGGAAAGACGGGAAGUUGAGAGCACCCACUGAUGGGUCACAGUGGAGAAAAAUCGGAAGANNNNNNNNNNNNNNNNNNNNNNNNUCGGAAGAGAGUACUGGGGCUGAGUUUGCACGUGACCCAAGGAACGUAUGGUUUGGUUUAAGCGCGGAUGACAUUAAUCCUUUCGGGGAGCAGAGCAACAAUCACAGCACCUGGCCCGUGACUCUAUGUAUGUAUAACCUUCCUCCUUGGAUGUGCAUGAAGCGGAAGUUCAUUAUGAUGCCAGUUCUCAUCCAAGGCCCUAAGCAACCCGGCAACGACAUUGAUGUGUACCUAAGGCCAUUAGUUGAAGAACUUUUACAGUUGUGGAAUGGAAACGGUGCACGUGCGUGGGAUGAGCACAAACAGGAGGAAUUUAACCUGCACGCGUUGCUGUUUGUAACCAUCAACGAUUGGCCCGCUCUCAGUAACCUUUCAGGACAAACAAACAAGGGAUACCACGCAUGCACGCACUGUUUAGCUCACACCAAAAGUAUAUAUCUGGGAAGCUGCAGGAAGAAUGUGUACCUGGGCCAUCGUCGAUUUCUUCCGACCAACCAUCAAUGUCGAAAGAAAGGCAAGCAUUUCAAAGGCGAGGCAGAUCACCGGAAGAAGCCCGUCAUGCGUACCGGUGAUCACGUACUUGCUAUGGUCAAUGAUUUACACGUAAUCUUUAGAAAGGGUCCCGACGGACUAGCUGUUCCGAGUGACGGUGGGGGACACGCACCCAUGUGGAAGAAGAUAUCUAUAUUUUGGGAUCUACCCUACUGGAAAGACCUAGAGGUCCGCUCUUCGAUAGACGUGAUGCACGUGACGAAGAACCUUUGCGUCAACCUGCUAGGCUUCUUGGGCGUGUAUGGGAAGACAAAAGAUACAACUAAGGCACGGGAGGACCUGCAACGUUUGCACGAAAAAGACGGCAUGCCUCCAAAGCAGUAUGAAGGUCCUGCCAGCUACGCACUUACCAAAGAAGAGAAGGAAAUCUUCUUUGAAUGCCUGCUUAGUAUGAAGGUCCUGACUGGCUUCUCGUUGAAUAUAAAGGGAAUAAUAAAUAUGGCAGAGAAAAGGUUUCAGAAUCUAAAGUCUCAUGACUGCCACGUGAUUAUGACGCAACUGCUUCCGGUUGCAUUGAGGGGGCUUCUACCGGAAAACGUCAGAUUAGCCAUUGUGAAGCUAUGUGCAUUUCUCAAAGCAAUCUCUCAGAAGGUGAUCGAUCCAGAAAUCAUACCAAGGCUAAGGAGUGAUGUGGUGCAAUGUCUUGUCAGUUUCGAGCUGGUGCUCCCACCAUCCUUCUUCAAUAUCAUGACGCACGUCCUAGUUCAUCUAGUUGACGAGAUUGUCAUUCUGGGCCCGUAUUUCUACACAAUAUAUACCCCUUUGAGAGGUUCAUGGGAGUCCUAAAGAAAUAUGUUCAUAACCGCGCUAGGCCAGAAGGAAGCAUCUCCAUGGGCCAUCAAACAGAGGAUGUCAUUGGGUUUUGUGUUGACUUCAUUCGUGACCUUAAGAAGAUAGGUCUCCCUAAAUCGCGGUAUGAGGGAAGACUGACUGGAAAAGGCACGCUCGAAGGGGAGACAAUAAUAUGCAGGGACGGAUAUUCUUGGUCUCAAGCACACUGCACAGUUCUACAGAACUCUACCUUGGUGACCCCUUAUGUCGAUGAACACAAGAACAGUCUGCGCUCCAAACACCCGGAGCAGUGCGACGACUGGAUUACAUGUGAACACAUCAGGACUUUUAGCAGUUGGUUGGAAACACGUCUCAGAGAUGAAAACACUGUUUGUGAUGAGAUGUACUUGUUGUCCAGGGGACCAUCUUCGACUGUUACGAUUUGGAAAGGAUACGAGAUAAAUGAGAAUACAUUUUACACGAUUGCCCAAGAUCAAAAGAGCACCAACCAAAACAGCGGUGUCCGCUUUGAUGCAGCCACCGAGAGGGGAAAUAACACAUAUUAUGGUUACAUAGUGGACAUAUGGGAACUUGACUACGGAGUAGAUUUUAAGGUCCCUUUGUUUAAGUGCAAAUGGGUCAAUUUCUCAGGAGGCGGGGUACAGGUAGACCCACAGUACGAAAUGACAACAGUGGAUCUGAACAAUCUUGGGUACACUGACGAACCGUUCGUCCUAGCCAAUGAUGUGGCACAGGUUAUCUAUGUGAAGGACAUGUCUACCAAACCGAGAAAAAGAAAAAAUAAGGAAGCGAAUACAUCAUACGAUGAGCCAAAGCGCCACAUAGUUCUUUCAGGAAAAAGGGACAUCGUGGUAGUGGAGGGCAAGAGAGACAUGUCCGAAGAUUAUGAAAAGUUUCAUGAAAUUCCUCCCUUCAAAGUCAAGGCUGACCCAAGCAUCCUGAUAAAUGAUGAAGAUUAUCCAUGGUUACGACGCAAUAAGGAAAGGACACAUGCGAAGAAAAAGUGAAGACUUUCUCCACAACUAUUAUGAUGAUACCAUGCCAACUUUCAUCCUUUUUGUAGUUCAUUUGAAAUGCAUGUUGUAACAGACAAGUUUCCGUAUGAAUAUACAUGUUUUAACAGACAAGUUUCCGUAUAAAAUGCCUUUGUAACAGCCUUAGAACUGGUACUAAAGGAAUCAACUAAAAAGCUUUUAUAAAUCUCCAGUCGGUUGUCCUCCCUUCCCCUCCCCAAGACCGGCCCUGCAAUAGUAGUAAUAGCCCAUAUGGAGACGUCAUGCUCGAUUGUCUCUGCAACACGAUUCAACUUUUAGAAGUUGUGUUGGAAUGUCGUGUUUCUUAAGUUUGAAGGAUUAUGCCUCUGACUCGCGUUCCCAAUGCAGCCUAUUUCUACAAAAUCUUUAUCACUUAACAUCUCCUCCUGCAUCCAACUAGUUAGAAAUAACUCGUACUUGUGAAAUUUUUGUGGGCAAGCUAGAAUUAAAGAAACUUUUGGUUUUGAUGUGCUUUGUGAAGGUCAUGCCAUGGGCCGUCGUAGGCGUGCAUUGAACUUUUUGUUGUCUACUUUACAUAUCACUUGAAUGACUAUGCUUUUCUAAAUAUAUAGACGAGAUGUGAUGAAUAUUGAGUUGUGCAUCAAUGUAUAAAUGCACACGUGUAUCCCGCUUCCUACAGAUGGUGAGAUUGGUGGUGGCCAACAUAAUGACGCCUCUGGUCCUUGGUCCCAUAUUUGAAUGGAUAAUGCAAGAUUAUAUGUGAUACGUCCAUUUUGCAUCAUGCUUUCAUGUUGAUAUUUAUUGCUUUAUGGGCUGUUAUAUUACUUUGUGGUAUCAUAUUUAUGCCUUUUCUCUCUUAUUUUACAAGGUUUAUUUGAAGAGGGAGAAUUCAGGCAGCUGGAAUUCUGGACUAGAAAAGGAGCAAAUCUUAGUCUACUAUUCUGCACAUCUCCAAAUGCCCUGAAAAGUUGCGUGGAUUUUUUUUGGAUUAUAUAAAAAAUACUGGGUGAAAGAAGUACCGGAGGGGGCUGCCAGGGCGCCAGAAGCCCUGCCACCGCCACCCCUCUGGUGGCGGAGUGGGGGCUUGUGGGCUCCCUGACGGCCCACUAGCCCCCCUCUUUUGCUAUAUGAAGGGUUUUGGUCCAGAAAAAACAAUCGGGAGCUUUUUCGUGGUUUCGCCGCCGCCACGAGGCGGAACUUGAGCAGAUCUAAUCUAGAGCUCCGGCAGGACGAUCCUGUCGGGGAAACUUCCCUCCCGGAGGGGGAAAUCGUCGCCAUCGUCAUCACCAACACUCCUCUCGUCGGAGGGGAGGCAUCUUCAUCAACAUCUUCAUCAGCACCAUCUCCUCUCCAAUCCCUAGUUCAUCUCUUGUAACCAAUCUCCGUCUCAUGACUCCGAUUGGUACUUGUAAGAUUACUAGUAGUGUUGAUUACUCUUUGUAGUUGAUGCUAGUUGGAUUACUUGGUGGAAGAGUUUAUGUUUAGAUCCUUGAUGCUAUUCAUUACACCUCUGAUCAUGAUUAUGAUUAUGCUUUCUGAGUAGUUACUUUUGUUCCUGAGGACAUGGGAUAAGUCAUGCUGAUAAUAGUCAUGUGAAUUUGAUAUUCGUUCGGUAUUUUGAUAUGUUGUAUGUUGUCUUUUCCUCUAGUGGUGUUAUGUGAACGUCGACUACAUAACACUUCAGCAUAUUUGGGCCUAGAGGAAGGCAUUGGGGAGUAGUAAGUAGAUGAUGGGUUGCUGGAGUGACAGAAGCUUAAACCCCAGUCUAUGCGUUGCUUCGUAAGGGGCUGAUUUGGAUCCACUAGUUUAAUGUUAUGGUUAGACGUUGUCUUAAUUCUUCUUUUGUAGUUGCGGAUGCUUGCGAGAGAGGUUAAUCAUAAGUGGGAUGCUUGUCCAAGUAAGGGCAGUACCCAAGCGCCGGUCCACCCACAUAUCAAACUAUCAAAGUAACGAACGCGAAUCAUAUGAACAUGAUGAAACUAGCAUGACAGAAAUUCCCGUGUGUCCUCGGGAGCGUUUUUCCUCCUAUAAGACUUUGUUCAGGCUUGUCCCUUGCUACAAAAGGGAUUGGGCCACUUGCUGCACCGUUGCUACUACUUGUUACUUGUUACUUUUCACUUGUUACGUUUCACUUCGCUACACCAUCACUUGUUACCGCUACUUUUAGUGCUUGCAGUUAUUACCUUGCUGAAAUCUGUUUAUCAGAGCCUUCUGCUCCUUGUUGGGUUCGACACUCUUACUUAUCGAAAGGACUACGAUUGAUCCCCUAUACUUGUGGGUCAUCAAUAUGCUACUUUAGAAAAGAGGGUGUUGAAUGAAUUUUGAAUAAACCGGUUAUAUUGAAAUAUCCAUAUGAAUUCCUCUGAACCAAAGAGACCCUAGCCUAGGAAAUUCUUGGAGAGAUUUGAAAUAUCUUAAUUAUAUCCCCCUCACCGUGUUUAUUAUGUGAGUGCUCCAAUAGGCCUAUAUGUUACACUAUAGCCUUUUUAUUUUUCUAGACAACAGAUGGCCACCAUCAUCCCCUUUGCUCCUUGCAAUGUUGCAAGAUACAUAUAUCCACACAUUAUUUAAAUGAAAGAUAAAAAAAGUUAAAAGAACGAAAAGGAUAAGUACCGAAUAUUCAGAUUUUAAGCAUGGUAUCCCGAACGUUUUUCAUCGCAACUUUAGUUCACGUGAGGUGGCAAACAUGGCAAUUUUCUGACAAAAACGAAGUGGUAUAAAUUUUCCAUGUUUUAACAACUAAAGUUGCCACCUCCCGUCAACUAAAGUUGCCAUUAAAAACCUUCGGGGUGACAUGCUUAAAACCCGAAUGUUAGGGAUUUAUCGGGGUCCUAAAAGAUCAAGAAUACUCCAUGCGGGGAAUCCCAUCACUAGUAUCAUGACAAAGUUACAACGCUUACAAUCAAGGACUAGUUGACUCACCCAUAACAAAACAGUCAAAAUAGAUCAAUCAUCCUUCAAUCAUCCACCCCGAUAGGAGUAUGACACCUGGAAGGUAAGACAUUUCCUCUGGUUCUAUUAUGUCUCCCACAAUCGAGAUUAGAAUUUGUAGUUCCAGAUUUAUUGGCAACCAAGCACCAAAUUUCAAUUCUUGUUGUUUAAUCUUAGCAGCCAAAUAUGUUGAAUGUAAUAUAUCAGACUAUGGAGUGAAGGUCACCAAGGACAACCUCACAAGCUAUCCGGUUCAUGUUCAACUUGAUGCAUGCAUAUUUUGGAAUGCGGUAAUUUCAUGGUGGUACAUUUGUUGGUCGUUUGACCUCUACACGUGAUGAUAAAAGAUUUGUUAGUGAGAAGGGCUCGCUAACGGAGGAAAAAGCCGCUAUGCAACUUUUACCUAUCACGGGUUCAAGUAAAUCUUUUGAAAAUGAUGGCCAGCGGAGUAGCUCAUCUACUUUUUUUAUGAAAACCUUCAUGGUAGCUUUAUUGAUCAGUAAAUACAAAUACAUUGUCUGCUAACAAACCAUGGGUAAAAUCGGGAGGAUCAUCAUGCCACAAUAUUGGAAGAGGGCCCACCGCAUCAUACGCUAGAGUAUACGCCACUCUAUUGCCUCUUCCGACUAUGAAUAGUUCAAUGGUCGAAAAUAUAAGGUGAUAUCAUGGCCAAUAUCUUGCAUUAUUCGUAUAUGGUGAUGGAGUUUCCUUCGUUCUUUGAGGUAUGUAGAACCCUCGCAUAGUUGUGGUUGAUGAUUGCCCUUGUGCAACGGAUCUUGCGUGUACAUAUGAUGCCAUCUCUAAUACCUAUAGCUUUCGAUGUUGGUGUGUCGGCAACAGCUUGACAUCGGGAACAAGUGCCCUACUCAUCGUGGAGGAUAAGCAUCGGAAGCCCCUGAUCACUCAUCGAUAGAGAAUGCAGCGUCAGAUCCCCACAGUGCCCACACUAAUAAAUGAAUGGAUAUAGUAGGAUCACAUUUUUUAUUUGAUAACCCUGCCCAUGUUUCAGAUCCCUGUCUUCCUAUCUAUUAGGCUCCCACAUAUUUACGGAUCAUCGUAUAGAGGUACCACAUAAGAAGCUAGCUACAUUAAGAUGCCCACAAUCUAACAUACACAUAGGAGGUACGCAGUACGCUAAACAAAUAUAUAGGAGAAUAUAUACUUAUGCCUAUGAAAUGAUGCUUGUGGACUAUGUUCUACACACGUUUCUCUGCUCCAUGUUUACUUUAUUCUCUCGUGCAUCUCAAUUCUCUCCUUUUUUUAUCCGGUCCAACUAUUAUCUCUCUAAAAGCGAGCAAGGGAUUUCCCUUCUCAGUCUGGCAUGUGCUCUCUAUAAGCCUAACAAGAUUGUUCCGCAUAAAAAGAUAUAGUUUGGAGAUGAAAAUAAAGGUGACACAACCUGGGGACGAUGCUAGUGCUGGCAUAUCAAGGAAGCUGCUCGGUUGCUCGAUGCAUCAGAUCUAACGGCUCGCGAGCCGAUGGAUAUUUUUAAAAAGUUCGCCGGCUGACGAGUAGCAGGACCCAUAUACUUCUGUUAGAAGAAUACCUAUGCUUCGAGUUGUGCUUCUCGAAAGAAAAAAACAUAUUUGCGUUCCUCCCAAAGAAGAAAGGCAAGAAGCACAAUAUUGCUUCUACAAGAAAUAGAACUUGUGCAUCCAUGAGAGAAGGUAAUAGCACAACCUAUGCUUACAAAAAAUAAUGAAAAUCGCUAUCAUGCUUUCGGGCUCUGGUUUUUUCAGUAUUUUUUUGGUUUUCAUAUUUUUAUAUUGCAUUUUUUCUUUUUUGUUUUCAGUUUUGAUGAGAGAAUUGUUUAAAAAAUAAUGACAUGGGAUUUAGUUUUGAAGAUCUUGACAUGAGAUCUAGUUUUAAGAUGUUCAGAAUUUUUGAAAAAUGGUCACAACUUAAAAAAAAUCUUCAGGUUUUUAGAUUUGUUUUUCAAUAAAUGUUCCGUAAUUUCAAUAAUAUAAAAAAAUUGUAAAGAAUGUUUGCCUAUUCCAAGAUAAUGUACACAAACUUUUUAAAAUAUUUAAUAUUUUUUCACAAAAUGUCUUCAAAAAAUUAAGUACGUUUAAAUUUUUACGAUACAAGAUUUUUUGUGUGUUUAAAAUCAAAUGAAAAAACCCCUGAAAAAAGACAUUCGAAAAUAGAACAUGAAAAAAGAUGGAACUGCUCUUCUUGAACUGAGUCGUUACAGUGUGAGAGCUUUUUUGUUUGUUCUUUGAGCAGUUAGUUUUUUGUUGUUGUUGUUGAGACAAUUGAGCAGUUAGUUAUAGUGCGAGAGCAGAAUGGGCGGGCCCGCUUGGUCGCUCAUGGGCUCAAGAGGCCCCUGUCCUAGUCUGGGAAAAGCCCGGGCCCAGUCGCCACAUCCGCCUUCGUCCGGUCGCCGCUGCAUUUUCCGCCACCGCCGCCGCCUCCUCUCCUCUGCCACCGAAGUCGUAGGAGCUCGCCUCCGGUAGCUCAGCUUCGCGUUCGGCCGCGCCGCAAGUUCACCAUCCUGGUCUUGCUCAAUACCUCUGCAAGGUUCAACAGCAAGAGGGGAUUACUGAUGGCAGCCAUCCUACCAAGAACCGCGCUGCUGCUGCGGACGCCGCGCGGCGCCGGCCGGCUCGCGCGGUUCCUUGGAUCCGGCGUGCCCGCCGCUUCAUCAUCCGGUAAUAAUCGACCACUGGCCCCAGCCGCUUGGUCCAGUUUCUCCCAGAAUGUUUCCACUGUACUUGUGAGAUGUGCUGUGUAUAUGACCCUGUUGGCUUCCUGAAUGGCCUGAAACAGAUUCUGAGACGGUGGCCUCGGCGGCGGCGGAGUUCAUGCCAUGGCGUAACGGAGGGGGCGUCCUGCACCAGGCGGCGUCCGUCGACCCCUCCGCGGUGGUGGAGGCCGGCGCCGUCGUGCACUCCGGGGCUGUGAUUGGCAAGGAGGUCGUCGUCCGGUCUGGGACCGUUGUCGGGCCUUCGGUGUCCGUGGGGCAGUCCACCAGAAUCGGGUAUGGUGUUUUUCGGGCGUGAUCAUAGUGUUGAAACAUUGCAAACUCUGUUUGGUUAUGGAGAUGAUUUUGGUGUCAAUAUGUUCAGGUACAAUGUUGUGUUGAGCAAUUGUUCGAUCGGCGAGUUCUGUACUAUCCAUAAUGGCGCCUGCAUCGGUCAAGAUGGUGAGCACUUAUUCACCUAGUAUUGCAAAUAUGUCAUGCAGUAGACAUGCUAUGCUGUAUGUUCUCUAACACUGCAAAGAACAAGUUACAUUAUUUUUGAUAUACUUGCGCGUGAUCGCAUCAUUCCUGUUGUAUUGCUUGCACAUGAUAUGGUGUACUAGGAACACUAACUGUUGCAGCUUGUGAGCUGACCGCAGCAUUCCUUUUGUAUUAAGCCUCUUGGCUAGUGACAUCCAUCUCAUCAUUUUGGGUAUCAGAGCUUAUUCUGAGCCGUUCAUUAUCAAAUUUUGAAUUUCCUUUCUUUUUCUGCUAUGCUAGCUGAAUGCCAAAUUUUCGUUUAUAAACAGCUGUCAAACAAUAGGACUGAGUUUCUGAUGAUACGUAGUUGUCAAUUACUGAUGAAUUUCUUUCAGGUUUUGGUUUCUUUGUGGACCAGGAUGGACAGGUCAAGAAGAAACCACAGGUUAGUCCUCACCACUGUCACUUGGUGGAGAUUAAAUUCAUGGUGAAGUGAACUGUUGGUGAAGAUAACUACUCAGUAUUACUAAGGUUGAACGGUUAUGACAUAAUUAUUGGGUUGAGUGGUGAAGAAAUUAUCUGUUAAACAUAUGUUAAAACAAAUGUUCAAUGCUGUUACAGUGUGACAUGGAAGAAAUACUGUGUUUUGAUAAGUAGCACCUAGGGACUGACUGACUGUAUUUCAUAAUUUGACAUCUUUUAUGCAUAUCAAAUCAAAAUAGAGGCUCUCAUAGGAAAAAAUGUAUUUGUCAGGAGCUUUAUGCAAGAAUUGGAGACAAUGUGGAAAUUGGUGCAAAUACAUGCAUUGACAGAGGCAGGUAACUCAUCACCUUUCUAUUCCUCUUUAAAUUUGUCAAUGUUAAGUAGUUCAAAGCUCGCAGAGUCAGCAUGGUAAUGUCCAGACAAUGCUUAGCUUGGCUUAAGGCCUCUGUUGGCUAGUCCCUAAUUGAUCUGAAUAUACCUAACAACUAUGUACCCAUCAUUAUAUAUUUGACUGCAGCUGAUUCUAGCUGACAACUUCGAUCAAUAUUUGCUACCUGCAGUUGGAGAGACACAAUGAUUGGAGAUGACACCAAGAUUGAUAAUCUGGUUCAGGUAUUCUCCCCUGCUUUUUUUAUCAGAUUCAGCCUCUUCUCUCUAUCUUUUGUGAACUGGCACCCCUCUUGCAGAUAGGUCACAAUGUGGUGAUAGGAAAGUGCUGCAUGAUUUGCGGACAAGUAGGGAUCGCAGGUUCUGCAACGUACGUAUACCUUCAUCUCGUUGAUGAAGUGUUCAUUCCUUUUAGGUGUGUCAUAUUCGUCAUGCCUGCCUUUUGAGAUUUUGUCCUAUUAUGUACACACAGGUUGGGUGACUACGUAACAUUAGGUGGUAGGGUGGCCGUCCGGGAUCAUGUCUCCAUUGCUUCAAAGGUGCUUUUUUCUCAGCUCUGUUCUUUUGACCUUGCUUUAUUUUGAUUCCACAAUAUUUGUGUUUUCCAUGCAAUUUCUGUGUUGCCGUGUGCUGCAACCUAGCUGCAUUGCUCACCGUACUCUAGUGCCCGAUAGCCCUUCACAAGUAAUUCAAGUUGCAGGGAGAACAUGUCUUCGUUCUCUUCUUGUUGGGCAACUGACCGUGAUAUAGCAAAUCCAUGUACGACUUCAUCUUCAUAUCCAGUGGCGACAGCAUUUCUUUCCUCUUGGUAGUCAUGGCAAGCAUCCAAAUAACACUGGUCCAAGCAUUGGACCAAAACCUAGAUGACAACAUUAUAUUUUGAUUGCCCACAAUUUCUUUCCACCGCCCUCGUUAAUUUAUUUUCCUCGAUCCAAUUGCAGGUUAGACUUGCUGCAAAUAGUUUAGCGACAAAGGACAUUCAGGAGCCCGGUGACUAUGGCGGAUUUCCAGCUGUAAGCAUUUCUGUAUAGCAUUGACCACAUUACUUCAGCGUGUGUUCCUUAUUUUUACCCCUCUGCCUACUAAGUACUCAAUAUACAUGUUGAAUUUAGGUCCCAAUAAAUGAAUGGCGUCGACAAACUGUGAAUUUGCGCUUAUUUUCGAAGAAACACCAUGACCGAAGAUAGUAUCUCUGCAAUCCCAGUGACAUCAAUUCAUCAAAUGUGUUGUAACUUGGAUCUCUUAAAGUGUAGUUUCAAUAUCUCACUAGACAACUAACAUUGAAUUGGUAUCCGAAACGAUAUUCACCAUGUUGGAUUCUUCAUUGUUUAAACUUUUAUGUAUGUACUUACUACUCCCUCCCUUCCUAAAUAUAAGUCUUACUUUAGAGUGGAGAUUCAUUCAUUUUGCUUCGUAUGUAGUUCCCUAGUAAAAUCUCUAAAAAGGCUUAUAUUUAGGAACGGAGGGAGUAUUAAAGAGCGACGUAGUGCUGCACUACACAUUUGCACAUGCAUUGCUGCUAAGAGGAUUUAAGCGCGGUUUGUGAAAUUGUGAGGCUAUCGCCAUGUACACAAAUAGUUUUAGCUGCCGGAUGAGUGGAUUAUACUACACCAUGUAGCUAAGUGUUUUAGUCUUGAGAAGUUAUUUAAUUUUGUAGAAGUUUAUCAGUUAACACUAGAUUGGGUUUUUUAGUGUAAAAAGUGUAAGAACCAAUAAAAGAAAGGUCUAAACCCUUGCAAAGAAAAAAGUAUAUGUGAGAAACCAUUUUGAAACAUAUUCCUUCAGGAAGACAUAAAUCGAGACACACAGUGCAAUUCUUAUACAAACUGAAUUUUGUUCUUGCACGACAUUUUCAAUAUGAUACUCAGAUGGCAUUCUUCCAAUGAAUAAUCAUCUUGUGUAUAUCCACACUGCCAUACCUUGUCCACCUUUGAGUCGAGGUGAAUGAUGUACGUUGUCCAUGUUUGAGUCGAGAUGAAUGGCUGGAAAUUCUCAUCAUGUUCCCAAGUUGAACUCAAUUUACUCUGUUUUGACUUGAAUUCCUAUUCCCGAUGCAUCACAUUUCUACAACACAAAUGAUACACACUCACUAUCAUCCUGUACACGAAGCUAAGCUAAAACCAAGCUUGUGCAACGAAGCCAAGUAUAUUAGCUGUACGCGAGAUGAAUUUUUCGGUUACAAUUUUCAGCAUUCUAGUAUGGAUGUUAUAGGAUUUUGUGGUGCAACGAUGAACUUCAAUAUAUAACAAGGGUGGUAAGUGUUUGGCUGUAGACACAGCUGUGGCUUGCUACAUUUUAUUAAUCAAAACCCCACUUGUCAUAGACUUGGUUGCUAGCCAACUUUUCUGCCACAAGUGUUGCGACCAAAUUGGUGACCACAAAAACUGUGGUAUGCCACACUUGGGGCACAAAAGUGUGGAGGACACAAAAGGAUCCAACAUGUAGACACACAAAUGCAUACAUGUAUGUUAAUUUUUCAAAAAAAGAAAGCAUGACAUAUAUACAUGCACCUUAGCAAUACUCUAAGUCUAAGGUAGACAAUUCACUCGGGCCAAAUGCCCAAACAGAGUGUAGUUAGAUUCGGGAGAGUCGAGGCUCCAAACCUGGACAACCAAACUUGCACAAUAUCGAGUUCGCAAUCAAGGUCAAGUAUUAAAGCUAGCGCUUCAUGGCGCAUUAACCUUUUGUUAGCAAAGGAAAAGGAGCAUAUCAUUACUGUCUGAUCUUCGGACGCGCUAGCAAAACCGUUGGCAUCCUCGGGGUUGAAGGUGAUCUGACAAACAGUUCCAGAGUGUUCAUCGUCAAAAGUUUGUGAGCACUCACAGCCUUUUUCUAAGUUCCAAAGCGUAAUCGGUCUGUCAUAAGGAGAUGACAGCACAUAAGGCUGGUUUGGAUGGAUGGUCAUUGCUGUGGCACUGGAAAAACCAGCUCUGAAACUCAUGAUCUGUUGUACGUACUAUCUCUGUUCCGUAGGUGCACACAUUGAUGAAGGCAUGAAGCCAUCGUGUGCACCAGACAGAAACCAUUGCUUCCGUGCGAUAAGUUUAAGGAAUUUAACUGUCGCUAAUAGCCCUAAAAUUUGAUUAAUGGACCAUGGGAUUAGAGACGAAUCAAUGACCUAUGAGCCGUGUGACAAAUAUUUCCUACCAGACUUUUGGUAAGAAGUGUUUCCCAGGACUAAAGGAUUAUGCUACUAAUCUAAUCAAAGUUAGGGAUAAUGACCAUGAUGGUAUCCAAAGUUCCAAACCGUUGUCUAAUCAAUUUUUACAGCAGUACCCAAACCACUGUCUAAAUAUGUUUUAGAAUUUACUGAUUGUCUGAUUUUUAAUUUUAACGGGACUCAUUGUCUAUGUAACCAAUUAUAUUCGACUCAAUUUCUCUACACGGCUGAUGGCCUCUACAAGUCUACAUGAUUGGUCUGAUUGAGUACCCCAGGUUGGUGGUGCUUGAAAAGGGGAAGGCCCAGGUAUAGUUGUUGCCUCCACCGCCUCUCCUCUCUUCUGCCACCAGAAUUCUAGCUCGCCUACGUGCUCCAUCUCCUUUGUUCUUGCUCCAAUACCUCUGCAUGGUUCUACAUACCGGAGUCAUCCCACGUUGAACCACCCACAUGAUGUCAGAGGCAGUUGCUGCUGUAGUCUCUAUGCGGCGCCAGGGGGCUUGCGUCGUUCCUGGGGCCGGGCAUCGAUUGCUGCUUGGUGCAAGGAGACGGAAGGCCCCAGUAGUGAUUACCCCUCAAUCCCAUGAUUCUGGGAUAUUUUCCCCGCGAUCCCGACUUCAAUUAUACAUAGGAUGUCUACGGUUGAGAGCCUUUCAACAGUGUAGAUGGUUGUGUUUGGCCUUGAACUCGCGUUCUUAUUGUUGGGCUUGAAUUCGUAUCCCUGAUCCAUCCCAUUCAUAGGCCACUAAUAUCCGAUUUCACAAUGAACUAUACUGAUACACUCCACUCACCAUCAUCCUCAUAUACCCACCUAGUUAAUCUCGCUUCAAAAUCCAACCCAUAUGUGGCAACUAGACAAGAGGUGUUGAUCCAUGAGCAUAUAUAAUAUGACAGCACUACCACAAAGAGAAGAUAAUUUUUUUACACUAUCUAGUGUCAGGGACCAAAUCUCAAUCUCCAUUUAAGAAAGGCAUAGGACAACCUUAGGGUGUCGACCUUCUUGUUUCUGACCGGACUGCCUGAAAAAAUGUUCACCAUCCUUCCAAGUUAAACUCGUAUUUUAAUUAGUAGAAGAUUAAACAACUGUUGUACUGUUGAUGCAUUCAAGAAACAAAUUCUGACAUAAAUGAUUAUUUACCAGAAUGAGAAGAUGUGCCAUGCACCACUAAAUAAAAUAAAUACUAAUUCGUCUCUUGUUUUUUUUUCCAUUUUCACCAUGAAACAACAACCAGUUAAAGUGUUCAAUAAAUCAGAUCAUGCUUGUUCUGGUGGAACAGGCUAUUCUAGGAGAUGUCAAUCUACUCAAAAACUUGAGAACUAUGGUCCUUCCGUAGAUGCUAGCAACAAUAGACAGUCGUGGAUAAUUUCCUUUAAUCAAAAUGGCAUGCCACAUUGUUCCACUAGUCCGUCGGCGGGAUGGUUGAACUGAGCUCAAUCAGUACAAACCACUCGAGCAUGCAUCGAGCAAGGAGAUGCCAAACUACCUUGCAUUUCUGUUCAACUUGGCAGAACCAAAAAUUUCAGUUCAUGGCGUGCUAGCAUAGCAUAUGCACACUGAUGAUUAGGAUGUGCCUCGCAUGGUUACAUUAAUUUGAGUGCAAAAUGGUUUAAUAGAUUCACUGUGGGCGCCAGCAAACAGAAAAAGAUCAUUGUCAAGUAUUUGUUGCCUGUGAAGGAUAUCUCUGACUUUAAUUAUUUGUUGGCUAGAAACCAAGCAAAAAAUCUUCUGUUUUCUCUUAGAGCCUGUGGAUAUUGUUUUUAGACUAAUUGUAUACGUUGCCAACAGAAAACGUUUCAGUUUGCUUACCGCUUCCAGCCACGCCUCACGCCUGUCAACUAAAAAACUACUGAUAUUCAAAAAAAAUACUGAUAAGUUGGAAACCGACAAGAACUCAUAAUGGUCAUCAGGACAUCAAGCUCCCGUCAGAACUCAUAAUCGUCAACCGACAAGGUGGUUGGUAUUUUUUGAUAAAGGGAAUUUUUAUCGACUCAAAAUGUAUCAUCAAAUGAAAAACAAACUUAAAGAAGGUGAAGAAGACAACAUAUUAUCAACAGUGUGAUCAUAUAGGACCGACACUAUGUUUAUGUCAAAGAAGGUGAUGGACCAAUCCAAAAAUUAUGCUGCCAUCCAUAUUGGAUAAAGACUUCUAUGAUCAGCCGCUCCAACCGCAUACACACCGCUUUAAACAUCAAUCGGUACUUCGUUCGGUGUAGCGUAGACCAUGUACGAUGUGAGGGCAAACAACACAAAACAACCUCGGAGGUGUUUUUGCCCUCAAAAAACAAGUUAUUUCUUCAUAACCAAAGCGCUUAUAAUAAGACAUAUUCUUCCGCCCGAAUUAGCAUUAUAAACCUGUUUGAAUUCCAUCCAACGAAUGACCAAUAAUAUUGAUAACACUUGUGGAAGGAUACAAAUUAGACGCUAUUCGGAUAAUGAACAAAUAGAACGCGCAAAUUUGUAUCGAAAAAGAGGUUUUUUUUAUUAUAUCGUCAUGAAUACAUAAAGUCUUCUUACUUCCUUGCCAAUUGCGACAAGCGAGAUUAUCUUUAGUUAGCACAAGACUCCUUCGAAGAUACCACAUAAAGAUUUUAACUUCAAACGAAAUCUUUGACAUCCAAUUAUUUUUGUUAUUAUCCAUUGAAACCUCUGAAUGCGUGAACGCAUGGUACAUAGAGUAGACUGUGAAGGACCUAGAUGUUGUAAGAUUCCAACAAAACAUGUUCCGUCCUUGUGUCAGGUUAAUCGGCUCCAAUCGAGAUAACAGAUUUGGACAUGACAUAAGAUGGGGGCUAAUCAAAUCCCCCCGAAAAGAAAUAUUCGGCGAGAAUGAACUGAGCACCUGUACUAGAGUAUCAUUUCUAUCGCGAAUAAUGUGAUACAAAGUUGUAUAUUGUUCUCGAAAGCUGCCAUUGACUAGCCAGUCCCCCCCCCCCUCAUGAAAAGAAUCUCCAACCCAUCAUUUAUCGCGAAGGAUACAAAGCGAAAAGGUGUUUCUUCGUCAUCAUUAGACCAGACCAAAUGUGCGAGUCAUCAUAUUUCAAGUAGGUCCAUGACAUAACGUGGAAAAGGUGUUUCUUCGUCGUCAUUAGACCAUACCAAAUGUGCGAGUCAUCAUAUUUCAAGUAGAUCCAUGACAUAACUUUCUGACCUAGAUACUUAUUCCACGACAGAGUUUAUUUUUUACUAUGUGGUUGGUAUGGGUACAUGUAACUGAGACCGGUUGAUUAUCUCUCUCUCUCGGAAAACGAUCUCUGAAGUUCAACAACCAUAGGAGCACUCAUGUGGCAUCUUUAUAAUAUGGGGGAAAUGCAACCCAAGAGCUUCAAGAUGAUAUGUGCGAACUGUUACAAACCAAGGCGUGGUUUUGCCAACCAUCCUACCGUUGUCCUGUAUGCUACUAGAAUAUCUAGUCAGCCUCGGAUGCAGAGAGGAGUCAUCGGAAGCUCCUAGUAAGGCUUGUCAUACUUUCAGGUCGAACACGUGACAGCCCUUUAGGUUGAAUCUUGAGCUCGCAUUCCCAAUGCAUCCCACUUCUACGAAAGUUGUGCCACCCAUCAUCAUUCUUCUACACCCAACCAUUAAAAUGAACCUUGCUCCCACAUCCAUAUCGAGGUCCAAGCAGCUACGCAAGAGAAGGACAAGCUAGCAUUUGUCUUCAACUCAAGCUUUCAUAUUGCUCUGCUAUAUGAAGGGCAAAGUGCGUAGGUGGAAAAGGUGGUUUUGAGGUUUCCAGUCUAUGGCAUCAGCCACCUAGUGCCGCGGUAUUUAUAGUGGUAUGUAGUGUAAUGAGACGGCAUCUAAUAAACUUUGAGUUAUUUGCUUGAGCCCACUAUGUUGGAAGAAAAAACGAGUUGGUUUUCUCAUAAAAAUUAAUUGCACAACCCUUCUCUUUACAUAAUUGUUCUUUUGGUAUAUGAUAAUUGUGACCCUACUUAAAUAAUCACUGGUAUGUCGUGUCACGCACACAUAUAUUUGGACAUUGUAUUAUGCAAUAAAUAAGGACGCAUCUUAUAUACUCAUUUGAGUAUGUACUCUCACACAUUCAAUAUAUACCUCAAAAGUAUAUGUGUUCUAUCACUCUAUCAUUCUUAUACAAAAUUAAUCUUUUUUUUCAUCACAAUUAAUCAUUCUAUAAGACACUCAGUACAAGUAGUAUGAAAAAAUACGGAGGUGGACCCUAGUUUUUACAGUAUGGACUUUUUAUCGUAGCCGUCGUAGUUUGGCUAGCAGUCGUACGUGUAGAACGCGUCGUGGAGGGCGGGCUAAGCGGAUGGAUCGUGCGCUAGAUCAGGAAGCUGGGCAGUGAUGUGCGUGGAUCGGCCAAGUAUAAAACCCAUCAGCUGAGCUUGUUACGUGAGCGCGGAGUACGUGUUCAUCGCCGAAACCACCCUCAUACGCGCGGUGUUCCUCUGUGCUCCUCUCAUCUUCCUCCUGUGUCCGGCUCUAGGAGCGAGCAAGAGUUAGGGUUCAGUCCCAACAGCCAUCACCCACCGAGGCCUCCGUGUGCUACCAUGGACAUGUGCACGGGGAGGUCUACCGGGACCGGAGGGUGAGGUCGCGUCAUUCCAUGGGGCGGCUCCGGCUCCCAGCGUUGAGCGCAGGCGGGAGGCAGGUGCAACAUCCGGCUGGGGCGAAGGCUCGUCUGGUCUUCGACAUUGGUGCUUGAUUUUCACACGACAUUGUUCAACUAAUCAAUAAUAUAUGGCUGUGUGCAUCAAUCGAUGUCGAGUCCGGACAAAAUAUGUACUAUAUAUAAUAGACUUUCAUGAACCAAGAAAGAAUGUGAUCAGACUGAUCAAGUUCCAAUGCUCAAAGCAAUUCUCUAUACAAAUUUUGCUAGCAAUAAAAUACAACGCCCAAAUAUAUUUAUGCAACGUAGUGCACAUUAUUUAAGGAGCCCAAAUAUAUUUAUGCAACCCUCAUCAAACAAUCUUUAGUAGUCCAGUUGGCGCAGUAGAUAGAAAACCAGACAUAAGUUCUAUGAACAUGGCCUGCAAAACCGUGGUCUGAAUUCAACCUACAAUUCUUAUCGGACUCGAUGGCCAUCUACAACCACAAAGCAGCCACCAAGUGCACCAUUGGGGUCCACACCCUAUUCUGGGCAGAUUGGUGGCUUCGGGAGGGGCGCGUCCAGGAUAUCAUGCCAAGCUUGUUUGGUGUAGUGAAGCAGACCACGGUCAAGCCCAAGACGGUGAGCUGCCAAGCUAUAUCAAGAGAGAGGUGGCAUGACGUAUCGCCGAAUAUGUCGGCUCAGGCAAUACAUGCAUGAGUUCUCAGAUUGGUCGGUCGAGUUUGGAACGUGUAACUAGUGGAUGGAGUUAAAGAAAGGAAAUUUGGAAGUCAAAGGCACCGGCAACAUGCAAGGCAUUCUCUUGGCUCGUGGGAAAGAAACAAUGUUGGACGGCCUACAAAUAGCAACGACGGCUUUUUGCGCUGCAGAUACAAUCACAAGCCACAUAGGUCUUUCGUAGCAGAUCAACAUAAUUACAAAUUAAGUAUCUAUGCAUUGGAGGCUUUAGUUACUUAGUCCUUUAAUAUACUUAGCAUCUUAUCUUAGCACUGAUGCAUUAAAAGUAACCUUAGAUGAACCGGAGCCAAAGCCAUGAAGGCGGAAUUUAUGCAAUGCAGUCAAUGCUCACUUAAAAUAACAGAACAAUUUUUUUAAUAGUCUAGUUGACGCAAUACCCCGCAAAAAAACCCAAAGCAAUUCAUAUAGAGAUAAAAUGUGCCCGGAUCCAUUUCUAACAGAAGUCGUAACCGUCCUUUUCUACCAUGAAACGUAUAAGUAAAAUACAUGCACAUUCAUAACAUAAGGUCCCUUUGUCUAGCACACUAACACUAUAAAUAGUGUGGGGCAGUAGGUGGCCAAUUGCAACCAUUGCUCGCGUCGCAGAUACAAUCAUAAUCCGGACAGUGCCUUUGCAGCUGAUCAACUUCAAAAUUCAUAGCAUAAGUUAAAUCGAUGAUUGGCCCCGUCUCUCUUGGGUAGCCUCUACGGUUAACUUUAGCAGGGUACACGUACUCGGACGAUGAUAGAUUUCGUAGGAAUGAGAUGCGUUGGGAAUGGAAGUAUAGCUCAUUGAUAUUAUCCGACAACCUGCUCAAAACCGUGGUGUGCAUUUUCAGGCUCAGUCGGAAGACCAACUUUCCAUGCAGUGCUUCUAUCAACCAAGGAAGCUACUUCUUGAAAAUAUGUAAGCACAUCGCAUCAUGUCUUCACAUAACACCUGCUCCGGCAAUUGGGGAGGCGAGCUCCCGAUGUAGCACAACUCGAUGGAAACUGAAACAUUUUGUUGUUUAUAAACACCUUGCUGUUGUGUGGUUGAGGGUUGUAUUCUUUGGUAUUGUCGAGUGUAAACCGAGUUUGGUGUAACUUACAGUUUCGCAUCAUGAAGAUGUGAUUUAAAAAAAUAGAAAAGGUUGCUGCGAAAGAAUAGAAUUAAAAUACGACCGAUCUAUGUUCAACUACCAACCGAUCUUGUCCAUCAUAUUAAUUAGAACAAAUGAAGGGCCCACAUUGAUAUAAGGGCACCAUAUCUUCUUGACUCAAAUUCUUAGGCCUCUUCUAAUUCUCCACCUUGUACAGAUGCUAAGGCUGUCAUGUAGGCGAAAAAUCUUAUGUAGCAAGGUAAUUAAGAGGAGAGAGAUGAGCGUGAUAAUCCUAAAAAGAAACAAUGCCAAACACAUGAACCGUAGGCAAAACACUUAAAUGAAAAAAAAUCCAUCAAUGCAUGAAUAACUUUAGUUGCUAAAUCAUUAAAUGAAGGAUGCUUAGCAAUAACAAGUUAAGCAUUUAUGCAUUGGAGGCUUUAGUUACUUAGUCCUUUAAUAUGCUUAGCAUCUUAUCUUAGCACCGAUGCAUUAAAAGUAUCCUUAGCUGAAGUGGAGCCAGAGCUAUGAAGGCGGAAUUUAUGCAAUGCAGUCAAUGAUCACUUAAAAUAACAGAACAAUUUUUUUAAUAGUCUAGUUGAUGCAAUACCCCAGAAAACAAAAAACGAAGCAAUUCAUAUCGAGAUAAAAUGUGCCCGGAUACAUUUCUAUCAGAAGUCGUAAUCAUCCUUUUCUAACAUUAGACGUAUAAGUAAAAUACAUGCACAUUCAUAACAUAAGGUCCCUUUCUCUGGCACACUAACACUAUAAAUAGUGGGGCAGUAGGUGGCCAAUUGCAACCAUUGCUCGUGUCCCAGAUACAAUCAUAAACCAGGCAGUGCCUUUGCAACAGAUCAACUUCAAAACCCAUAGCAUAAGUUAAAUCAAUGCUUGGCCCCGUCUCUUUUGGGUAGCCUCUACGGUUAAGUGUAGCUGGGUACACGUACCAUGACGAUGAUAGAUUUCGUAGGAAUGAGAUGCGUUGGGAAUGGAAGUAUAGCUCGUUGAUAUCAUACAACAACCUGCUCAAAACCGUGGUGUGCAUUUCCAGGCUCAGUCAGAAGACCAACGUUUCCAUGUAGUACUUCUAUCAACCAAGGAAGCUGCUUCUUGAAAAUAUGAAAGCACAUCGCAUCAUGUCUUCACAUAAUACCUGCUUCGGCAACUGGGGAGGCGAGCUCCCAUUGUAGCAGAACUCGAUCGAAACUGCAACAUUUUGUUGUUUAUAAACACGUUGCAGUUGUGUUGUUGAGGGUUGUAUUCUUUGGUAUUGUUGAGUGUCAACUGAGUUUGGUGUAACUUACAGUUUCGCAUGAUGAACAUGUGAUUUUAAAAAAAUAGAAUAGGUUUUUUGCAAAAAAAUAGAAUUAAAAUACGACCGAUCUAUGUUCAACUACCAACCGAUCUUGUCCAUCAUAUUAAUUAGAAAAAUGAAGGGCCCACAUAGAUAUAAGGGCACCAUAUCUUCUUGACUCAAAUUCUUAGGCCUCUUCCAAUUCUCCACCUUGUACAGAUGCUAAGGCUGUCAUGUAGGCGAAAUAUAUUAUGUGGCAAGGUAAUUAAGAGGAGAGAGAUGAGUGUGAUAAUCCUAAAAGGAAACAAUGCCAAGCGCAUGAACCUAGACAAAACACUUAAAUGAAAAAAAUCCAUCAAUGCAUGAAUAACUUUAGUUGCUAAAUCAUUAAAUGAAGAAUGCUUAGCAAUAACAAGUUAAGCAUCUAUGCAUUGGAGGCUUUAGUAACUUAGUCCUUUAAUAUGCUUAGCAUCUUAUCUUAACACCGAUGCAUUAAAAGUAGCCUUAGUUGAAGUGAAGCGAGAGCCAUGAAUGCAUAAUUUAUGCAAUUCAGUCAAUGCUCACUUAAAAUAACAGAAUAAUUUUUUUAAUAGCCUAGUUGAUGCAAUAGCCCCAAAAAAACAAAGCAAUUCAUAUAGAGAUAAAAUGUGCACGGAUUCAUUUCUAUCAGAAGUCGUACCCGUCCUUUUCUAACAUUAAACAUAUAAGUAAAAUACACGCACAUUCAUAACAUAAGGUCCCUUUGUCUGGAGAUACAAUCAUAAACCAGACAGUGCCUUUGCAGCAGAUCAACUUCAAAACUCAUAGCAUAAUUUAAAUCGAUGCUUGGUUCCGUCUCUGUUGGGUAGCCUCUACGGUUAACUUUAGUUGGGUACACGUACCAUGACGAUGAUAGAUUUCGAAGGAAUGAGAUGUGUUGGGAAUGGAAGUAUAGCUCGUUGAUAUCAUCCGACAGCCUGCUCAAAACCGUGGUGUGCAUUUUCAGGCUCAGCCGGAAGCCAACGUUUCCAUGCAGUACUUCUAUCGACCAAGGAAGCUACAUCUUGAAAAUAUGAAAGCACAUCGCAUCAUGUCUUUACAUAACACCUGCUCCGGCAACUGGGGAGGCGAGCUCCCGUUGUAGCAGAACUCGAUUGAAACUGAAACAUUUUGGUGUUUAUAAACACCUUUGUGUUGUGUGGUUGAGGGCUCUAUUCUUUGGUAUUGUCGAGUGUAAACCGAGUUUGGUGUAACUUACAGUUUGGCAUGAUGAACAUGUGAUUUUAAAAAAAACCAGAAUAGGUUGCUGCAAAAAAAUAGAAUUAAAAUACGACUGAUCUAUGUUCAUCUACAACCCGAUCUUGUCCAUCAUAUUAAUUAGAACAAAUGAAGGGCCCACAUUGAUUAAGGGCACCAUAUUUUCUUGACUCAAAUUCUUAGGCCUCUUUCAAUUCUCUACCUUGUAUAGAUGCCAAGGUUGUCAUGUAGGCGAAAUAUCUUAUGUGGCAAGGUAAUUAAGAGAAGAGAGAUGACUGUGAUAACCCUAGAUAGAAACAAUGCCAAGCACAUGAGCCUAGGCAAAACACUUAAAUGAAAAAAGUUCAUCAAUGCAUGAAUAAAUUUAAUUGCUAAAUCAUUAAGUGAAGGAUGCUUAGCAAUAACAAGUUAAGCAUCUAUGCAUUGGAGGCUUUAGUUACUUAGUCCUUUAAUAUGCUUAACAUCUUGUCUUAACACCGAUGCAUUAAAAGUAGCCUUAGCUGAAGUGGAGGAAGAGCCACGAAGGCGGAAUUUCUGCAAUGCAGUCAAUGCUCAUUUAAAAUAACAAAACAAUUUUUUUAAUAGUCUAGUUGAUGCAAUACGCCAAAAAAACCCAAAUCAAUUCAUAUAGAGAUAAAAUGUGCCCGGAUUCAUUUUUAUCAGAAGUCAUACCCGUCCUUUUCUAACAUUAAACGUAUAAGUAAAAUACAUGCACAUUCAUAACAUAAGGUCCCUUUCUCUGGCACACUAACACUAUAAAUUGUGGGGUUGUACGUGGCCAAUUACGACCAUCGCUUGCGUCGCACAUACAAUCAUAAACCAGACAGUGCCUUUGCAGCAGAUCAACUUCAAAACUCAUAGCAUAAGUUAAAUUGAUGCUUGGCCCCGUUCUCGUGGAUAGCCUCUACGGUUAACUCUAGGUGGGCAAACGUACCCGGACGAUGGUAGAUUUCGUAGGAAUGAGAUGCGUUGGGAAUGGAAGUAUAGCUCGUUGAUAUCAUCCGACAACCUGCUCAAAACCGUGGUGUGGAUUUCCAGGUUCAGCUAGAAGACGAAAGUGUCCAUGCCGUACUUCUAUCAACCAAGGAAGCUACUUCUUGAAAAUAUGAAAGCACAUCAUGUCGUGUCUUCACAUGACACCUGCUCCGGCAACUCGGGAGGCGAGCUCCCGUUGUAGCAGAACUCGAUCGAAACUGAAACAUUUUGUUGUUUAUAAACACCUUGUUGUCAUGUGGUUGAGGGUUGUAUUCUUUGGUAUUGUUCAGUGUAAACCAAGUUUGGUGUAACUUACAGUUUGGCAGGAUGAACAUGUGAUUUAAAAAAACAGAAUAGGUUGCUGCAAAAAAAAUAGAAUUAAAAUACGACCGAUCUAUGUUCAACUACCAACCGAUCGUGUCCAUCAUAUUAAUUAGAACAAAUGAAGGGCCUUGGUUCUCCUCCUCCUCCGUCGGGACCUGCAAACCAACCCAUCACAUUAGAGAUGCACACCUGCCUAGGAAAAGAAAUCGCAUGCCUGCAUCAGGGAUUGGGAGAGGAAAUUGAAAUAGAGAGAGGGGAGGACCUUGAUGCUCAUACUUGUCCUGGGACUGGGUCUGGAUCACUGGAGGAAGAAAGGAGCUUGACGAGCACAAGAGCGGCGUCCAGGGCAGAGGAGGCUCCGCUACAUGGUGCCUUCCUAUAGAUAAGAGACGAGUUUGGGUUAGACUUCAGAGAGGUAGAGAAGAAGAGAAAGAAGAAUAAGAAGAAGAAGAAGAAAAAGGUGAGAGGUUUAUACCGUAGCACCGUCGUGGAGCCCUCUUUGCUCGGUCGGUCGCCAUGGCCGGCAGCUAGGGUUUCUGUCGCUAGGAGAGAGGGAGGAUCUGACUGUGGUCUUUGUUGCUCGAGCGGAUCUAUAGGCGGGGAGAGGAGGGGAGGCGGCGUCGGCAGUGGAGUGGAGGUCGGGGUUGGGGAAGACAAUGGAGGCCGGCGAUAUUGAUAUCACGCUGCGGUCAAUGCGAGCGUGGGGGAGGCAGGUGUGUUCGUGGGUCGCGCGUCUUUUUUUUGGCCUUUUGUCGGGCUAGGAUGGGAGAAGUAGGCGUGGGAGGGGCGAUCGCAGGUGGGUACGAGCGAGGUUGAACCAUCACGGCAACGGCUGAUUCCCCUUUAAUAGUAGAGAUUUGGAAGAGUCGAGGCUCCAAACCUGGACAACCAAACUUGCACAAUAUCGAGUUCGCAAUCAAGCUCAAGUAUUAAUGCUAGCGUUUCAUGGCGCAUUAACCUUUUGUUAGCAAAGGAAAAGGAGUAUAUCAUUACUGUCUGAUCUUCGAACGCGCUAGCAAAACCGUUGGCAUCCUCUGGGUUGAAGGUGAUCUGACGAAUAGUUCCAGAGUGUUCAUCCUCAAAAGUUUGUGAGCACUCACAGCCUUUUUCCAAGUUCCAAAGCCUAAACGGUCUGUCAUAAGGAGAUGACAGCACAAACGGCUGGGUUGGAUGGAUGGUCAUUGCUGUGACCCCUGAAAAACCAGCUCUGAAACUCAUGAUCUGUGUACUAUCUCUGUUCCGUAGGUGCACACAUUGAUGAAGGCAUGAAGCCAUCGUCUGCACCAGCCAGAAACCAUUGCUUCUGUGCGAUAAAUUUAAGGAAUUUAAGUGUCGCUGAUAGCCCUGAAAUUUGAUUAUUGAACCAUGGGAUUUGAGAAGAAUCAACGACGUAGGAGCCGUCUGACAAAUGUUUCCUAUCAGACUUUUGGUAAGAAGUGUUUGCGAAGACUAAAGGAUUGUGCUACUAAUCUAAUCAAAGUUAGCUAAUCAAAGUUAGGAAUGAUGGCGAUGAUGGUAUACAAAGUUGCAAAUCACUGUCUAACUAUGUAUUAGAAUUUACCGAUUGUCUAAUUUUUAAUUUUGACGGAACUCGUUGUCAAUGUAACCAAUUAUACUCGACUCAUUGUCUCUACAUGGCUAAUGGCUUCUACAAGUCUACAUGAUUGGUCUGAUUGAGUACCCCAGGUUGGUGGUGCCUGAAAAGGGGAGGCCAAGGUAUAGUUGUUGCCUCCACCGCCUCUCCUCUCUUCUGCCACUAGAAUUCUAGCUCACUUACGUGCUCCGCCUCCUUUGUUCUUGCUCCAACACCUCUGCAUGGUUCUACAUAUCGGAGUCAUCCCACGUUGAACCACCCACAUGAUGUCAGAGGCAGUUGCUGCUGUAGACUCUAUGCGGCGCCAGGGGGCUUGCGUCGUUCCUGGGGCCGGGCAUCGAUUGCUGCUUGGUGCAAGGAGACGGAAGGUCCCCCGUAGCGAUUACCCCUCAAUCCCAUGAUUCUGGGAUAUUUUCCCCGCGAUACUAACUUGUCAAUUAUACAUAGGAUGUCUACGGUAGAGAGCCUUUCUACAGUGUAGAUUGUUGUGUUUGGCCUUGAACUCGCAUUCUUAUUGUUGGGCUUGAAUUCGUAUCCCUGAUCCAUCCCAUUCAUAGGACACUAAUAUCCAAUUUAACAAUGGACUAUAUGUUGGAAUUAUGCCCUAGAGGCAAUAAUAAAUAUAGUUAUUAUUAUAAUUCCUGUAUCAAGAUAAUCGUUUAUUAUCCAUGCUAUAAUUGUAUUGAAUGAAGACUCAUUUACAUGUGUGGAUACAUAGACAAAACACUGUCCCUAGCAAGCCUCUAGUUGGCUAGCCAGUUGAUCAAAGAUAGUCAGUGUCUUCUGAUUAUGAACAAGGUGUUGUUGCUUGAUAACUGUAUCACGUCAUUAGGAGAAUCACGUGAUGGACUAGACCCAAACUAAUAGACGUAGCAUGUUGAUCGUGUCAUUUUGUUGCUACUGUUUUCUGCGUGUCAAGUAUUUGUUCCUAUGACCAUGAGAUCAUAUAACUCACUAACACCGGAGGAAUACUUUGUGUGUAUCAAACGUCGCAACGUAACUGGGUGACUAUAAAGAUGCUCUACCGGUAUCUCUGAAGGUGUUCGUUGAGUUAGUAUGGAUCGAGACUGGGGUUUGUCACUCCGUGUGAUGGAGAGGUAUCUCGGCGCCCACUCGGUAAUACAACAUCACACACAAGCCUUGCAAGCAAUGUGACUUAGUGUAAGUUGCAGGAUCUUGUAUUACGGAACGAGUAAAGAGACUUGCCGGUAAACGAGAUUGAAAUAGGUAUGCGGAUACUGACGAUCGAAUCUCGGGCAAGUAACAUACCGAAGGACAAAGGGAAUGACAUACGGGAUUAUAUGAAUCCUUGGCACUGAGGUUCAAACGAUAAGAUCUUCGUAGAAUAUGUAGGAUCCAAUAUGGGCAUCCAGGUCCCACUAUUGGAUAUUGACCGAGGAGUCUCUCGGGUCAUGUCUACAUAGUUCUCGAACCCGCAGGGUCUGCACACUUAAGGUUCGACGUUGUUUUAUGCGUAUUUGAGUUAUCAUCCAGGUCCCGCUAUUGGAUAUUGACCGAGGACUCUCUCGGGUCAUGUCUACAGAGUUCUCGAACCCGCAGGGUCUGCAGACUUAAGGUUCGACGUUGUUUUAUGCGUAUUUGAGUUAUAUGGUUGGUUACCGAAUGUUGUUCGGAGUCCUGGAUGAGAUCACGGACGUCACGAGGGUUUCCGGAAUGGUCCGGAAACGAAGAUUGAUAUAUAGGAUGACCUCAUUUGAUUANNNNNNNNNNNNNNNNNNNNNNNNNNNNNNNNNNNNNNNNNNNNNNNNNNNNNNNNNNNNNNNNNNNNNNNNNNNNNNNNNNNNNNNNNNNNNNNNNNNNNNNNNNCCGGGGACCCCCCGGGGGGGGGGGGGGCAACCCACCCCGGGGAAGCCCAUAGGCAUUGAGGGUGGCGCACCAUCCCUUAGUGGGCUGGUGGGACAGCCCAAAAGGGCCCUAUGCGCAUUGGAAGAAAAAUCAAAGAGAAAAAAAAAGGAGGAGGUGGGAAGGGAAGGAAGGACUCCCACCCACCAAACCAAGUCCAACUCGGUUUGGGGGGGGAGACCUUCCCCCCUUGGCUCGGCCGACCCCCUUGGGGCUCCUUGAGCCCCAAGGCAAGGCCCCCCCUCUUCCCCUAUAUAUACGGAGGUUUUAGGGCUGAUUUGAGACGACUUUUCCACGGCAGCCCGACCACAUACCUCCACGGUUUUUCCUCUAGAUCGCGUUUCUGCGGAGCUCGGGCGGAGCUCUGCUGAGACAAGGUCAUCACCAACCUCCGGAGCGCCGUCACGCUGCCGGAGAACUCAUCUCCCUCUCCGUCUCUCUUGCUGGAUCAAGAAGGCCGAGAUCAUCGUCGAGCUGUACGUGUGCUGAACUCGGAGGUGCCGUCCGUUCGGCACUAGAUCGUGGGACUGAUCUCGGGACGGUUCGCGGGGCGGAUCGAGGGACGUGAGGACGUUCCACUACAUCAACCGCGUUCACUAAUCCCCUCUCGUAGAUCACUCAUCCCCUCUCGUAGAUGGACAUCACCAUGAUAGGUCUUCGUGCGCGUAGGAAAUUUUUUGUUUCCCAUGCGACGUUCCCCAACACUAUACUGAUACACUCCACUCACAAUCAUCCUCAUAUACCCACCUAGUUAAUCUCACUUCAACAUCCAACCCAUAUGUGGCAACUCGACAACAUGUGUUGAUCCGUGAGCAUAUAUAAUAUGACAACACUACCACAAAGAGAAGAUAAUAAAUUCUGAUGAAUGUUGAGCUACUCCAAUGUCCCACCUUGAAAGGUACUCCGUUCAUCCCAAAAUAUAAGAUAAUUUUUUACACUAUCUAGUGUCAGGGACCAAAUCUCAAUCUCCAUUUAAGAAAGGCAUAGGACAACCAUAGGGUGUCGACCUUCGUGUUUCUGACCGGACUGCCUGAAAAAUGUUCACCAUCCUUCCAAGUUAAACUCAUAUUUUAAUUAGUAGAAGAUUAAACAGAUGUUGUACUUCCUCCGUCACGGUUUAGAAGGCACAGUUAAACUUGCGUGCGUUUCCAAAAUAGACAAGGUUUAAGGCGUGAAAGCAAUUACUCUUAUUAAUUAGUACUAGUACUAGUCAUGCAUGCGCCCUCCCAAUUUGCUGCUCAGACAUUAGUACUAGUAUUUUCUCAGUUGAUUAGGUGCAUUAGCAUUUACACCUGCUACAUCUCACAACCAAUCGAUGACUACCUUGGUCCCAGAGAUUUUCAAGUGUGCCUUCUAAACCGUGACGGAUGAAGUACUGUUGAUGCAUUCAAGAAACAAAUUCUGACAUAAAUGAUUAGUUACCAGAAUGAGAAGAUGUGCCAUGCACCACUAAAUAAAAUAAAUACUAAUUCGUCUCUUAUUUUUUCCCAUUUUAACCAUGAAACAACAACCAGUUAAAGUGUUCGACAAAUCAGAUCAUGCUUGCUCUGGUAGAACAGGCUAUUCUAGCAGAUGUCAAUCUACUCAAAAACUUGACAACUAUGGUCCUUCCGCAGAUGCUAGCAACAAUAGACAGUCGUGGAUAAUUUCCUUUGAUCAAAAUGACACGCCACAUUGUUCCACUAGUCCGUCGGUGGGAUGGUUGAACUGAGCUCAAUCAGUACAAACCACUCGAGCAUGCAUCGAGCAAGGAGAUGCCAAACUACCUUGCAUUUCCGUUCAACUUGGCAGAACCAAAAAUUUCAGUUCAUGGCGUGCUAGCAUAGCAUAUACACACUGAUGAUUAGGAUGUGCCUCGCAUGGUUACAUUAAUUUGAGUGCAAAAUGGUUUAAUAGAUUCACUGUGGGCGCCAGCAAACAGAAAAAGAUCAUUGUCAAGUAUUUGUUGCCUGUGAAGGAUAUCUCUGACUUUAAUUAUUUGUUGGCUAGAAACCAAGCAAAAAAUCAUAUGUUUUCUCUUAGAGCCUGUGGAUAUUGUUUUUAGACUAAUCGUAUACGUUGCCAACAGAAAACAUUUCAGUUUGCUUACCGCUUCCAGCCACGCCUCAUGCCUAUCAAUUGAAAAACUACUGAUAUUCAAAAAAAAUACUGAUAAGUUGGAAACCGACAAGAACUCAUAAUGGUCAUCAGGACAUCAAGCUCCCGUCAGAACUCAUAAUCGUCAACCGACAAGGUGGUUGGUAUUUUUUUGAUAAAGGGGAUUUUUAUUGACUCAAAAUGUAUCAUCAAAUGAAUAUCAAACUUAAAGCAGGUGAAGAAGACAACAUAUUAUCAACAGUGUGAUCAUAUAGGACCGACACUAUGUUCAUGUCAAAGAAGGUGAUGGACCAAUCCAAAAAUUAUGCUGCCAUUCAUAUUGGAUAAAGACUUCUAUGAUCAACCGCAUACACACCGCAUUAAACAUCAAUCGGUACUUCGUUCGGUGUAGCGUAGACCAUGUACGAAGUGAGGACAAACAACACAAAACAACCUGGGAGGUGUUUUUGCCAUCAAAAAACAAGUUAUUUCUUCAUAACCAAAGCGCUCAUAAUAAGACAUAUUCUCCCGCCUGAAUUAGCAUUAUAAACCUGUUUGAAUUCCAUCCAACAAAUGACCAAUAAUAUUGAUAACACUUGUGGAAGGAUACAAAUUAGACGCUAUUCGGAUAAUGAACAAAUAGAACGCGCAAAUUUGUAUCGAAAAAGAGGUUUUUUUUAUUAUAUCGUCAUGAAUACAUAAAGUCUUCUUACUUCCUUGCCAAUUGCGACAAGCGAGAUUAUCUUUAGUUAGCACAAGUGAGGGCAAACAACACAAAACAACCUGGGAGGUGUUUUUGCCAUCAAAAAACAAGUUAUUUCUUCAUAACCAAAGCGCUCAUAAUAAGACAUAUUCUCCCGCCUGAAUUAGCAUUAUAAACCUGUUUGAAUUCCAUCCAACAAAUGACCAAUAAUAUUGAUAACACUUGUGGAAGGAUACAAAUUAGACGCUAUUCGGAUAAUGAACAAAUAGAACGCGCAAAUUUGUAUCGAAAAAGAGGUUUUUUUUAUUAUAUCGUCAUGAAUACAUAAAGUCUUCUUACUUCCUUGCCAAUUGCGACAAGCGAGAUUAUCUUUAGUUAGCACAAGACUCCUUCGAAGAUACCACAGAAAGAUUUUAACUUCAAACGAAAUCUUUGACAUCCAAUUAUUUUUGUUAUUAUCCAUUGAAACCUCUGAAUGCGUGAACGCAUGGUACAUAGAGUAGACUGUGAAGGACCUAGAUGUUGUAAGAUUCCAACAAAACAUGUUCCGUCCUUGUGUCAGGUUAAUCGGCUCCAAUCGAGAUAACAGAUUUGGACAUGACAUAAGAUGGGGGCUAAUCAAAUCCCCCCGGAAAGAAAUAUUCGGCGAGAUUGAACUGAGCACCUGUACCAGAGUAUCAUUUCUAUCGUGAAUAAUGUGAUACAAAGUUGUAUAUUGUUCUCGAAAGCUGCCAUUGACUAGCCAGUCCCCCCCCCCCUCAUGAAAAGAAUCUCCAACCCAUCAUUUAUCGCGAAGGAUACAAAGCGAAAAGGUGUUUCUUCGUCAUCAUUAGACCAGACCAAAUGUGCGAGUCAUCAUAUUUCAAGUAGGUCCAUGACAUAACUUUCUGACCUGGAUACUUAUUGCAUGACAGAGUUUAUUUUUUACUAUGUGGUUGGUAUGGUACCUGUACUUGAGACCGGUUGAUUAUCUCUCUCUCGGAAAACGAUCUCUGAAGUUCAACAACCAUAGGAGCACUCAUGUGGCAUCUUUAUAAUAUGGGGGAAAUGCAACCCAAGAGCUUCAAGAUGAUAUGUGCGAACUGUUACAAACCAAGGCGUGGUUUUGCCAACCAUCCUACCGUUGUCCUGUAUGCUACUAGAAUAUCUAGUCAGCCUCGGAUGCAGAGAGGAGUCAUCGGAAGCUCCUAGUAAGGCUUGUCAUACUUUCAGGUCGAACACGUGACAUCCCUUUAGGUUGAAUCUUGAGCUCGCAUUCCCAAUGCAUCCCACUUCUACGAAAGUUGUGCCACCCAUCAUCAUUCUUCUACACCCAACCAUUAAAAUGAACCUUGCUCCCACAUCCAUAUCGAGGUCCAAGCAGCUACGCAAGAGAAGGACAAGCUAGCAUUUGUCUUCAACUCAAGCUUUCAUAUUGCUCUGCUAUGAAGGGCAAAGUGCGUAGGUGGAAAAGGUGGUUUUGAGGUUUCCAGUCUAUGGCAUCAGCCACCUAGUGCCGCGGUAUUUAUAGUGGUAUGUAGUGUAAUGAGACGGCAUCUAAUAAACUUUGAGUUAUUUGCUUGAGCCCACUAUGUUGGAAGAAAAAACGAGUUGGUUUUCUCAUAAAAAUUAAUUGCACAACCCUUCUCUUUACAUAAUUGCUCUUUUGGUAUAUGAUAAUUGUGACCCUACUUAAAUAAUGACUGGUAUGUCGUGUCACGCACACAAAUAUUUGGACAUUGUAUUAUGCAAUCACAAGCUAAAUAAGGACGUAUUUUAUAUACUCAUGUGAGUAUGUACUUUCACACAUUCAAUAUACCUAAAAAAUGUAUGUAUCCUACCAAUUUAUCAUUCUCACUAUACACAAUUAAAUCUUCUUUUUUUGCAUGUAAAUUAAUCAUUCUAUGACACUCAGUACAAGCAGUAUGGAAAAUAUACAAAGGUGGACCCUAGUUUUUAUAGUCUACACUUUUUACUUACGGGAAACACAAACUAUUUACAGUUGAUGGACUCAGACAACAUAAUCCCCCCUUUCCGGUUUAUAGGGCUCAAAUCUAAAAUCUCAUCAACCAAGGUGAAUUGUGAGUGGAUGACACUAGUUUAAACUAGUCAAUGAAAUAUUUCUCACAUACUCAAUUUCCAAGGCAAUAAAUGUAGCAUCCUUCCUUUCAUUGGACUUGCAUGAUGGAUGUAGAAAAUGAUGCAUGCAUAGCCACUCAUCUUCUUUCUUUAAACUAUAUGAAUUAAAUAUGGCGUGAGACUCAAAGCACUUUAAUUCACUUAGAGUCAAAAUGAGCCUAAGGCCUUCCGUAAUGCAUGGUUUCUUAGCGCAGUAUCCUAGGUGGUAGUGUAUUCUAAGAUACUACUAUCCUAAUGCAUUGUAUCUUAAGUGUUGUAUCUUACAAAGAUGUAUUUAAUUGCUUGGGUGAUCAUAUUUGCAUUUCAACAUUGUGGCCUAGUUGUGGCAUUACUAAACACUACCUAUGCAUACGUACACAUGACCAAAUUUCAGAGUACACAUUUGAUAUUAUUAUUUAAAAGUUCCAAUAUAUUAUCAUAAGAAAAUCAUAACAUAUGUCAGGUUACAUAAAUCAUUUCACGAACACAUAUUAUUGUGGCCCGAACUUUUCCCAAAUAUGAUCAACCAAGUCAUUUUUAAGCGCUUUAUGUGCCGAGCGAUCUCGGAUCUCAGAAUCUCUUCGUAGUACGCCGGCGAAAUCCUCCAUUCCAUCAUGAUUGAAUACCGGUGGUAGAACUGUCGAUGUGCUUGCAGUCUCAUUCAAAUCGAGAAUAUCUGACGCCUCCUCUUUUUCAUCAAUGACAAUCAUAUUAUGAAGAAUGAUGCAAGCUAACAUGACCCUCCGGAGAUCGCCUCGAUCAUGCAAACGAGCCGGAUAGCGUAAGACAGAAAACCGACCCUGCAAAACACCAAAUGCACGUUCAACAUCCUUCCUUGCUCCUUCCUGAUGUUGGGCAAACAACUUGUGCUUCUGAGUCUGCGGGAGAGAUAUUGUCUUCAUAAAUGCGGCCCACUCUGGGUAUAUGCCAUCUACAAGGUAAUAACCAUGUUUGUAUUGUUUGCCGUUAACAUAAUAGUCGACCCGAGGUGCUUGUCCUUUCAACUGUUGAAUGAACAAUGAUGACUGAUUAAGCACAUUGAUAUCAUUAUUCGAUCCAGCUAAACCGAAAUAGGCAUGCCAUAUAUGAAGAUCAUGUGACGCCACCGCCUCUAGAAUAAGUGUAGGCACCUUUUUAUCUCCACGAACAAAUUGACCUCUCCAUUCUAUGGGACAUUUUUCCCAAUGCCAAUGCAUACAAUCAAGACUUCCUAACAUUCCAGGGAAACCACGACUCUCAUUGAUAUGAAGUAUGUUUUCCACAUCUUCCGUAUUUGGUCGUCGCAAAUACUCGGCACCAAAAAUUUCAAUCACACCUUCCGUGAAAUUCUUCAAGCUGUCAGAUGAAGUUUUCUCCCCAAGCUUGAUGUGCUCAUCAAGCAAGUCUGCAGGGGUACCAUAUGCCAAUUGGCGAAUAGCGGUUGUACACUUUUGUAGUGGAGAUAGCCCUUGGCGAUGAACAGCGUCUUCCCUUAAGGUGAAAUAUGGAGACCACUCCCCAAGUGCAUGAACGAUGCGUAGAAACAGUGGUUUUCUCAUCCGGAAUCUUCUACGGAAAUCUUUGUCGCUGUAGAGAGGAUUAUCACAGAAGUAAUCAGCAACUAACCGUUCAUGGAUUUCUUCACGAGGCCUGUCCUUGUACAUCCUUGGACCACUCCUCCUGAGAGAACUUUGGAGAGCUUCAAGUCUUCCCUUCAGAUCAACAACAAUCUCACCCGCAAAAGAGUCCAAGAUGUCCUCUUCGGCGAGAUAUUCUUCUAGGGUGUACAGAUCAGCUGGCUCUUCUUCUUCAUCUUUGUCUUCUGGAUUAUUGGGCUGGUGAGACAUUAUGUUCAAAGAAGCUAGUUCACCACAAGAGGGUGUAGUGUGUUUGUGCCUAUACGUCUCAGCUUAUAUAGGACUGGCAAGAGAAUAGGAAAUGAGAAGUCAGCCGUGAAUGUGCAUCUGUUCACAUACCUCAACAAAUGCAACUGUUCACAUACAAACAAAAGGCAACCAUACGAAUCCGUUCACAUGCCUGAGACCAUUCAGUUCACGUUCACUGACACACACACACACAUCCAUUCAGUUCACAAAUUAAAAUAACAACUUGUGCCAACAAAAUCUGCACUACGGAUUCAUGCCUCUCAACUUCAUGAUGCUUCUUCUCCUCCAGGUCCUAGAAAAGAAACAAGAAAAUGAGAGUUUGUUAAUUGUUUAGAUGAACCUUGCUGAUUAUUAAAGAAACGAUAUUGGAACAGGAACGUACAAUAGAAAACUUCCAUCUACUAGUAUCUUGCAGAACAUGUGAAAAAUAUAGAUAUUUGCAUACCUGAACCUCCUUGCGGAAAUAGCAUUGACUCCAUAUUGACCAGUGCCCUCGCACGCGCAGCCUUUGCGUUCUCAUCCAUCACACUUGUGUCGGCCAACAAUAGGUUUUGGUAAACAUCAAGCAUCUUUGUCUCUUUGGCGAGCCUUGCCGUUUGUAGCUUCUCACUUGACAUGCGUUGCUGACAUUCUAUAACCUUUUGACGCUCCUGCUUAGACGCAGCCUGAACCUCGAUGAACUUGUCCAGUUUGUCGCCAAGCUCGCUUACAACUUCCGGGGUCUUGCGUUUACCAUCACGUUCAGCCCUAGCUUUAUUGCGACCUAAAAGAGGACGCUUCUCACCAUCCACAUCGAGAACAUGAGAUGUGAGAUCAAUCCUCGUCGGUGGAUUCUUAUUUUUCUCACCGUUCAGUCUUGCAACUAACGCCAACCAUUUUUCCAUUUUCCUUGAGUUUCCUCCACAUAAGCAGAUGUUGGAAGGUUUUCUUAUGAUUUUUCUCAUACUUCUCCAGGGCCUUUGCUUGAAGUUGCUCCUCAGAAUAACCACUUGUGUACACUUGACUAACAGCACAAUACUCCCCAUGGAAAGCAUUGAUCUUGGUCUUCACCUUAUGGAAAUGUUGCUUGAGUUGUUGAGCAUCCCUCUUCCGNNNNNNNNNNNNNNNNNNNNNNNNNNNNNNNNNNNNUCCGAUCACUUGACGUUAUACUGUUGUAGUCAGCAGCAAUAUCAUCCCAGUACUUCUCGUUCUUCUUGUUAUUCCCAUCGAUUGGAUCAGUUGAGUUCUCCAACCACGCGCCUGCCUACAAUUGAGAAUAGAUAUAAUUGGUGAUCAUGCAAAUAAGCUAAAAUGAAUGACUUGAGAAUUAGGGAAAGUAAUCCCAUUACCAAUCUCGUCUCUUCAUCUGAUGUCCAAGCUAAACGUUGUGCUGUCCUAGCAGGAUCUGAAUCAUCUUCAAGGUUGACAACAAGUUUUUUCUUUUUCAAAGAACCUCUAGAUGAUGGAGCUACUUUGGCCGAAGCAGGCUGGGACGAUGAUGGAAUCGCUUUAGUGUGUGGUGGUGGCGGCGGCGUCGAAAAUGAACCAAAUUGCGGGGGAACACCAACAAAAUGGAAAUUUUCCAUACUAGAUUGGCCUUGCCGUGGAGGGUGGAAAUUUGAUGGAUGAGGCAUUGCCGGGAAUGGUGGUGUUUGUGGAUUGUGUACGAAACUUAGUAAACCAUCGGGUGGGUGAGUGUACACUGGCCUGAAAUAUACAACAACCAGAAAGAUGUCAUUUCCUAAAUCUUAUGUGGAUGCCAUGAACUAUAUUACCAUUUACUGGAACAUCACAAUAGGACCGUAAUCUAACUAAUAUGUUAUUCUUCUAAACGUCAGCAUUGAGAUACUUGUGACCAAUUUCACCUACACAACUAAAAUAAAAUACAUGUACCCAAUUCCUACAUGGUAAACAGAACACUUCAGAUUUGAUGAACCCAUCAGAUAAGAGUAAUCUAUAGAUAAAAAUCCUCAUUAGAUAGUAGUUCUGUUUCUCAUUUUCGGAAAUCUUAUUCCAUGGCCGAUUUUCAUGCUAACUAAAACUAAUUUUUGUUGAAAAGUUCAGAGCAAGAACAAUAUAGGAUGAGUUCUUUACCACUGAGGUGAUCUGCAGGCGGCACUACUGGCAGCGGCGAUAGGGGAACUGAAUUGCCCCGUCGGCGGCGGAACUGGUGUUCUUGGCGCUUUCUCCAUGGGGGCCGGCUUCUCGUCCAGAAAGGCGCGGGUGAGUGUGGAAGCUGGUGGCGAUGGAGGCGUACACGAGCGCAGGGUAGCUCAAUCGGGCGAUUCGUCGAUGUGGAAAGAUGCGGCGGUCAAUGGGGGACGAGGGAGGCGCGGGCUGACGAGGAGUAGGACCAGAGGCGGCGUAGGAGAGAGCCCUGCCGAGGCGCUGGGCUAGGAAGAGCUUGCAGCCAUGGCACAAGCGGUGGAUGGGGGCAGAGAUGCUGCUAGGAGGUGGGGCGGGCGGCGCACGCGAGAGAAGAAAGGGAUCGCUGGGUUGCCGCACGGGAUCGCUGCGUUUAUUGCGCUGCUUCGAGACCUCCGCUAAGAGUCGUAGUCAAGCUAACAUACGGCUGUAGUCUCUCUCCUCCUUAAUUAUCUAUCCACGUCAGCGUUUUGCCUACGUGGCACAGCUAAGAAACGGCAAGCCGUUCCGCAUUACGGAAGGCCUAAUAUAAUGAAAAUCUGAAAUUUUUGAGAUGAGCCCUAUAAACCGAAAAGGAGGGAGUAACUCGCUUAGCUCCUCGCCUUUGUCAACUUUUUUUUUUUGCGGGUGCCUUUGUCAACUUUCGUUGGGGAUUUUAGUCUUUUGAUUGGAGCAGAGCAUGUACCACAUGUCAUAUAGUCACGUGAAUCUUAGGCUGGUCAUAAUGGGAGUAACUUAGGUAGUAACAUGUACUUGGGACUAGCAAACAUGCUGAUGUGGCAGAUAAUUAAAGAAGAGAGAAGGUUAGAGUAACAUAGGUACAUACCGUAACAUGUUAAAUGCUAUGUUACUAUGUGUCAUGCAUGUUAAUAAAUAAGGUCAUCUAUGAUAAUAGUUUAUGAUACUAUACACUAUGAAGGUAAUAUCAUACAAUAGUAUCAUAUGCAUGAUAUUACUAUAUGUUACUCUUUACUAUGACCAGCCUUAAUACUAGUUAGUUGUGACCAGUGUGUGUGCGCGUGCGUUGUGGUCGAGUCGAGCACUGGUUCGUGGCCCUGGCGAGUCCGUAGGCGUGCGUGUUUGAGUAUGUCUGUCGCAAGUGUCUGCACGCUCGUGGCCGUCGUAGUUAGGCUAGCAGUAGUAGUAGGCAAUGCGAUCACCCAAUUAUUUAUGAUCGGGUCAACCCAGCGUCAGAAAAUUGAACUAGAUCACUCCAGGAUCACAUAAGACUUUGUUUUCUUUAUGCAGACAUGAACGCCGCCGCAUACCCCCUCGACGAGCGACCGAGGGGGCGAACCCUAGCCGCCGGGGCUAGUCCGUCGCCUUCAGCUCCCUCCCUCGCUGCCGUCAGUGUGCGCCGCCGAUCCGGUCGGCGUAGGCAGCGGCAGGGAUUUCCCUUCUCCUCAUUCGAUGUCGUGCGGCGCGGGUCGACGACGGCGUCAAGCGGAUCCAAGGCACGACGGUGCAGCAACUCCCGACGACGGCGUGUGGCGGCGCGGAUGGAGAUUGGCUGGGCGUGACGUGUCGGUUGGCUGGACGUGGCUAGAAGAUGAAGGUGGGGCAGGGCGUGGCCGGUGGCGGGGGCGGCGGCGGCGUUCAGCCCGGAUCCGGUCUUGGCAGUGGCAACGGCGACGGCUAACCCAGAUCCGACCAUGGUGGUGGCGGCGUCCCCUUCACCGGACGAUGACGAGCCAGGUGGUGGGUCUUUGUGACGGCACCGAUGACGGUGGAUCUUGGGAUCCCGUGACCGGGCUCGUCGCAGGAUCCGGUACUGGCUGCGAGUCGGGGAGCCAUAGUUGCCGGUGAAAAUCGAGCCGACGGUGGACGAUGGUGGCGUUCUGCGUCGUUACCUUGAUGAAGGCUUCGUCAUAUAAUUAUUGUCGAUCCACUCGUGCUGCUCCAGGGGAAACCCUGGGAUGUGGUUUUCCAGAUCGGACAAUGACGGCAUUGCGGUGUCGUUCCUCUCUAGGGAGUAUCGUUUGUGGAGCAGCGCUGAAAGACACAGGUAGGAGGUGGAGCGUCUUCGUCCUGCACAGAGCUUCGGUGGUGAUGUCAGGUCAUGGCUGGCCGACUGGUGCUACGCUUUGUCAUGCUUGUUCGGCAGGUGCUACGCAUGACAGAUUUUACAGAGGCUUCGCGUCUGGAUGGACGAGCACAGGGAGGUGGCGCCGUCGGGCGCCGUGGUAGCGUCGACGGAUGGCCAGACUGGCAAGGAUGAUGCGGAUAUCUCUCAUGAAGAUGGGUCAGCGGUUCGAUGAUGAUGGCGGCUUCUAAAACGUGUGCAUGUGGUGUAAGCUUUAGGUCUGCUACACCGGCUGUUAGUUUCGAUACGUUAUGUGAAUGGAUCGACGACGACACCGGUUUUAGAUAUGAGGAGUGAGAGCACUUCAUAUUAUCACGUUUUUUAGGUGUAAGUGGGGCUUUGGAUGGUUUGAUGUAUGUUUUUAUCAGACAUUUAUUAAAUAAAUAAUAAAGAUGAAUGUAUGCAUCAAUUGGACACAUAGGCAUGAUGGUCUUAACAUCCUUUUCAAAAAAGAAGAAGGCUAGGAGUAGUAGUAAAACGGUCGGGGCGUUCCGUUCGGAGCCAGCCGAGUCGUACGUGUAGAACGCAUCAUGGAGAGGGCGCGGGCUAAGCGGAUGGAUCGUGCGCUAGAUCGGGAAGCUGGGCAGUGAUGUGCGUGGAUCGGCCAAGUAUAAAACCCAUCAGCUGAGCUUGUUACGUGAGCGCGUGGUUAUAGCCUGACGUGGUGUGAAUCAGCAGUUUGAGCUGCAGAAAGAUUACGAUGUGUACGCGUUCAUACGCGCGGUGUUCCUGUGUGCUCCUCUCGUCUUCCUCCUCCGUUCGGCACUAGGAGCGAGCGAGAGUUAGGGUUCAUGCGGUGUUUCUUUCCACGGACUUUUUGGUGUAAGGACUAAAAAAAGUCCUUUUUAGUCUCAUGUGAAAGAAACAAGAGGGACUUUUAGGGACUAAAAGGGGUAUUUGGGAUUAAAGGAAGAAAUCUCUAUGGGAGGGACUUUUGGGGACUUUUUUAAAACUUUUUUCCAACAGUGCCCCUACUUUUAGCAUGUCAUUUAAUAACUUCUAGUAUAUUACUAGGGGUAAUCUGGUCUUUUUGCAUGUCAUUUAAUGACCUCUAGUCUAUGUUUAGUCCUUAGAAAGAAACGGGUAGGGACUAGAAACUUUUUAGUUGAGACUAAAAAAAGUCUUAGGACUUUUUAAAGAAACAGGGCCUCAGUCCCAACAACCAUCAGCCCAUCACCCACCGAGGCCUCCGUGCGCUCCCAUGGACAUGUGCACGGGGAGGUCUACUGGGAGCGCAGAGUGAGGUCGCGUCAUUCCAUGGGGCGGCGCUGGCUCCUAGAAUUGAGUGCAGGCGUGCGGCAGGUGCAACAUCCGGCUGGGGUGAAGGAUCUUCUGGUCUUCGACAUUGAUGCUUGAUAUUUUGCAUGGCAUUGUUCAACUAAUCAAUAAUACUCCCUUCGUUUCUAAAUAUAAGACCUUUUAGAGAUUAUACUAUGAACUACAUACGGAUGUACAUAGACAUAUUUUAGAGUAUAGAUUCACUCAUUUUACUCCGUAUGUAGUCUUCUAGUGAAAUCCCUAUAAGGUCUUAUAUUUUGGAACGGAGGGAGUAUAUGGUUGUGUGCAUCAAUCGAUGUCGACGCAGAGAAAAUAUAUACUAUAAAUGACUUCCAUGAACCAAGAAAGAAUGUGAUCACGAUGAUCAAGUUCCAAUGCUCAAAGCAAUUCUCUAUACAAAUUUUGCUAGCAAUAAAAUACAACGCCCAAAUAUAUUUAUGCAACGUAGUGCACAUUAUUUAAGGAACACUAUCAUUUUCGUAUACCAAUAUGUUCUUCUUAAAUCAAUUAUACGUGUAAUAUACAACACUCAUAGAACAAUUUUUAGUAGUCCAGUCGGCGCAGUAGAUAGAAAACCAGACAUAAGUUCUAUGAACAUGGCCUGCAAAACACGAGCAAUUCUUGCGCAGAAAAGGGUCUUUAAUUCAUUCUUUCUGGAAGCCCUACUUGCGGCUUUUCUAACUUUAAGGAUGAAGGAAAUAACUAAACAUUCAUUAGAUGCCAACUCUAUGGAUGUGAACUUUUGGUUCCUGCGUGUAUCUACAUCCUAUAUGCAAAAACAAAUUAAAAUUUCAAUAAAAAGUCAAAAUCUAAAAAUAUUUUCAAAAUAAACUUGACCUUUCAUUGUACAUGUGAGAAAAAUUCACAAAAAUAAAAUUACAUUUUGACUUAUUUUCUAAAAAGAAAUUUUCGGUCAAAAUAGCAUGAAUAGUUACCUAUAUAUAAUAACAAAUAAAUUUUGUUUUUUUGCCCAGAAGUCAAUAUUGGUUUUAUUUUUUGAAAAAUUAUAUACUAGUGCAAAACAAAGUCAAGUUUAAUAAAAAUACUUCUGAACUGUUUUCACAUUUUAUUUGAUUAUUAAGAAAAAUUCCUUAUAUAGGGUACAUAUACAAUCAGGAACCAAAGUGUAUUUCCCCAACUCUAUAAACAUGGUAUGGCUAAGGAGAUAAUUACUGGAAGAAUAUUGGGUGGCUGGCGCCACACCGCCAAAGCUUUAAACACUCUUUGAACCUAUGCUCCUACAGAUAGAAGUACAUGAGAUGUUCAUAGAUGGUCAACACAAAAAGUUGUAAUUCAAAUCAGUUUGGAGAUUGGCCAUGAUUUGUGUAGCUGAUAUGGUCUGAUCGAUGCAGAAGAAAGGUUCACUAUUCUUUGGCUUUAUGCAAGAUUUCCUAGAAGUGGGAUGCAUUGGGAAUGCACUAAUAUAUUAUGCUAAUCUGUUGAUAAAGGGUUUGUCUACAAUAACUCCGAUCAACAAGCUGAGUAGUGGUUCAGGUAGAGUUGUCGUCAAUACCUCAAGACAAGUAUUCACGUGAAGAGCUGGAUGCACUCGGGAGGGGGAUGAAGGAAAACAAUGUGGUAUGAAGUUGAUGCUCGCCCAGAAAUGAGCUAAACAAACAUUUUUUAGUGGUCUAGUAGAUGCCACUGGCUAAAAAAAGAGCAAUCCCUUCCUAGGAGUGGUGUUUCUAAGCACCUUGCAGUGGUAGGUUUUGAUGCGGUCUGCCACUGGUUCCAAUCCCAAAGGCAAGUAAUCGAUUAAGAUAGUGUGUGUGGGUGCAGAGGAGUUCAACCGACUCCUUCCCUUCCGACAGUGAUAAGAGGUGCACGAUUCAUUUUUAUUAGAAGCCUUAUUUGUCCUUUUGUCCUGCCAACACAAUCAGAAGUGUAGACGAUGCAGUACUUCAAGGCUCACUCAAAAGAAUUAAAGGCUGAAAGGUGACAGUACAUGCAAAUCCCAUGCAAUAUGCUCGUUUUACAUUUGUUAAUUACAUGUUCAUCAACAUUGCCUUUGUUCCAUUUUGUGCAUCUCCCUUGUAUUUGUUUUAUCUAGUAGUGGGAAAUUAUCUCGUGGUCUUAAUAGGUGUCCCAUAAUUUUUGGCCGACAGUCUCCAGCCGGUUGGUUCACGUUGCAUGUUGAUAACAUCACGUAAUUAGCGAAAUUAUAGCGUAUUUAUAUAGUAUGCGUCCCUUAUUUCCACCUGAAUUAAAAUAUAGGCUUUCAAACAUGGAACUCCCAAACCUUUGGUGUUAGUUCACCUAAGCAUGUAUAUGUUGGAGUACCAACUAAUCCCAUCUCUUAGUGAAGAAUAAAUGGAACGGGUCCAGAAUGAUUUACCUCUUGUCGUGCCCUGAUGGCCAGACUCAAAUUGUUAGGUGAAGUGCGAUUUAAUGCAUAACACCAUAAGAUGAAGGAAGAAAUUGUACUAGUCAACAUUAACCCAGAAGAACUAAGCAAAGCGUUUUUAGUUUUCUUGUAAAUGCAAUACCAAAAAAAAAAAUGAUGAACUCUCCCAACAAAAAAAGGAAGCAAUUCCCACAUAGUAACGUGUGCACUAUUCAUUUCUACCAGAAACCCGUAUACGUCCUUUUCCAACUUCAAAUGUAUAAGAAAAAUAAUUAGUCAUUCAUUGUAUAACAUCUCUUUGUACGUCACAUUGACAUUAUAAAUAGUGGUGCAAUAGCUAGGUUGCUUAUGGCACACCAUUAUAUGGCGAACCACUCUUCACACCCCCGAGUACAAUUACAAACCCCAUGGGGCUGUGGAGUAGCAUAAGUUGAAGCGAUGCUUGGUCUGUCUCUUUUUUUUUAACAAAAGGUCUGUCUCUCUUUGUAGCUAUUACGGUCACAUUUAGCAGGGCAGAUGUGAUGCCAGAUUUCAUAGAAAUGGGAUGUGUCAGAAAUGGAAGCUUAACUUUUGGUCAACUUCUUGUUCUUGGUUUAUUGCAUGGACAUACGUCCUCCUUAUCUCGGGGAAGAGAAACACAACGAUGCAGCAGUAUUUCUUUUUUGAAAGGGAGAAAAAGUUGCGUUUAUAGAGCACAUUACAUUGAGUCUUGACAUAAUUGUUACUCCGGCAACUCAGGAGUCGAACCCUCAGAGGAUUCAGACCCAGUGACGUUACACCCCCUCAUAUUUUGAAGCUAGACCAUGUGUGUGCGCAUUAGCAAUUGUACGAGAGCACAUCCCCUUAUUUCCAUGGCUCGAUGGGCGGGACUAAACCAUAAGACGAAGGAACAAACUAUAAUAUAGUCGACAUUCACUUAAAAGAAAUAAGCAAGCAGUUUUUAGUUAUCUUGUAAAUGCAAUACCAAAAAAGAAAAAUAUGAACUCUCCCAAUUAAAAAAAGGAAGCAAUUCCUGCAGAGUAACAUAUGCGCUAUUCAUUUUUACCAUCUUCGAGAAAUGGUCUCUACAUCAGUUGAUGCACAAAUUUUCUGGUUAUUAAUUUUUUUUGUCUUGUGCACGUCAAGCUGCAUAUAUAGUAAAAUAGGCCAAGCGGGUUUAUCAUCUUGCCGAGGAAUGGGCAAAUGUGCAUCGACAACAUUAUGACCCCCCAGGGUGGUUCAGGAGCUAUUCUCGUUUCUCAGGUGGGAGGUGAGGUUCGCUGCAGCGAAAUGUUUCAGUUUCCAUCUUCUUGCAGAACCACUUCUGGCUCUGGGCAGAGCUGUUUGCUGCUAGAUUGGCAGUAGAGAUGCCCCAAAGCAUGGGACUGCACAUUGUUCUCUAAAAAAAAUAACUUGACUGUGUGAAGGCAGUCAUCGGCAAGCUGGCAGAACUGGACAGAUCGUUGUAUGGCCCAUCGGGCCAUGGAAAUAAGGAGAUGUUCUCUCUUAUAAUUGCUAAUGCGCACGCACAUGGUCGAGCUUCAAGCUAUGACUGGGUGCAACGUCGCUGGGUCUGAAUCCUCUGAGGGCUCGCUUCCUGAGUUGCCGGAGCAACAAUUUUGUGAAGACUCGAUGUAAUGUGUUCUGACUUCUGAAAUCACAACUUUCUCUUUCUCUCUCAAAUAAGAAGUACUACUGAAUCUUUGUGUUGCUCUUCCCCGGAAUUGAAGGAAGAUGUACAUCAAUGUAGUAAACCUGCAGCAAGAAGUUAGCGAAAAGCUAAGCUCCCGUUUCUGACACAUCCCAUUUCAAAGAAAUCUAGCAUCACAUCUACCCAGCCAAAUUUCACCGUAACAGCUGCACUAGAGACCAGACGACCAAGCAUUGCUUCAACUUCUGCUAUGAGUUUUGGUGUCGAUCUGGUCCAUAUAUAGGCCCCAUGGGGUUUGUGUUUGUACCCGUGGUGUGAAGAGUGGUUCGCCAUCCGAUGGUAUGGCAUAAGCAACCUACCGCCCCACUAUUUGUAAUGUUAAUGUUACGUACAAAGAGAUAUUAUACAAUGAAUGUCUAAUAAUUUCUCAUAGAUUUUAGUUAGAAAAGGACGUAUUCUAGUGGUUCGCCAUCCAAUCGAUGCACAUUUGAACCCGCUUGGCCUACUGUACUAUAUAUGCAAUUUGACGCGCACAGGACAAAAAAAAAUAACCAGAAAAUUUGUGCAUCAACUGAUAUAGAGACCAAAAAAAUCAUGUAUAAAUGACUUCCAUUAAUGAAGAAACAAUGUGAUAAAGUUGAUCAACCUCCAAAGAUGAAAGUAAUUCUCUAUACCAAUUAUUUAGUGCACGUUAUUUAGGUAGCACCAUGAUUUCUAUAUACCAAUAUUCGAUCCUCGUAAAUCAUUUGCAACACACGUCAAACAUUUUUUUAGUAGUCCAGUUGGCAUUCGUUAAAAAACAAGACAGGUUACAUGAACUUGGCUUGCGAAGCAAUUGCAGUUCCUGAGCGGAAAAUGGUCUUUAAUUAAUUCUUACUGGAAUCCCUAGUCGUGUUUUUCCAACUUCAAAUUUGAAGAAAAUAACUACACAUUUUCAUUAAAUAUCAACUCUUUACACACAAUAUGGAUAACAAUAUAAUUUCGGGAACAAUAAUGUAUGGUUGAUGCCACACUGCCAAAGCGUGAGCCCCUCUUUGAACCUAUGCUCCUAUUAAUACAACCACAUGGGGUGUUCAUAGCUGAUGUACACACAAAUUUGUUGUUUCAAUCAAAUUGGAGCUUGCCCAAGACUUGUGUAGCUGCUACGGUCGGAUGAGGCAGAAGCAAGGUUGUCUUUAUAGAUUGUUGGCUCUAUGCUAUAUUUCCUAGAAGUCGGAUGCACUAACAAUUUGUGCUAAUCUACUGAUUAAUUAAGGAUUUACCUAGAUAAUAACUCCACUCAACACGCUGAGUAGUGGUUCAGGUAGAGUUGUCAUCGAUACCACAACUCAAGUUUUCAGGUGAAGUAGAGCUGGAUGCACCCGUGAGGAUGGUGAAGUAGAGCCUAAGGUCGUCGGCAUAGGAGGUAAUUCCAGUAGUGACCCAAGUAAUGGUUCACAUAGCUAGUGUUGUCCUAAGUUCUUUUACAUCACCCUGGUACAUGGGCAGGAAUACCAACUUAAUCUAACCCUUGAAUCAGGACGAUAGUUUCGACUUUUUGUCUGGUUCCAUCCCGAUGCCCCAACCAAGUGUGUGUGGUCUCGUGCAGCGGUGGCUACCUCCUCGUCCCUUGUAAUAUGUGCCAUUACAUCCUCCCCACAGUAAGGCAUCCACUACGUCCGUUGUAUCCCAGUACUCGAGCAUACCGUGCAUUACAUCCGUAUUGUAGUUCUUCAGAAUGUUGCAUUAUCUUGAAUCUUUCCAUUUAUUAAGUAUAUAUGUUCAUCAACAUUGUGUUUUUUUGAUUUUUUGCAUCUCCCUUGUGCUGAUUUCAUCGGGUUGCCAGCAAUUGUUCCGUGGUCUCACUAUGCGCCCCAUAACUCUUGGCUAACAGAACUCCAGUUGGCUGGUUCAUGUUGUACGUUGACAGCAUCACGCAAUUAGCGAAAUGAUAGUGUCUUUAUAUAGUAUGCACCCCUUAAUUUCCAUAUAAAUUAAAGUUUACAUUUUAAACAUGGUACUCCCUAACUUUUGGUGGUGGUUCUCCUAUGUUGGAGUACCAACUCAUCACAUAUGUCAGAUUAUAAUAAGAGGUGUGCUUUGGUCCACCCCCCCCCCCCCCCCCCCCCCGCNNNNNNNNNNNNNNNNNNNNNNNNNNNNNNNNNNNNNNNNNNNNNNNNNNNNNNNNNAAGGUGGGUAUACGUUCUACUUUCACUACACCACGACACUGCAUUCCCUACGGACGGGUGUUGGGAAAAGUCAGUAUCGCCGACCAACUGUUUGUCAGGAAAGCUUAUGACAAACAGUCGGUCGGGAAAUCUAACUAACAAUAACAAACAGUCGGUCGGUAAUACCAGAAACUGUCCUGUCGAGCGGUCGGUCGGGAAAGGUCUUGUGCCCAUCGGACCGUCGGUCGGCAAAUAAUCCCGACCAACAGUCGGACACUAAAUGGGCCUAACGCGGGAAUCACCAAAUUUUAGCGCCAAUUCAGCCCAACUCGCGGUCUUUUUCCCUUAUUUUUCCCCUGCCUUAUCUUCUCCAACGCAAAAAGCUCCCGUGCAUGCCUCACCAGCCCCGCCGCCCGCGCCAUCCCCCGCCGUCCCCCGCCGCCCGCGCCGUCCCCUGCCGCCCAGCUCCUCGCCGCGUCGCCCAGCUCUGCCCCGCGCCGCCAGGUCCUCCCCGCGCCGCCCAGCUCCUCCCCGCGCCGCCCAGCUCCNNNNNNNNNNNNNNNNNNNNNNNNNNNNNNNNNNNNNNNNNNNNNNNNCACCCGCACUGCCCUCGAUCGCCCCGGUCUCCACCACUGCCCCGGUCUCCACCACUGCCCCGGUCUCAAACUUUCCCACAUUUAGUUGAUGUACAAUUCCUCUCUGUGACCUUACUUAAACUAUCUUGUUUUCUUGCAGGUAGCACACAGAACCACUACUCGUACUACUGAGCGGAGGAAGAAGAUCUAGUAGCAGAAUAUUUGGUACUUAGCAAUCAGCUUGUGGUAUUUGAUUUUACCUAGCAGAAUAUUUGCUAGUGAAAAAUUGAUGAGUUUAAUAACAAAUGUCGACUCCAAGAUUUACUGAAGUUGUUAUCUUAGUGUAUUCCUAGCAUAACCAAAUGGAUGUUGCCCAUGAACAUAAAUUGAAGGUUUUGCUUAGGCUUCGGUUCUUAUGCAAUUUUUUCUUCAGGAGGCUGCACCAUGGGAGCUGAUCUUGAAGAGAUCAUCCACUGACGUGCUUACUGCAUUCACUCAAGUGAGUUCCUCUGCCCCACUCAAGUCCAGAUGUCGUCCAUAUGUGUGGAUGCCAUGAAUAUGUAGAGAUGCCUCCUUAUGUUUGACACUAAUUUUUGUAGUGUGUAACUAGGUUGGUUAUUAGGAUUCUUGUUACCAAGUGUGAAGCUAGCUACCAUGGAUAGAAGUUGGAUGGAUGCACAUAGGUAUAACGCCACAUAUAUAUUUUAAAUUUCUUAGAUGCCGAAACUUUAUAUAACACACUACACAUGUACACUUGCAUGUAGGCAUACAGAGAAGUACCUACAUGGGCUCGCCAAAUUCCUAGGCUACGCAUUUACUAAAUCAUCAGUCGAGAAUAAAAUCUUAUGUCCUUGCAAAAACUGUGUGAACUCGUACUGGAGAGAAGAAUCUGAAGUCCGUGAGCACCUGGUAUGCGAGGGAUUUGUAGAUGGCUACAAGCAGUGGAUAUUUCAUGGUGAACGCGUCUCUUCUUCUGCCAUUCCUCCAAAUCUAGAUGAGGGUGGCGAUAGGGAUGAGGACGAUGAUAUAUCCGAUUUGCUAAGAGACCUUGCUGCUGGUUUGAAUAAAGAGGGAGAUCUUGAAGAUGACUGCGGUUUAGAUCAGGAUGAUUCUUUUCUAGAAUCUCUUCACAAACUUGAAGCUGAUUCUAAACAGGAGCUAUAUCCAGGCUGUAAGAAUUUCUCAAAGCUCUGUUUCCUGGUGAGACUUCUUCACACCAAGCUGCUUGGAGGAUGGUUCGAUAGAAGUUUUGAUCUGUUGUUAGGUCUACUAAAAGAUGCUUACCCUAAGUCCGCGAUACCCAAAAACUCGAAUGAAGCCAAAAAACUUGUCAAGUGCUUAGGACUUGGGUAUGUUAAUAUCCAUGCAUGUGAAAAUGACUGCAUUCUAUUUUGGAAGAACAAUGCCAAUGCUAAUUCAUGCCCAGAAUGUAAGGCUUCACGAUGGAAAUCUGAAAGGAAGAGUGCAGAUGGGAAACGUGUCCACAAGGUUCCUAAGAAGGUUCUUCGUUACUUCCCAAUAAAGAAGAGGCUUCAAAGGUUGUUCGUGUGUUCCAGAACUGCGUCUCUCACAAGAUGGCAUGCAGAAGAGCGCACACAAGAUGGCUCGAUUAGGCAUCCUGCAGAUUCUCUCCUAUGGAAAGACUUUGAUGAAAAGAAUAAAGAUUUUGCAGAAGACAGCAGAAAUAUUAAGCUUGUAGUAUGUGUAGAUGGUUUUAAUACAUUUAGAUCCAUGAAUCUUAGCUAUAGCAUUUGGCCAGUACUAUUGGUUCCUUAUAACUUUCCACCCUCGAUGAUUAUGAAGCAAUCAAAUUUCAUUCUAUCAUUGUUGAUUCCUGGCGAAAUGCUCCUGGUAGUGACAUGGAUGUCUAUCUUGAGCCACUAGUUGAUGGUAUGGUAGAUAUGUUUGUCGAUGGUGUUAGGACCUAUGAUGCUUCAACCGGAUAGUAUUUUCAGUUGCGUUCUGCCAUAAUAUGUACAAUUACAGAUAAACCUGGUCUUGGGUCUUUGGUUGGCUGUGCUACCUCUGGAGAAGGAGCUUGCCCUGAAUGCCACUCCCAUGUAUGUUCUCUUAGGCUGAAAAAUGGUAGCAAGACUUGCUACAUGGGGCAUCGUAGGUUCUUACAUGCAGAUCACCCCUUGAGGCAUGAUACAUGCACAUUCGGUGACAUAGAACUUAGGACAGCACCCGUUCCACUUACCGGUAGGAAAAUCUUAGAGCUGACAGAAAAUAUUCAAACCAAGUUUGGGAAGGACCCUAAAACAAAGAAGCCUAGAACUAAGAAACGCAAGAAAGGGGAUCCGCUGAUCAUUUGGAAAAGAAAGUCUAUUUGGUUUAAACUGCCUUACUGGAAGGAUUUGAAGAUGCAUCAUAACUUUGAUAUCAUGCACAUUGAAAAAAACGUGUGUGAUAACAUGCAGAUCUUCGGUAUUUGAAGUAAACCAUCCCGCUGAAUCAUAGUAUACAUGCAACACUCUGUCAACAUGGCUACUCAUAGUAUAAAUCUACUUUCCUUUCUUUCUUCUUGUAGUCUCGCAGUGCUAUCGCAAAGAGGAAUCGUGCCAAGGCAGUGCCUCAUACAUCUGGCAGCAAGAGUCAUGCCCGUGUUGCCGAUGAAAUGGUAAAAAUAGUUACCCCCAUUAAAAAUGGCAGCAAGAGUCUCUGUUGCUAAUGCAUAAAUAAAUGAUUGCGGGCUAUCAAACUUGGGCAUGAGCCUCGCAGAGAUCAAGUUUAUAUCUAAACACAUACAUGCAAGAAAGGGGAUAGGAAAGGUAGUUAUGUGCCUCAGGCAGCAUCAACAAUUGUAAGUCUCUUUUGCCAUGCUCAGAAAUUGUACAAGUAGAAUUACUCAAAAAUUGUACAAGUAAAAUUAACAUAGCAAGUGAAUGUCAUUUUGCAGAAAGACCUCAUAGAGAAUGCUGAAACACACCCUGAAUGGAAGGAAAAAAGUAUUAAAGAAGGUGAUCUGUUUGCACGUGUAUGUGGAAUUAAGGAGCCAAGGGGUCGUGUUCGUGUGUUAGGUCUAGGGCCAACGCCACAAGAUUUGGGCACACCUGGUACACGGGGUAAAAUGAGCACAAGAGUUCUGGUUGCAAUGGAAGGGCGUCGAGUAGCUGAAAAUCGUGUUAGCAUGCUGGAGGAGCAUGUGCUAGAAAUGCAUGAACGACUGGACCGAAUGGAAUUGAUGUUGGCUUCACAAAGAGGGCAUGAUAUGGAAACUCCUAGCUCGCAUAACGGUUCCAAUUCUCGAGAAGUAAAGAACUAUUUCCACAUCUUUUCAUUGCAUCAAUAAUCCUUCUUGCAUGCAAUAACUCUGUUUUCCAUAUUGUUGUGUGAAUAGAACUCAAGACUUGCAGUUGAGGAAGAUAAUGAUGGCGAAGAAGAUGAUCAAGGGGAUGAUGAAGAGCCCUUUGUUCGUAGAAGAGUUGUUGUAAAGCCCCCUGCAAGAAGCUCAUCAGCCCAUGAAGAUGAAAGCCUGGUAAUCUUCUCAUGCUUACCUAUAUGUUUAAAUUCUAUAUUAUUUUCAUGUUUCUAAAAUUAUCAUUGAUUCAGAUUGGUACGGAUGUGCUUCUAUAUGCAUGGACUGGUCCUGAAACUCCUGUUGCUAAGGCAACAAUUAUCUCAGUUGAUCCAGACACUAUUGUGGGCGAAGAGCCCCUUGGACCAGGGACUUAUGAGGUUGUUGUCAAUGUUGCGAUCAGAAGAGAUGCUACGGUGCCUUUUGAAUGUGACGGUUUACAAUGUAUCGUUGAUGCUGUCACAAAGUCCAUUACAUGGCCAUCUAGCAAGGUAAUCACCAACAAUAUAUGUUCUGUCACAAAGUGGCAUCAAAUUGAUUUUGCUCCUUUACCUCUUCAAUUAGCUUUUUUAGUCAAAAAAAAUUAAAAAAUGAAUCUGCAGGUCAAGGGAAUAUUAGAUUUGUAGAGUUUUUUAUUUAAGUUUUAAAUCUUGAUAUUUUUUUGACAACUGAUACAACUAAUCUGGAUCUCUCGUAGUUUUGCUCACAUCUCACAUGUAUGCAAACAGAAGGGAUUUCGGUAAUGGGGAGUAGGGUACGAGAAUGGUGUAUGGCAACUGAUACAACUAAUCUGGAAAUUAGAGACAAAGAAUUUGGAAAGUAGGUGUAGGUGAGUACAGAUAAGCAUCUUUGACAACUUGAGACAAUUUAUUUCAGAAACUCUUACAACUAAUCUGGCAAUUAGAUAUAAUUAAUCUGGUAAUUAGAGAUAACUAACCAGGAAACUAGGUGUGCAGCAAAUUUAUCUGUGACAACUUGAGACAAUUAAUUUGAAAAUUGAUACAUCUAAUCUGGCAAUUAGAGACAACUAACCAGGAAAUGAUACAUGAGUAUAGCAAAUCCAUCUUUGACAACUAGAUGCAAUUUAAUUUGGGAACUGAUGGAGCUGAUAUGGCAACCAGAGGAAAUAGACAUGUAUAGCCAAUUACCACUAAUGUGGCAACUAGACUUGAUUCAUGCACGACCGAAUCAUGCAUUGUGUGAAUAUCAGAUCUUGUUUUCUGCUCGACAACGGACUUUUUUGCGUACUUUUUUGGUUGUCGCUCCUUGGUGUUUUCUGGAGACAACUGUGCACUCUAUAACCUGGUGUGAGGAGUCAUGCUUUUUGGAAGAAGAACCUCACCAUGGGGAUGAAAGGAGCAGGAGAGAAGUGGUGGUCGUGACCCGUCAGAGAAGUGUGUGGAAUCGGGAUUGGGAUGCAUGUGUGCGCCAGCCUACGAGCUUACCCUUUUUUCUGCUUUUGAUGCGCGUGUUCUCUGCUUUUAGUCAGUGUAGGAGCCGCCGCACGGCAAGACCUACGUGCGGCGCCGCUGCCUAGUCAAGCCCUUAAUCUUUUGAGUUAAAGAUGACAAAUAGUCAAAAAAAACUUGUUUGUACGUGUAAGGCUGGAGAUUCAACCAAAGUCUUCACAGGGACAUAUUAAUUUUCCUCGACCGGAGCUUAUGUCCUUUUCUCUUUGACAUCACGUACGGGUAUGAUUGGAGAUUGAACCAAUGCCAACACCUGUUGUUCUUGCUUUUUUUUCUUUGAUGGGAGCGGAGUACUAUUUUUUGUUGACAUGACCUGCUAUUUUUCUGUGCACUGGUUCUAUGUCUUAAAGGAUGAUUUGUAUUGUACAACAGUCCACUCGUUAAGAUAUUGACUCAUGAUUACUUUGCCAGAUGAAGCCGUACAAGCCAGGGGCAUCUUCCUCGACCCGCCGUUAAGGUACUAUCCUUAAUAGUUAACGGUAGUUUACAUUAAACUUAUAGUAAACCAGCACAAAGGGUAUAGAUACCUUUGAAGGCAUAGAAUUUUGUUCAAUGAUCAAAACCAUAGCAAUGACAAAAUUGUUGCUGCUGUAACAAAGCUGCUGCUGCCACAAAACUGCUGCUGUUGUAUUUUAAGAUUGUUGUUGCUGCUGUAUUUUAAGAUUGUUGUUGCUGCUGUAUUUUAAGAUUGUUGCUGUUGUUGUAUUUUAAGAUUGUUGUUGUUGCUGUAUUUUAAGAUUGUUGUUGUUGCUGUAACAAAACUGCUACUCCUGUGUGAAAAAUGCUCAGUAUUUUAAGAUUGUUGUUGCUGUUGUAACAAAACUGCUACUCCUGUGUGAAAAACUUAAUGCCAACCAACAUUUAGCCUUACUGGAGCAGCUCACAGGAAAAUUUUCACUCGAGUUUGCUAGUCAUCUCUGUUGAUAACUGCAAUUUCCUCUUUCNNNNNNNNNNNNUCCCUUAAGUGGCAAAAAUAAUUACUUUCCCUGUGUGCUACUCGAGUUGAUAACCGCUAUGACCCUUACUAUGUCAUCUCUGUUGUUAACAUUGUAGGAAAGACAAGAGGACAAGGAAGGCACCAUGAAGCUGUUGGUUUGAGCGUGUAUAGUGGAUCUCUUAGCUAUCAUUUUGUAAUGGUGGAUCUCUUAGCUAUCAUUUUGUAAUGGUGGAUCAUUUAGCCAUACUGGAAACAAUGGAGUAGAAACAAUGCACAUUUUGGCUCUUGUUAAUUAGUUGGGUAUUUUGUAGCAAACAAACAUAAAUGUUUGCAAGUGUAACGGAGCAACAAAAAUUGAUAUGUUUGCAUCUGUUUUAAUAUUUCGGAGUACAUGCAUACUGUACGGUGAGUUAGAUAUCUAAUGUGGUUGAUAUUGUUUAAGUAAGGCCAAAAUAAUAUAUAUCAUCAGCCUCUGCUGAAUUGUUGGUUGGCAUUAAGUAAGUUCAAAUAAUAUAUAUCAUCAGCCUCUGCUGAAUUGUUGGUUGACAAAACAAAACAUCAUCAAACUAUUGGUUGGGAAAUGUUUAUGAUAGGGCUGACGGCAAGUCGGUCGGCAAAGAAGCCACCAUCAGGCAAUCAGUUGGGGAAGGCUCAUACAUGGAGAACAGACAGUCGGUCGGCAAAAAAAAAUAUCAACGACACAUUGGUCGGGAAAAGUUACUUCAAGGGCCAACAGGUCGUCGGUCGGGAAAGAUCCAUGACAUAGCCGAUGGACUGUCGGUCGGCAAUUCUUCCUACUAUCGUCGGUCUGUUGGUCGGCAAAACUUUGUCGGUCGGCAAUGGGCUUUCCCGUCUGGUUUUUCCCCAACAGACCUCAUCGGUUAGCAAUACUUUUUCCCAACAGAAUGUCUGUUGGUGGAAGCUGUUAUACCGACCAACUUGUGUGUUAAGAAUGUAGUGCUGUGGUGUAGUGUUUGUACGUUUUAUGGGGGUGUGUGUGCCGAAGCAAAAGUGUUAUAAUAAAUGAAGAUGGCCCAUAUUGCUUUAGGUGCACUGUUAAUUGUUAAAUCUCCUGUUGUGUCCAUGGUGCCUCAUCUCAAAUUCUUAGUUUCGUUGAAUGCAAACACCAUAAGAUGAAGGAACAAACUAUAUACUAUGCAGUCGGCACUCACCCAGAAGAAUUAAGCAAACCGUUUUUAGUUAUCUUGUAGAUGCAAUACCAAAAAAGAAAAUUAUGAAGUCCCCUAUAGAAAAGGAAGGAGCAAUUCUGACGGAAUAACAUGUGCGCUAUUCAUUUCUACAAGAGAACGUAUACAUCUUUUCUAACUUAAAUGUAUAAGAAGAAUAAAUAGUCAUUCAUUGUAUAACAUCUCUUUGUACGUCACAUUAAUACUAUACAUAGUUGGGCAGUAGUAGCUAGGUUACUUAUGACACACCAUUGUACAUAUAUGGCGAGUCACUCUUCACACCACCGAUACAAUCACAAAACCCAUGGGGCUGUAGGAGUAGAUCAACACAAAACUUGUAGCAUAAGUUCAAGCGAUGCUUGGUCGUCUAUCUUUGUAGCUGGGCAGAUGUGAUGCCAGAUUUCAUAGAAAUGGGAUGUGUCAGAAACGGAAGCUUAGCUUUUCGUCAACUUCUUGCUCUUGGUUUACCGCGUGGACGUGCGUCCUCCCUCGCUCCGGGAAGAGAAACACAACGAGGCAGUAGUACUUCUUUACUGAUAGAUAUAUAGAGAAAGUUGCGUUUAUAGAGCACAUUACAUUUAGUCUGGACAUAAUUGUUACUCCGGCAACUCAGGAGGCGAGCUCUCACAGGAUUUAGUCCCAGCCACGUUACACCCACUCAUAUCUUGAAGCUAGACCAUGUGCGUGCGCAUUAGCAAUUGUACGAGAGCACGUCCCUUAUUUCCAUGGCUCGAUGGGCGGUACAGUGAUCUGUCCAGCUGCUUUUGAGCUUGUCCAUGACUGCCUCCACACAGUCAAGUUGUAUCUGAACAAUGAGCAGCCCCAUGCUUUGGGCAUCGCAUCUCUACUGCCAUUCUAGCAUCAUACAGCGCGACCGAGAAGUGGGUCCGCAACGAUAUGUAAACUGAAACGUUUUUUCCACAACGAACCUCACCUCUCACCUAAGAAGUUAGAAUAUAUAGCUCCCGAACCACCCUGGGGGCUGGCAAUGUUUUCGGGGCAAUUUGAGGAUUCGCCACACCUUUUAUUGUACUUUGAGGAUUUGCCCCUGUUUACCCUGUAAGUGAGGAUUAGCCACGUAUUUGCUGUAAUCUUGAGGAUUUGCCCCUGACGAGAUCGGACCAUAACAAAAUGACCAUCAUGCCCUCAUGCUGAUCUACGUGAGCAGCAGCCAGCCCCGAUCGCUCUAUCCCACAUAUCACGACGGCGGCGACGGCGGCGGUGCGACCUUGAUCUCAACGGCGGCGACGACGGCGGUGGCUGCGUCCUGGUAAGAUGUGCCACUAUAUGUUGUUCCUUUGAUCACAACCUGCUCCCCUAGGGUCGUUCCCCUUGUUCCUCUGAUGCAACAUGUGGUCCAGCUUUUGCCUUAGUAUGAAUCUGAACCAACUCCCCCUUUUGUCUUAGUAAUAGUCUGAAUCAACUCCCAGAUUAUCCUCAAAACAUAGUUGAUCAACAAACUUCAAAAAAUAAAUAAACAUCUUCAGAUUUUCUGGAAAUUUAGAGUCAUGCCAUCAUCUGCCACUUGAUUGUUAAUCUUAAGAAACCUGAAGAUAAAAUAGAAGCCAUUAGACACAUGUUACAUAAACAUGUAAAGAGAAUAACAAGUUUGAUGCAAAGCAUGUACAAUUGAUCUGUGGAUGAUGGAUGCUAUGGAUAUUGGCCCUGAUAUGGGCGUUGAUGGUGUUUCUCUCAAGCCACAAAGGUGAGAAUGAUAUUCCAUCCGCAUUUCCAUCAAUGAACAACCUAACCGUGAACUUAAAAAAAUUCACUGUAGGACGAAGCAGCCUGUUCAUGUUAACGUUAAAGUUAGAGUUCUUCCAUAUCGGGCCAUGCUUGCUGAUGGCGCUGAGGAACAAAUGGAGCGGCAGGAUAUUGAAAUGCAGAUUAGAUGGAAGGGGCUCACUUUAAAAAAAAUUGCGUAUUACUUGAGCCAAUACAUACCAUGGGGGCCAUGGCAGGAGGUGCAUCUGUUUGGCUAUGAUAAGGAUUCGGAUGAGGAAUGUAGAUUGGUUACCACUAAGCAAUUGAGAAGCCAUUUGGUUGACCAUAAGUGGGGGGAGGAUGAAAAAGUGAAGAUGCUAGUUCAGGUGCAUACCAAACCUGCUAAGAAAUCUGUCGCGAAGAGAGCUAGCAAGCCUACUAAGGAACCAACUGCUAAGAAACUUAAGAAGGCACCUGUUGAGAAGGCACCUAAAAUCCUAAAAUCAGCUAUGGAUGAUGUAUUAUGCAGUGCUUCAUCGUCCGUGGUUGUGGACAAUGCCAAUGAAGAAGCACUUGAGGUUGUUCAGUCAAUGGCGAGAGAAACAAGUGCUUUUAUUCACAACGAUAUUAACUUCUCUACAUGUGAUGUUCAACCCAAUGUGCCAUCAAUUUCUGACGUCUCUGAAAGCAAUGAGCAAUGUGGGUCUUCAGUGGUCAUGGAUAUAGAACCACCAAUUGAUUGGAGCCAAAUUGAGAUUGCUCCUCCAAAUGAAGAUGAAGUGGAUGUUCUAAUUACACAGGAGAAUAUGUGUGAUUUUCUAGGUAUCGAGGAGGAUGAGACACAAGAACCACCUUCUUCGCCACCUAGUGAAGAUAUGUACCUCACUGAUGAGGAGGACCAACAACUAUUGGCCGAGGCUGCUAUUCUUGUUGAUGACAAGAUAGCUCAGGAGGAGGAGAUUGCAUAUGACAAAGAGAAUCCUCAUAUGUAUAUAGGCGCCUUGUUUCCUUCAAUGGAAGAGUUUAGGAUGGCAAUAAAACAAUAUGCCAUUAACAAUGAAAUUGACAUAUGGGGAUCUAAAACAGACAAAAAAAGAUAUCUCGGGCAAUGCAGAGGCAUCAAGUGUCCAUGGAGAAUAACUGCUCGUUUAAGGGCAGAUGAGAAAACAAUGAGGGUACUAAAUGGAGAAUAACUGCUCUGUUUCUAGUACUCCCUCCAAUUCAUAUUACUUGUAAUAUGGAUAGGGGGAGUGAUUAAUUUUCUAUUACUGAAUGUAGUACUAUUUCUCAUUGGUCAUUUGUUUUGUAUGGAUGCAGGUCACUAAGAUGAGUAAGAAACACAAGUGUUCUUCCAGUAGCAGAGUAAAAACCACCAUGGCAACACAAGGUUGGGUUGCAGCCAAUGCAAUAAGUAUACUCCAGAAUGAGCCUACCAUAGGAUGUAAAGAACUACAAGAGAAACUCGAAGAAACUUAUGACAUCACCAUUGGUUAUGAUACAGUUUGGGCGGGUAAAUCUAGAGCCGAAAAAGAGAUUUAUGGCACUUUGAAGCAGAGUUUUCAGAAUUUGCAUAACUUCAAAGCAGAAGUUGAGAAGAGAUCUCCAGGGAGCAUUGUAGAGGUUGAUACCAAGGUAGUUGAUGGUAAAGUCCACUUCCACAGAUUCUUUAUGGCUCUUAAACCUUCCAUUGAUGGUUUUCUAGCUGGUUGUAGACCAUAUCUUAGCAUAGACUCCACGGCACUGAAUGGUAGGUGGAGAGGACACUUGGCAGCUUGUACAUCAUUAGAUGGUCAUAACUGGAUGUUUCCUAUUGCAAUUGGGUACAUUGAUGGAGAGACCGAGGAAAACUGGACUUGGUUCAUGUCACAACUCAAUAGGGCUUUAGGUCGAGUCCCUAAUUUAGCUAUAUGUACAGAUGCAUGUAAAGGUUUAGAAAAUACUGUCAAAAAUGUUUUUCCUCAUGUGGAGCAGAGAGAGUGUUUUAGGCACUUGAUGGCAAACUUCACAAAAAAAUUCAAAGGUGAUGUGUUUUGUAGGAUGUGGCUUGCUGCUAGGGCAUAUAGGCCUGAAGUUUUCACCCAUCAUAUGCAGAAAAUCUUGGCAGCUAUUAGCCGUGUGCAUGAAUAUUUGUCAACCUAUCACGGUUUGAAGUGGAUGAGAUGCAGUUUCAAUGCAGACAUCAAAUGUGAUUAUAUAAACAACAAUCUAGCUGAGUCUUUUAAUAAUUGGAUAAAAGACUAUAAAGACUUGCCUGUUGAUGAGCUUGCUGACACAUAUAGAGAGUUGUUGAUGAAACUAGUAUACAAAAGAAGAAGAAUUGGGGAGAAAUUGAGGGGAAAGAUCAUUCCUGUUGUUAUUCAACAGAUUUUCAAUAGGACUAGAGGGCUUGGUCAUCUGAAAGUUGGAAAAUCAGGUAACGGUAGUUGUGAAGUCAGGGACACAAGCAAAAACAGUCUUAGGCAUGUUGUGAAGGUUGACAAACAUGAAUGUACUUGUUUGGAGUGGAAGCAUAGCGGAAAGCCUUGUGAGCAUGCUCUAGUAUUUUUUAUGGGGAGGAGAAACCCCAAAUGGCUAGACUAUGUUCAUAAUUAUUUCUCCUUGGACAAGUUUAGGGCAGCUUAUGCAGGUGAGAUUGAGCCCAUGACGGAUAGGAGUCAAUGGCCUCAUGUGGAUGUUGGUUUUGACAUGGAUGCACCAGUUGACAAAGGGAGGCCACCUGGAAGGCCUAGAAAGCAGAGGUACAAGAGUGUCACCGAAGGUGGAAAAGGUGGUCCAAAAAAGAAAGAACGUAAACAAUUGGGCAGCCAAAACAGAUGCAAAAGAUGCAAUGAAGUAGGUCACAAACAAGCUGGUUGCCCUUUAAAUGGUCCCAAAAAAAGGUAAAUAACUAUAACCAAUUAUACUUUGCAUUACUUUUGUCAUGUUAUGAAUUGUUUACAAUUAUAUGCAUUUUGUGUCAUGUUAUAGGAAGAGAAAACAGAGAGCAAGAACAUAUCAUGUUGAAGAUGAUGAGCCAGGACCUCAAUUUGGUGUUGCUCCCAUUGUCACACCCAACAGGCAAACUGGUGGUGUUCCUGUUGGCACACCCAACAGGCAAAUGUUUACUAUUCCUGCAAGUCUCCAUGAUAGUCCCGGGCCAGUGACAAGAAGGUAGCAUGCAGUAAAAUCGAUAUUUCAUAGUUGUCCAAAGUUGAUCUCUCAUGUUGUAUUGUGUCCACUCUUUGUAGGAUGAUGGCUAUGGCCUUGGCUGAUGAAUCAUCUGAGCCAAUAGAGGAUCAUGUUCCAACAGAAAUGCCUUCAGCCUCGCGUGCCAGAAAGUUGACCCCUAAGAGAAAGAGAAUGUAGAUCGUGUCUUGCCUAUGUGCUGAACUAAAUGCUAUGUCAGGUGAUAUUUUUGGGCUAAACAUGCUAUGUGGUGUCCUUUUGUGUCGAACUAUGUACGGAUGUCAUGCAAUUUAUGGAUGUGAGACUAUGUCGAUUCUUAUGGAUGGAUGUCACACUAUUUGUUAUUGUAACCAAAUGUUUGCACUUGACAUGAUUUGUGAAGAAAUGUUGUCGAAAUGAUAGCCUAAUGAUGUGCAAUUUUUUGGCUGAAAAAUUAAACUACCCAGAAAAGGUUGAAAUAAUUCCAAAAAACAAAGUAUAUUUAACUGAGUGUUCUGGGAAAAUUGGAGCUCAUUUGAUCAAACAUAAACUGGGAAACUUAAAAUAAAUCAUUUUCAGUCUAUUUGUGGGUCGAAUUUGGCGUCAAAUUGAAAUUGUGCAGAAAACAUGGAAACAAUAACUGAAACUCAUGGAUAUUACACUGAGUAUUCUGGAUAAAUUUCAGAUCAUUUGGCCCAAAAAAAUUAAGUAACUAGGAAAAUCAUUAGCUCUUAGUAGUCCACAAUAUCAGGAAGUAUCUAGAAUGGAAAAUCUGGAGUUCUGUUAGAGUUCAGAUAGCACACACCUGUGGAGCAGCUCGGGGAAGGCAGACCAUGUUGCGGCAGCAGCAAGCUCGGUGAGGGUCAGCAGGACGUAGCAGCAAGCUCGGCGAGGGUCAGCAGGACGUAGCAGCAAGCUCGUCGACGGUUAGCAGGACGCAACAGCAGCUCAGGGAAGGUGCGCACAGUGGGGCCGUACCAAGCUCACGAGAGCACACCACCACACAGCAGCAGCUCGGGGAAGGUUGCGAAUGGUGGGGAUACAGCAAGCUCAAGGAGACAGCACCACGCAGUAGCAACUCGGGGGAAGAUUACAUGCCGGCCAGCCACCAGAGACGAACAUAGUAGUACAAGGAAGAAGAAGAUAAGGUCCGUAUGGGUCAGGGGCAUUUUGGUCACAGAAUUUGUAUUGUAAUCUACCAAAUGAUCAAAACAGUGUACGGAGGGUAAAUCCUCAAGAUUACAGCAAAUGCAUGGCUAAUCCUCAGUUAUAGGAUAAACAGGGGCAAAUCCUCAAAGUACAAUAAAAGGUGUGGCAAAUCCUCAAAUUCCCCAUGUUUUCGAUGCACAUUUGCCCAUUCCUCGGCAAGAUGAUGAACCUGCAUGGCCUAUUGUACUAUAUGUAGUUUGACACACGCUGGAUGGAAAAUAAAUUAGUAACCAUAAAAUGUGUGCAUCAUCCAAUAUGUAGAGGCCGGAAAAUGUGUAUAAACGACUUUCAUUAAUGACUAAACAAUGUGAUGAAGUUGAUCGACUUCAAGGGCUCAAAGUAAUUCUCCUUACCAAUUAUUUAGCUAGUGACACUACAAGAAAUAUGGUCAAUUAUGACUCCUCAUUUUGGUCGUUGAUUCAUCAUUGUUAUCGUUUAUUGAGCUUUUUUUGACCAAAUUCAAGAGGUCAAUAGUUGGCCGUCAAGAACGAACAAACGUGACCUUUUACACAAUUUUGGUCAUGGCCGCCCUUGACCAAAAUUUUGGUCGUAAAAUCUACGACCAAAAUUAUGGUCAUUACUAAUGAGCCUAGAACAUGUAGGACCUGAUGUGGGCAAGCCAACGCGGCGAUGUCCACGUGGCAUAUGCAAUGACAUGGCUAAAAUGAUGACGUGGACGCCAUUUAGGAUGGUCAAAAUCUGUUGUUUUAAUGGGCCACAACAAUGUAAAAGCCCAACACAUCAUCCUCUUAAAGUUUGUUCUUCGACUAAGGCAAUGUACAACCCAUUUAUUCAUUCCAUCAUUAAUUGGGCUAGCCCAUUUCUCUAAAUGGUCCAGCCCACUCACACAAUCUAACAGUUUCGGUCCAACCCUUAUUCAAGGGAGAUCAACAACAUUUCAUUGGACAAUUCCGUAGUCAACCAAAAGCACAAGAAAAUAUAAAGAUGAUAAUAAUAUAAUUCUCAGAAUGACACAACAAUAUCAUUACACCACAUCAUCUAAAAAUAACACAAUAGAAUGAACAAAUAUCACAUGCUUUCAUCAACUUUGUCCCAGCAGUAUCAUUACACCAUAUUUUCAUAAGAUGGCACUAACUAGUGCAACAUCACUAAACCACAGAGCCAAUCCCAGGACCAUAUUGUAGUUCAGCCAAAUGAACUCGUCAACCCAGCAUUAAAAUUCCUAGGUCCAAAGAACCCAACAUCAAAUUUCCCAAAGCCAACAUCAAACACACCAUACUAAGCUAUUUUACCUUUGAACAAAUCCAUGAGGCGAGCGAAUCUGGCGUCAUUUGCUUCAGCCCUAGCAUCGAUGGUCUCAGCUCUUUUCAGUAACAAAUGAUACUCUGCGGCGCAUGCAGCUUCAGCUUCCCCUGAUUUCUUCUUGACCUCAACAAGUUCCCCUCACAUCAACUCAGAGGUUUGCCUCUCCUUCUCGAUCAUAUUAAGCUACCAUGUAAAAAACACUAAAUCAAUUGUUGAUUAAAAAACUCACAACGACCCAUAUUCAUUUUCAGAAUGAGACUUGUCAUAUGAUUGCAUACCAGAAAUGACAUCAAGGAAUGUAAAUAGAUGCAAUAGAGUUGACAUCAAGGAACUGGUAAUACACCACUAAAUUGGCUAUUAAGCAAGUUCAGGUUUUGAAGGAUAAGAAAUCUGCUCCUAAAAUAACAAUGUGAUGUGUAGACUUGGAUAAUUACAUAAUAGGUUACUUAGUACUCCAUAAGUAUGAUUGCGCCUAAGCAAAAAUACCAUUCUACUACCAUGACCAUCCAUUCAACUAGCAAGAUCCAACAAUACUAAUGAGUGCACACAUACUAACAUCGCAAAGGCGGGAGAGAAUGACGAAAACUGAGAGAGACACCUGUGGAUGAUAGCAUCGACGGUGAUCUUGAUUGAGUUAGCAUCGGUGAGAAGAUGGAUGAUCUCCAUGGUGUGCUUGAUGAUGCGCACGACAAUGACCUUCUUGUUGUUGUUGCAUCCGUGCACUUGAUCAUGGGGUACCAAUGCCUCUAAAUAGAACAAAAUCACCAUCAUUAAGCCAUAGCUGCAAGUAUAAGUUAAGUAUAUAUCAAGUGAUAGUGAAAACAAGUUGGAAAAAACACUGAAGAUAAUUAUUUCAUGUCAUGCAGAGUUCAAACAGAAUAAACAUGUGCACGUUGCUGCUCCAAAUCAUCCAUGGAGGAUGCCUGCUGCUCCGAAUCAAACAAACAUGUAAGAGUAGAAAAUGUUGAUGGUCUAGUAAUUUGUGCAAGUACACUGUGAGAUAUCUUCAGAGGUUUAUUUCACAUCUAAAGAAUGGAAACAAAAACGUAAUGUAUUCAUAUGAGAAUUAAUGUUUUCUGAACCAACACUAGUGGAAAUAGGGCCUUUGGCCUGGACCCUUUAGUCCCGGCCUGCCUCUGGGCCGGGACUAAAGGCCCGGCCACGUCACCCCAAUUCCCAAUGCCUCCCUCGAGGCUUUAGUCCCGGCCCGUAAGGAACCUUUAGUCCCGGUUCGUGUCCCAAACCGGGACUAAAGGGCUACGCAGUUGGCAGCCCGCAUGUGCGCCACCUUUAGUCCCGGUUUGUGUCUCAAACCGGGACUAAAGUGUCACGCCCAAGAUGCGACCCUAUCCUCAAUUUGGCACGAGGGCCUCGUCAGGGAUAGAAGCGCAUCUCGUCGUGUCGCAAGAAUGGAUAUCGUUACAAGUACAUGUACUGAAAAGAAGAGAUAUAUAUGAAGAAUUGGCUUACACUCGCCACAUGCUACAUCAGAGUCACAUCAAUACAUUACAUAAUCAUCAAGAGUAAGAGCAGGGUCCGGCUACGGACGAAAACAAACGACAAAAGAAGAACGACGUCCAUCCUUGCUAUCCCAGGCUGCCGGCCUGGAACCCAUCCUAGAUCGAUGAAGAAGAAGAAGAAGAAGAAGCAACUCCAAAUGAACAAUCAACGCGCUCGCGUCACGUAACCUUUACCUGUACCUGCAACUGGUGUUGUGGUAAUCUGUGAGCCACACGGGACUCAGCAAUCUCAUUUCCAAAGGUAUCAAGACUAGCAAAGCUUAAUGGGUGAGGUAUGGUUAGGUGGUGAGGUUGCAGCAGCGGCUAAGCAUAUAUUUGGUGGCUAAACUUACGAUUACCAGAAAUAAGAGGGGAAGUUCUACGCAUAGCGGACGUGAACUACUGUUGAUCAAAUAAAUGAUCCUGAACACCUACCUACGUCAGGCAUAACCCCACCGUGUCCUCGAUCGGAGAAGGAACUCACGAAAGAGACAGUCACGGUUUCGCACACAGUUGGCAAGUUUUAAUUAAGUUAACUUCAAGUUAUCUAGAACCAGUGUUAAACAAAGCUUCCACGUUGCCACAUAACCGCGGGCACGGCUUUCCGAAAGAUUUAACCCUGCAGGGGUGCUCCAAAUAGUCCAUCACAAAUUACCACAAGCCGCAUAGAAAUCCUCAAUCACGAAGCUCGCGAUCUCGUCGGAUUCCCUAUUGGAAAACCUCAACUCUGAGAUUACCCAAAGCAUCACCGGAAUCCCGAUGCACAAGAUAUCUCGUCAAAGGUAAAACUAAUCCAGCAAGGCCGCCCGACGUGUCGAUGAUCCCGAUAGGAGUCGCGUACCUCGUUCUCAGGACACGGCGGAUGAGCUAGACAUCGGGAUCGCUAAACCUCCGGGUGACCAGAGGGGCGCCGGACAUCGCUCAGGUGGGACCAACACUCAUGAGGAGCACUGGCCCGGGGGUUGGUUAAAUUAUCCUCGGGGUCCGGAAAGUCCCUAUGCAAUUUAUUAGGUGUUUAGGCAAAUGUAGUACCAAAGUUGGGUCUUGCCAGACCAGCUUUAAUCUAAAACGAAUUAUCAAGGGGGUCCCCAUAACAACCCCGAUCGUGUUAGGAGCGCUCAUUUAUGGAACAUAACACCGGUCGCCGGAAACUAAGGGGGCAAAGGUGGAACAAAACACCAGGCUAGAAAGGCCGAGCCUUCCACCUUUUACCAAGUAUAUAGGUGCAUUAAAUUAAAUAGCAUUAAAUAUGGUGCUAUAACAAGGAACCCAUGCUUUGCAUGGAAGCAGCUGCACCUGCAACUAGCAACGCUACACAGGGUUAGGCAAGAAGUAACAUAGCCAAUCAGUGGUUUGCUAGGUCGAACAGGUUAAAGGUAUUCAUGGCAUUGUUGAGAGGCUGAUAUUUAACAGGUGGUAGGCAACGAGACGUAAACGAUAGCAACGGUAAAACUAGCUCCGCAAUGAUAGUAAUGGUAUCUGGGGAAAUGAUCAUCUUGACUGAGCUCCCGCUUGGAAGAAGAAUGACUCCGUGAAGCAGACGAACCGACCUAGUCGAACGGGUCCUCACAAUCCGACACGCUUGCGGAACUCUAUCGAGACGGGGGAACCGGAAACAAGCAUCAACACACGAUAUUCACCACACGAUGCACAACACAUCUGAUGCAUGAGCUACUGAAUACAUGCAAGUCACGGCAUGACAAAUUACACAAUCAAACACUACACAUUAAGUGAAGUUCAAUAUGCACGAGUUGCAGAUUGACGAAACUCCACGUUAAUUAUUUAGUUCACUCCCGGUUAUUAACACGACAAUAUUAAUGUUGUCAAACAUGCAAGAGGUGAAGUGGAAAUUAAACUACCUAUCUAGGCAUUUUAAGUGAGGUCGGAAAUGACAUAUAGCAUCUCCGAAAUGACCUCACAUGUUAAUUUACCAUUCUGUCAAGAUCUGAAUUAACACAUUUAAUUAGUUGUUAAACAGCAAAACAAAUAGGUUCACGUGAUUCUACGCGUCAUGACAAGCAAUCUACACAUAAAGAACAUCUCCAACGGAGCUACGGUUCAAAAGUUACGAGCACCGCAAGCUAUGAUGGCAUGGAUGCAAAAUGUGUGCAACGACGUCUACGAGCACAUCAAAACAACCAACCAGCAAGAGAAAAUGAAACUACACAAGAUUCUAAACAAGUUUCAUGUAGGACACGAUCAAAACGGAGCUACGGACGAGCAAAACAAGAAAUGACUACAAUCUGCCAAAAUCAGCCACGUAGCAAUUUCUACGCCCCACAACUUCGGCUACACAACUCCGAUAUGCCCAAGCAAGGCAUGGCACGGAAGAGGGCAAGAAGCACUUCUACUAACAACUAUCAACAACUAGCAUGGCAGCAAGGAGCACUAGGAAAAGAAGUCACAAAAUGGCAUCUCACACACUAUUUCAGACUUAGUGAAAAUAACACCUCCUGAAAGUGCAGUUUUCGAUCUGAAGCAAUAUUGACAGCAGGAAAAACUAUAGCUACAGGACUCCAAAUGGCAUGAAACUUAACAUCAUGCUAGAGAAACAUGAGGGGUACAACUAACUCCAUUGGACCAACCUCAAAAGAGCUACAGAUCUAAAUAUGCAAGCAAGACAAGACAGCAACAAAAUAUAAGAGAUUCCAGACUUAGAAAUAUUUCAGCACGUCUAAAACAGCACUAUUUCUAGCAACCUAGGAGCUAGCAAACAACACCUAAACAUGCAUUUCUAAUGCAACCAAAAAUACCACGGGCUAACCAAAACAUCCAAGAUCAACUCUCUAGUUGACAACUCCGUCAAACGACGCCCGGAAUAAAUCCUACGAAUUAAACAAGAGGGCAUCACGGCAAAAAUAUUGCACGAACUAAUUUACUCAAAAGUUAAAACUAAUUGCACAGGAAAAUCCAUGGGAUUUUUCUACCCCGGAAACAUAUAAAAUAUGUGGGGUUUGCACCACAAAAUAAUGCCACACAUUAAUGCGAGAUAUACCUCUAAUCGCGGGAAAAUAAAUUACCGGCAAAUCCUACACGCAAAAAUACGUGUGGCCACUCUAAAACACAUGGCAAAUAAGUCCCUAAAACAUGGGCAUUUCUAAAACGGCAUUCGGGCAACCGGACACGCGCGAAAAAAAAAAACUACGGGCAAAAACAAUAUAGGCAGCACACAAUUCUAGGCAUACGGCGCGUUAACGACGUCAAAUAAAUAUGCAAGUUUCAAAAUCAUAUUCUACGCGCGAAACUACCACAAAACCAUAUAUAAAACGCGUCGUUCCGACUUACGGUUUAAAAACUACGGACGAAAGAAAAUCUAGCAAUUAAACUGGAAUUAAUAAAUCUCUAGAUAAUAGAAAAAUGCCACUCGGGCCGAAUCCGACGCUUAACGGGCCUAGCGGAGCGGCGCUAAUGAUCUAAGCUAUGCCUAGGCAGGGGAAAUAGUGGGCAGCUCACCUUGGGCCGGAGUCAACGUGGAGAGGAGGCGGCCCACGGACGAGGCGCGGGGCAGGCCGAUCAGGGGCGAUCUGGGCCUCGCCUGGAUCUGGAAGGAGGCAGGCCGACGGGAGGCUCUACCGCUGGGCUGGGGCGAGGAGCCGGGCAGGCCUGGGCGGGGCGAGGCGGCCCACGUGCCCAAGCGGCAGGGAGAGCAAGGCUCCCUCGUCGUGCACCUCCCGCGGGGCGAGGGCAGGAGGGACGGCGGCGGCGGGAACAGGAACGCCCCCCCAGCGGCCGGAUCUGGCAAGGGCAGGGGCGGGGCAGCGACUGGCACCGACGGCGAGGCACUACGGGCGGCGGGGUUGGUAGAGAGCUCCGGCGAGGGCGAGGGAGCACCGGAGGCCGUCGGUUGCAGCAGCUUCGGCCGACGGGAGCGGCCGGCUCGGGCUCACCGGCGAGCGGCGGCCGGAGGCAGUGAUGCACAGGGCAGGCGGCGGGGCCGGACGGGGACGGGGCCGGCACGGAGCUGUGGCCAGGAGGCGCGGCAGCGCUCGGAAGGCUCCACGGCUAGGGCAAUGCAGGGUGCCGGCGGCGGCUCGGUUCGGGCCCGGGCGGGCUCCAGAUUGGCCUGGGCGGGCUCGCGGCGGCUGGUGGCUGAGGGGAGGAGAGAGAGAGGUGGGAGGCUAGGGUUUGGCACGGAAAAUGAGGAGGGAUUAGAGGGAUGCUGUCCGGAAAUUAGAAGGGGUCUAUAUAUAGGCAAACGGGGGGGGGGGGGGCUCGGUUAACCGGAAUCACGCUCCGGAUCCAACCGUGGGGUCGGAUUCGGACGAUUCCGCACGCGGGAAUGGGUACUCGGCCAUGUAGAGGGAAUAUCCGGAGACGAGAGGGAGAACGGGCGGCGCGGCAAAGGAUUUUUAAAACACCGACAACCGUCCGACGGUAGACCGAAUACGGUGCCGCUACGGUCGACCGUUCGGGUACCAGACGGACUCCGAUCGCGAUGAAAUUCGACAGGCGGCCUAGCUAUAACUAAUCAUGACCGCGUGCCAAGUUUCACCUCGAUCAGAGAAAGUUUUAAACGCACUUUAAAAAUAGGGUUUCGACGGUGUCGCGGGCGCGUGCGAGUGCGGUCGGACUCAGAAUGGACGACGACAAGAACCGGCAACUACUAACGUAUGCAAGUUUUGAAAACUGGCGGCAACGGAGAUGCCGAUGCAAUGCUGAUGCUGCGCAUGAUGCGAUGAUGAUGCGGCAACUGAAAAUACCCACACGACGAAAACGGAAAGAAAAGGGGAAACUUCUGGAACGUCGGCAUCGGGCUGUCACAUAAAGUCCUCUGCCUAUAUAUAGCACAGCCCCCCUCUCCCCUCUUCCUUGCAUUUUUCUUGGAUGGAGGAUUGUGGGUGGGUGCUUGCUCUCCACUUUUUUUGAUGCACUAGAGGUGUUUGUUGAAAUGUGUGUUAGAGCGAUGCCACUUCAGUUCACCGAACACAACUAUGAUAUGAGAUGCCUGAGCCACGCUUAAACCUCUUCCUCUUUAUUUCUACUUAUUAUAAAAGGUUAGCAACUAUAUUUCCUCGUUUAGACCGUGCGGUACUAAUUUUUAGGAUCGUGAUUGUAUUUGAUAUACUGUCGUAUAACACAGAUGAGCCAUCCAUGGAUAUACGGUGAUCGACACACAACCGCUUACAGAGAAGGCGUGUAUUCUUUUCGAGAUGCAGCCGAUGCGAACAAGCAUGGUGGUGGCUAUUUGUUUUGUCCAUGUGUUGAAUGUCGGAAUGAGAAGGAUUACACUUCCUCAAGAGUCAUUCAGAGCCACCUGCUUCGGUCCGGUUUUAUGUCGGGCUAUAAUGUUUGGACCAAGCACGGAGAAAGAGGGGUUAUGAUGGAAGACGACGAUGAAGAAGAAGAGAACGAUGAUGACAACUACCGAUCUAUGUUCCCUGAGUAUGCUGAUACCGCAAUGGAAGACAAUGAAGAAGAAGAUCAGGAUGAAGAAUGGGAACCAGAUGAGCCCGCUGAUGAUCUUGGCCGCGUCAUUUCUGAUGCACGGCGAGGUUGCGACACAGAAAAGGAGAGGUUGCAGUUCGAGCAGAUGUUACAGGACCACAACAAAUUGUUGUACCCAACUUGUGAAGAUGGCCAGAAGAAGCUCGGUAGCACACUAGAAUUGCUGAAGUGGAAGGCAGAGACCGGUGUGACUGACUCGUCAUUCGAAAAGUUGCUGGUACUAAUGAAGAAGAUGCUUCCAAGAAAGAACGAAUUGCCCGCCAGCACGUACGAAGCAAAGAAGCUUGUCUGCCCUCUAGGAUUAGACGUGCAGAAGAUACAUGCAUGCCCUAAUGACUGCAUCCUCUACCGCGGUGAGAAGUCGAGAAUAUGGAUAAAUGCCCGGUAUGCACUGCAUUGCGGUAUAAGAUCAGAAAAGAUGACCCUGGUGAUAUUGAGGGCGAGCCACCCAGGAAGAGGGUUCCUGGCAAGGUGAUGUGGUAUGCUCCUAUAAUACCACGGUUGAAACGUCUGGUCAGAAAUAAAGAUCAUGCGAAGUUGUUGCGAUGGCACAUGGAAGAUCGUAUGAAAGACGAUAAGUUGAGGCACACCGCUGAUGGUCGGCAGUGGAGAAAAAUCGAGAGAGAGUUCCCGAGAUUUGCAGCUGACGCAAGGAACUUAUGGUUAGGUCUGAGUACAGAUGGCAUGAAUCCUUUUGGGAGCAGAGUUGCAGUCACAGUACCUGGCCCGUUACUCUAUGUAUCUACAACCUUCCUCCUUGGUUGUGCAUGAAGCGGAAGUUCAUUAUGAUGUCAGUGCUUAUACAAGGUCCAAAGCAACCCGGCAACGAUAUUGAUGUGUACCUAAGGCCAUUAGUUGAUGAACUUUUAUAGCUGUGGGCCGAACCAGGUGUACGUGUGUGGGACGAGCACAAACAAGAGGAAUUUGACCUUCGAGCGUUGCUUUUCAUAACCAUCAAUGAUUGGCCUGCUCUUAGUAACAUUUCAGGACAGUCAAACAAGGGAUACAAUGCAUCCAUGCACUGUUUGGAUCAGACAGAAAGUAUAUAUCUCGACAACUGUAGGAAGAAUGUGUAUCCGUACAAUCGUCGUUUUCUUCCGCCCAAGCAUCCCUUAAAGAAAAAAGGCAAGCAUUUCAAUGGCAAGGCAGAACCCCGGGGGAAGCCUGUCAUCCGUACUGGUGCUGAAGUAUUUGAUAUGGUCAAAGAUUUAAAAGUAAUCUUUGAAAAGGGUCCUGGCAGCCAACCUGUUCCUAACGGCCCUGAUAAGCGCGUACCCAUGUGGAAGAAGAAAUCUAUAUUUUGGGAGCUACCCUACUGGGAAGUCCAUGAGGUCCGCUCGGCAAUCGACGUGAUGCACCUGACGAAAAAUCUCUGCAUGAAUAUUCUAGGCUUCCUGGGCUUGUAUGGAAGUCAAAAGAUACACCGGAAGCACGGGAGAACCAGGAACGUCAUAAAGGAAGAGAUGGCAUGCACCCAGGGCAGUUUCAAGGGCGUGCCAGCUACGCUCUUACUAAGGAAGAGAAGGAAAUCUUCUUUGAAGUCCUGUUCAGUAUUAAGGUCCCGACUGGCUUCUCGUCGAAUAUAAAGGGAAUCGUAAAUAUGAAAGACAAAAAAUUCCAAAACCUAAAGUCUCAUGACUGUCGCGUGCUUAUGACGCAAUUGCUUCCGGUUGCAUUGAGGGGAAUUCUACCGGAAAAUGUUCGCCUGGCAAUUGUGAAGGUAUGUGCAUUCCUCAAUGCAAUUUCUCAGAAGGUAAUCGAUCGAGAAAGUCUAUCACGGUUACAGAUUGAUGUGGUCCAAUGUCUGGUCAGCUUUGAGUUGUUGUUCCCACCAUCCUUCUUCAAUAUAAUUACACACCUCCUAGUUCACCUAGUCGAAGAGAUUAGAAUUCUCGGUCCUGUGUUUCUACACAAUAUGUUCCCCUUCGAGAGGUUCAUGGGAGUCUUAAAGAAAUAUGUGCGUAACCGUGCUAGGCCAGAAGGAAGCAUCUCCAAGGGCUAUGGAACAGAGGAGGUCAUUGAGUUUUGUGUGGACUUUCUUCGUGACCUUAAGCCGAUUGGUGUUCCUGAAUCUCGGUAUGAGGGUAGGCUGACAGGAAAAGGCACACUAGGAAGGAAAGCAAAAGUAUGUAUGGACGAGCAUUCUUUCUCUCAAGCACACUACACAAUUCCACCGUGGUGGCUCCGUAUAUCGUGAGACACAAGAAUAUUCUACGCUCCGAAAACCCGGGGAAGGCUGACUCUUGGAUUAAAGGGGAACACGAGAAGACUUUCGGCAGUUGGUUGCACACACAUCUCAUGAAUGACAACACCGUUGGAGAUGAGCUGUACUGUUUGGCCAGGCCACCAUCUUCGACUAUAUGUACUUUCCAAGGGUAUGAGAUAAAUGGGAAUACAUUUUACACGGUUGCCCAAGAUAAAAAGAGCACCAACCAAAAUAGUGGUGUCCGCUUUGAUGCAACAGACGAGAAUGGGCACUGUUUUGAAACAUAUUACGGGUACAUAGAGGAGAUAUGGGAACUUGACUAUGAACCUACUUUUAAGAUCCCUUUAUUUCGGUGCAAUUGCUGAAGCUGACAGGAGGCGGGGUAGUUGUAGACCAAAAGUAUGGCAUGACAACAGUGGAUCUCAACAAUCUUGCGUACAUGGACCAAAAGUGCGUCAAUGAUGUCGCUCAGGUUUUCUAUGUGAAGGACAUGUCUACAUUAACGAGAAAAACAAAUCAGCAAAAGAAGAUAUCGUCCGAUGAGCCAAAACGCCACAUAGUUCUUUCACGGAAAAGAAACAUCGUGGGAGUAGAUGACAAGACAGACAUGUCAGAAGAUUAUAAUAACUUUCAUGAAAUUCCGCCCUUCAAAGUGAAAACUGACCCAAGCAUCCUACUGAAUGAUGAAGAUUCUCCAUGGCUACGACCCAGAAGAAAACAGAAAUAAUAGAUAGGAAUAUUGGUGCAAUAAUGUAAUAAUGUAUGAAACCUUUUAUGUAAUGCAUGUAUGGAAUGUACUAAAUUUCAAACACUUUUCAUUUUCAUUGUAUCCAUGUAAGAGAUGAGUUCUCGUUCGAAACCCUCAUACUUCGAGAGAGAUUAUCCGUUUUGUACACGAAGUGCAUCCAGUUUUUGUCGUAGCCCUAUCAACUUUUUAACACAUGCUAUGUGGGUGAAUUGAUGAUAGCAUGCCAACUUUCAACAUUUUCAGAGUUCAUUUGUAGUGCUUUUCAAUUUCAGGGUGAACUAGCUCAAAAAAAUAAGUAAAUGCACGAAAUAUACCAAAUGAAGUCAUAAAUUGUUGAUUUUUUGUGAUGUGACUUUGAAUGGUGCAUUUUGCACACACAAAAAGUAUGGAGUUCAAAUAAGUUCAAAAAAAUGAAAUGCCUUUGUAAGAGAUGAGUUCUCGUUCGAAACCCUGAUACUUCGAGAGAGAUUGUUCGUUUUAUACACGAAGUGCAUCCAGUUUUUGCCGUAGCCCUAUCAACUUUUUAACACAUGCUAUGUGGGUGAAUUGAUGAUAGCAUGCCAACUUUCAACAUUUUCAGAGUUCAUUUGUAGUGCUUUUCAAUUUCAGGGUGAACUAGCUCAAAAAAAUAAGUAAAUGCACGAAAUAUACCAAAUGAAGUCAUAAAUUGUUGAUUUUUUGUGAUGUGACUUUGAAUGGUGCAUUUUGCACACACAAAAAGUAUGGAGUUCAAAUAAGUUCAAAAAAAUGAAAUGCCUUUGUAAGAGAUGAGUUCUCGUUCGAAACCCUGAUACUUCGAGAGAGAUUGUUCGUUUUAUACACGAAGUGCAUCCAGUUUUUGCCGUAGCCCUAUAGAAAUUGUUGAACACACAAAAAGUAUGGAGUUCAAAAAACCAUAUUAUGAAAUUAAAUAUUAUCAUUGGCGAUUCAUCUCUAUUAUGAAAUUAAAUAUAUCAAAAAACCAUUGGAGAACAUAUGACCAAAUUAAUACAAGUUCAUCAUCACAUUAAAGCCAAAGGACAGUAGUGAUCAAAUGUUAUUAUUGCAAAAAAUAAAUACACAAAGUUCUCUCAUAAAACAACAUACAACUAUGUAAAACAUUUAAAUGCAACAAAAAACGCGAUCAAAAUCGCAACUAAGGUAACAAUUUACCCAACAGCAUAAUGAUACCAAGCCUCUUUAUCAAUGGCAUAUUUUCUAAUAUUCCUAAUCUUCAAGCGCAUUUCAUCCAUCUUCAAGCGCAUUGCAUCCAUCUUCAACCGCAUCGCAUCGAUCUUCAUCUUGCGAUCAUCGAUGACAUCGGCGACAUGCAACUCCAGUUCCAUAUUCUUAUCCUCAAUUAUUUUCAAUUUUUUCUGCAAGUAUUUGUUUUCUUUUUCAACCAAAUUUGACUUCUCGACAAGAAUUUUUAUGUGGGUUGGAAUUUCUGGUUCACAUACCUCCUAGAUUAAAAAAAAAUAUGUCACAUUGGUCAUCAUAAUUGUCAUAAACACUAAAUAAAACAAAUAGUUAUAAAAGAUAAUAUAUACCACAUCCGAAUCAUAGACAGGACGAGGGCCGACGGAGGCGGAUACCAAAACCAUCGCACUAUAUAAUAACAAAAAAUAAUGAAAGUGAGUAAUUUAUACAAGUAUGUAUCUAAAUCAUACAAGUAAGAUUUUUUUGAUUUUAAAAAGAAGAUAAGAACAAGAGGCUCACCACGGUGGUGCUCGGAGUUGGUGCACGGCCAAACCUAGACAAAUAUUAAGGAAAAUGGAGCUUGGAGAGGAGAAAGCUUAAGUAGAGUGGCUCGGGCAUUUCAUCGAACACGUCAUGUGCAUGAACUAGAGUGGCAAGAGCAUGGCAUGGUCACACUUCAACAACCAAAAAACAGGGGAUAUGGUGGGCAGGGGCGAGGGUUUAUAUAGGCAACACUUUAGUCCUGGUUCUUGCCACGCCCCGGGACUAAAGGCCCCUGCUUCCCGCCUUCUGGUCUACCGAAAAAGGGCCUUUAGUCCCGGGACGUGGCUUCACCCAGGACUAAAGACCCCCUUUAGUCCCGGUUCUUGCCGCGCCCCGGGACUAAAGGCCCCUGCUUCCCGCCUUUUGGUCUGCCCGAAAAGGGGCCUUUAGUCCCGGGUCGUGGCUCCACCCGGGACUAAAGGGGUCUUUAGUCCCGGAUCGAGCCCCGAACCGGGACUAAAGAUCCACCUGUAUAAGCGGGAGUUAGAAAAUUUCGAACCCAAAUCGUCCAUUUCUCUUCUUCUUCCUCUCGUUCUCCUGCCCGGCACGGCAAGCGACGAACUCGACGACGCCGUCAGGCUGCCCGCCGUCCUGCUCGCCGCAGCCUGCUGUCCUCCUCGCCGUCGCCGUCGUCGUGCUCGCUGCCGCCGUCCUCCUCGCCGCGCGCCGCCCUCCUCGCCGCGCGCCGUCGACACCUCCGUCCGGUAAGCCCCACGCCCCCUCCUGCCCAACACUCCGGCCAGCACAAGCAAAGAAGAAAAAGGAGAAGAAAGGAAGAAAAAGGAGAAGAAAGGAAGAAAAAAGAUAAGAAAAGAAGAAAAAGGAGAAGAAAGGAAGAAAAAGGAGAAGAAAAGAAGAAAAAGGAGAAGAAAGGAAGAAAAAAGGAGAAGAAAGGAAGAAAAAUAGAAGAAAGGAAGAAAAAGGAGAAGAAAGGAAAAAAAGGAGAAGAAAAUAAGAAAAAGGAGAAGAAAGGAAGAAAAAGGAGAAGAAAGGAAGAAAAAGGAGAAGAAAGGAAGAAAAGGGGAAGGAGAAGAAAGGAAGAAAAAGGAGAAGAAAAGAAGAAAAAGGAGAAGAAAAGAAGAAAAAAGGAAGAAAGGAAGAAAAGGAGAAGAAAGGAAGAAAAAGGAGAAUAAGAAGAGGAGGAGAAGAAAAGAAGAAAAAGGAGAAUAAGAAGAGGAGGAGAGGAGAAGAAGAGGAAAAAUAGAAGAAGAGGAGAAGUAGAAGAAGAGAAAAAAUUAGAAGAGGAGGAGAGGAGAAGUAGAAGAAGAGAAGAGGAGAAGUAGUAGGGAGAAGUAGUAGAAGAAGAGGAGAAGUAGAAGUAGAAGAAGAAGUAGAAGAAGAGGAAAAAUUAGUUUAGGGUUACAAGAAGAAGAAAUAUUUUUUUUGUCAUUUAAUUUUCCUAUUGUAUAGUGUAUAUGCUUAAGUGUUAAUAGUGUUUCUUAGAUUAUUGCUUAAUUUUGCUAUUGUAUAUGCUGAAGUGUUAAUAGUUUAAUUUUUCUAUUGUAUAUGCUUAAGUGUUAAUAGUUUAUUUUUAGCUAGAAAAUUAAUAGAACUAGUUUAAUUUUGCUAUUGUAUAUGCUUAAGUGUCCGGGACUGUGCUCCGCCCGGCUGGUAUUUUAGAGUUUAGGUUCUAGCCAAGACCCGGGACUAAAGGUCCUCCUAUAUAAAACGAGCCUUCGAAGUUUCCAACCCCUCUUAUAUAGUUUGUUAGUUUAUUAGUUAAUCAAAUGUCCGUUUUUUGCAGAACUAUGGAUCCACAUAUCAGGAACCUCGAAGAGGAAGAACUUCUCGAAGAUAUAAUCAAAGACGGCCCCGACGUUGAACCAGCCGAAUCUCCGACGUCAUAUCUAAACGACUCCGGACAUGGAAUGGAGGUCGAGCGACACGAAGAUGAAGCCGAUGGGGCAGGAGAUAGGUCCAAUGACGGAGAAGGUGAUAGCUCCACUGAUGGAGAAGGCGGUGGAGAAGUCGUUGAAGAAAUAAUAAAGUACGGCGAGGUAUACAUAUGAAGUUCGACAAUCACUUGUAAUAUGUGAAAAAUAUUGGAGAUAGCUCUAUACUGUAUACAUAUACAUUCAUUUGACGAAUGUUUUUCCCUCUUAGGCUUCCACAUCGAGCAAAUCUACGAAACGAGGCCCGACUAGAAAGUUGGAUGCACGGACGCAUUACACCUUUGAGGUGAUAAUGCCUACGGGCGAACCCAAGCUUCCUAAGAAUGUUGCUAGCACAUUCAAGAAGCAAUGCGGAGUUCUUCUUAGGGAUCACGUCCCGAUCAGCGUUCGGGAGUGAAACAAGUGCAAAGGUGCAGCCGAUAGUGACUAUGUCGCCGAAAGGUACAAAGAUAAUCUUUGGAAUGAUCUCAUGUCACAUUUCAACCUGCCAGAAUGUGAGAAUGAAGACGCCGCAGACAAACUGAGGGCCAAAGUCAAGUAGUGGACUCUAAAGAAGAUGGCUGAACUGUUCUGUAGCUGGAAGAAGAAGCUAUGGAAAAACUAUCUGAAGACAUCGAGGGGUAUCUAGCCAAGCAGGCAACGAAAUUUCAAGAGUACAAGGAGUCAGAAGAUGCCCAGGCAUUAUCAGAAAAGAACAAGAUAAAUGCUGACAAGAAGAAAUAUCACCACAAGCCGGGGCCAGGGGGCUAUGAGACUGCCAUCCCAAAGUGGGAAAAGAAAGAGCAAGAUCUGAUAGAUAAAGGCAUCGUACCUGAACCACUCCGUGAUGAGUGGGAAUUGAGAGCAAGAAAUUGGUUCCUUGCGCAUGGUGGGUCGUACGACGAAACAACAGGGGACCUCAUCUGCAAUGACAAUCUUAUGAUACCAGGGAGAAUUGGAAAAGGAUAGUGAAAGAAAUUAAGGAGGGACAAAGAAAGUUCACUGCAGAUAGAGAUAAAGAUUUGCUCACACUGGUCCUCGGCAAUGACGAACAUGGAGGACGAACGCGAGGCUUCGGUCCAUCUUACCCGUGGUGGCUUGGGUUUGCCAGAGACCAAGACACUUACAGAAGCCGAGAGAGAGCAAAGAAGCGGCAACAUGAUGAGGAGAAUGACAAGUUCAACCAGUUGCUUGCCAGGAUUAACGAGCAACAGAAGCAGAUUGAUGAGCUUAGAGGAGUACCGCGCCAGGAAGAUCCUGCACUUGAUAUUACCGGCGCCCCAUCUAAGCGGAAAAGCAGUGUGGCUGAAUCUGAGGCCCCGCCCGACGAUGAACGAAGAAUGAUAGAGGGCGAUCCCGGCUACCCCGUGGAUGGAAUCAAGGAGUCAACAUCAUGUGAAAUCCAUCAGAAAUUCAAGAACAUAUCCAUGAAGGUGGCCGUCGGACAAGCUUUACCUUCUGGCCCUGAUGCACGCUGGCAUGGCCGUGAGGUUCCAGCUGGCUUUGCUAAAGUCGGGGUGGAUGAAAUCAUGAUGGGGUUUAAUGAUAUGGAGCUCGACAUAGCUGGACCCGAAGAUGAGAGGACACUCGGAGAAGUACUGGGUGGAGUCAUCCUAUGGGACAAGAACUACAUCAAGCUUCCAGGCUCGGCCCCCAGGACAACACCGCCUCCGAGUCGUCGCAGGUCACCUACCCCUCCAUUCCCUCCAAGCCCUCCACAUGACGUCGGCCAGCACAACACGAGUCCAUCUCGAUCACCGCCACCGGACUUGGGUCGUCCGUCUCCGCCACCGCCCGCUCCGGAUACAAAGCCUGAGCCUGCCACGGAUACAAAGCGGGAGCGUGCCACCAAGAACGCUAGGCCGCCGCCCGCUCCGGAUACAAAGCCUGAGCCUGCCACGGAUACAAAGCGGGAGCGUGCCACCAAGAACGCUCCGCCGCCGCCCGCUCCGGAUACAAAGCCUGAGCCUGCCACGAAUAUAAAGCGGGAGCGUGCCACCAAGAACGCUCCGCCGACGAUUCCUAAGCCUACAAAGCCUGAGCCUGCCACGGAUACAAAGCGGGAGCGUGCCACCAAGAACGCUAGGCCGCCGCCCGCUCCGGAUACAAAGCCUGAGCCUGCCACGGAUACAAAGCGGGAGCGUGCCACCGAGAACGCUCCGCCGCCGCCCGCUCCGGAUACAAAGCCUGAGCCUGCCACGAAUAUAAAGCGGGAGCGUGCCACCAAGAACGCUCCGCCGACGAUUCCUAAGCCACAGAGCACCCCAAAGCGCAAACGGUCGCCCCUCCCAAAGGUACGUCAUGCUAAUCUUCCUAUCGGACCUUAUGAUCGUACCCCCGAGGAAAACACGAGGAUAGCAAAGGAACAUCAUGAUGCGCAGAUGAAAAAGAAGGAACCCGAGCCCCGCCCGGAAUACACCUAGAAGCAAAUAGCAUUUGCAAAAUACUUCACGACCCUUCCAUCACAGUAUGACUUACACCAUAAGCCUGAUGACUAUAUACGCACAUUGCAGAAGGAAGUGAAAAAGAGCAGAUCACGUGCAAGCCCUCCACAUGACGUCGUCCAGCACAACACGAGUCCAUCUCGAUCACCGCCGCCGGACUUGGGUCGUCCGUCUCCGCCACCGCCCGCUCCGGAUACAAAGCCUGAGCCUGCCACGGAUACAAAGCGGGAGCGUGCCACCAAGAACGCUCCACCGCCGCCCGCUCCGGAUACAAAGCCUGAGCCUGCCACGGAUACAAAGCGGGAGCGUGCCACCAAGAACGCUAGGCCGCCGCCCGCUCCGGAUACAAAGCCUGUGCCCGCUCCGGAUACUAAGCGGGAGCGUGCCACCAAGAACGCUCCGCCGACGAUUCCUAAGCCUACAAAGCCUGAGCCUGCCACGAAUAUAAAGCGGGAGCGUGCCACCAAGAACGCUCCGCCGACGAUUCCUAAGCCACAGAGCACCCCAAAGCGCAAACGGUCGCCCCUCCCAAAGGUACGUCAUGCUAAUCUUCCUAUCGGACCUUAUGAUCGUACCCCCGAGGAAAACACGAGGAUAGCAAAGGAACAUCAUGAUGCGCAGAUGAAAAAGAAGGAACCCGAGCCCCGCCCGGAAUACACCUAGAAGCAAAUAGCAUUUGCAAAAUACUUCACGACCCUUCCAUCACAGUAUGACUUACACCAUAAGCCUGAUGACUAUAUACGCACAUUGCAGAAGGAAGUGAAAAAGAGCAGAUCACGUGCAAGUGCAAGUGGGAGCAAAUCAAGUUCAACUACAAGCAAGAAAAAAUCAGACGUUCCUCAACUUGGACAACAGGCCAAACAGUCGAUCCCACCCCUCAAGGUGUUAACCGAGAAUGUUCCCCCUCCGGUGCAGGGGCUAGCUUUAGAAAGAGCAAAGGAGUUGGCGGCUGCAUGUGGUGUCUCGGUUGAAGAAUUGAUGUCGUCCCAAGAUGACAAGAUACCCAAGGCUGUGGUAGCCCCUAAGCCACAGUUUGUCAUGGGUGAGCCUUUGGCCAGCAAAGAUGAUCUCCCAACAAAUAUGCGUUACUUGCACCAAUGGUACUUAAGUGAAUCAAAGAAUGGGAGAACGAUGAUCGUGCUGAGUGUCGUGCUGAGUGUCCCACAGGAGUACUACGGCCGCCCCGAACAAAUCCAUAUCGACUUUGAUGAACUCUUCCAGAUGUACAAUGGCGACGCCCUCGACAAAUCGCUUAUGAGUUGCUAUUGUCUAUAAGUUUUUCAAUUCGUUGUCUACAUAUAACUUGUUUAGUUAUUUCAAUUCAUUGUCUAUAUAUAACUUGUACUCUAUUAUGCAGAAUGAAGAUUCUGGAUUGUAAAAGUAAGAGCAUCCUAAAUAUUGGGUUUAUUGACCCAGAUAAAAUACAUAUAGCGACGCUAACUAAUUAUCCCAAGAAGACGGAGGAAAACCUUCUAAGGUUUCUAAUAGAUCAAAAUUUCUGUGACCACAUACUGUUUCCAUACAACUUCAGGUGAGGGUCUUUACUCUGUUGUGUCCAUUCACUUAUAAGUGUAAUUGAUAAGUUACUGACACACACGCACACACACACACACACACACACACAUAUAUAUAUAUAUACAUGCUCAGAUCUCCAUAUAAUUGUAUAUAUAUGCUCGCUUGUAAGAUAAGUAUUUCUAUUUAAAUUAUAUAUAUGUAUGCAUAAUUAUUUCUAUUUAAAUUAUAUGAAAACUAAUUCCCGAACACCAAACGAGGCAUCACGUUAAUCUCCCGAACACCUAAACCCUAAAACCCUAAAACCCAAAAAUAAUUUCAUUAAAAAAAAACCGAAAAUAAGCAAAAUCUGGAAAUCUUUAGUCCCGGGCCGUGUAACGAACCGGGACUAAAGGUCCUGCCCGUGGGGCGCUACGAGGCGCCCACGUGGAGCACCUUUAGACCCGGCUUGUAAAAGGGCCGGGACUAAAGGUUAGGCCUUUAGUCCCGCCCCUUUAGUCCCGGUUGGUGAACCGGGACUGAAGCCCCUUACGGGCCGGGGCUAAAGGCCCCGUCCCCACUAGUGCAAUUAGGAAAACAUUACAGAAUCAAUAAGGCGUCAUCCUGAUGUAUUUUGAAGAAAUAAGCACACAAUAGAUUACUCUCUCAUAAAAAAUACAUGAUAUUUUAUUAUGGGAAAAAAAAUAUGAAACUUUGAGAGCAGUUUUACAUGGAAAAAAUAUAUACAAAAUUAUAUGUGUGAAAGUUCUUGCUGGAAAUAUACUGGACCAAAAUUAUGUAUAAAAAUAUGGAAUAAAUAAGCACACAAUAGAUUACUCUCUCAUAAAGAGUUCUUGCUGGAGGACCUAGAGUAGAUUGUUAAGGACCUAGAUGUAGUAAGAUUCCAAGAAAACAUGGUCCGUCCUUAUGUCAGGUUAAUCGGCUCCAAUCGAGAUAACAGAUUUUGCCCUGACAUCAGAUGGGGGCUAAUCAAAUCCCGUCGGAAAGAAAUAUUCGACGGGAAUGAACUGAGCACAUGUACCCGAGUAUCAUUUUUAUUGCGAAUAAUGUGAUACGAAGCUGUAUAUAUAUUGUUCUCGAAAGCUGUCGUUGACUAGCCAGUCCCCCNNNNNNNNNNNNNNNNNNNNNNNNNNNNNNNNNNNNNNNNNNNNNUCCAUCCCCCCCCCCCCCCCCCCCCCCCCCCCCCGAAAACGAAUCUCCGACCCAUCAUUUAUCGCAAGGAUACAAAGCGGAAAAGGUGUUUCUUCGUCGUCAUUAGACCAGACCAAAUGUGCUCAUAUUUCAAGUAGAUCCAUGACAUAACUUUGUGACCUAGAUACUUAUUGCACAACAGAGUUUAUUUUUCACUAUGUGGUUGGUACGGUACCUGUAGUUGAGACCAGUUGAUUAUCUCUCUCUCUCUCUCUCUCUCUCUCUCUCUCUCUCUCUCUCUCUCUAAACAAUAUCUGAAGUUCAACAACCUUACGAGCACUCAUGUGGCAUCUUUAUAAUAUGGGGGAGAUGCAUGCCAAGAGCUUCAAGAUGAUAUGUGCGAACUGUUACAAACCAAGGUGUGGUUUUGCCAACCAUCCAACCGUUGUCCUGCAUGCUACUAGAAUAUCUAGUCAACCUCGGAUGCAGAGAGGAGUCAUCGGAUGCUCCUACUAAGGCUUGUCAUACUUUCAGGUCGAACACGUGACAUCCCUUUAGGUUGAAUCUUGAGCUCGCAUUCCCAAUGCAUCCCACUUCUAUGAAAGUUGUGCCACCCAGCAUCAUUCUUCUACACCCAACCAUUAAAAUGAACCUUGCUCCCACAUCCAUAUCGAGGUCCAAGCAGCUACGCAAGAGAAGGGCAAGCUUUCAUAUUGCUCUGCUAUGAAGGGCAAAGUGCGUAGGUGGAAAAGGUGAUUUUGAGCUUCCCAGUCUAUGGCAUCAACCACCUAGUGCCGCGGUAUUUAUAGUGGUAUGUAGUGUAAUGAGACGGCAUCUAAUAAACGUUGAGUUAUUUGCUUGAGCCCACUAUGUUAGAAUAAAAAAUGAGUUGGCUUUCUGAUAAAAAUUAAUUGCACAACCCUUCUCUUUACAUAAUUGUUCUUUUGGUAUAUGAUAAUUGUGACCCUACUUAAAUAAGCACUGGUAUGCCGCGUCACGCACACAUAUAUUUGGACAAUGUAUUAUGCAAUCACAAGCUAAAUAAGGACGCAUCUUAUAUACUCAUGUGAGUAUGUACUCUCACACAUUCAAUAUACCUCAAAAAUGUAAUUCUAUCACUUUAUCAUUCUCACUAUACACAAUUAAAUCUCGUUUUUUGCAUGUAAAUUAAUCAUUCUGUGGCACUCAGUUUUUACAGUAUACACUUUUUACAUACGAAAAAAAAACAAACUAUUUAAAGUCUAUGGACUCAGACAACAUAACUCGCUUAGCUCCUCGCCUUUGUCAACUUUCGUUGGGAAUUUUAGUCUUUUGAUUAGUGCAGAGCCUGUACCAUGUGCCAUAUAUAGUCACGUGAAUCUUAAUACUAGUUAGUUGUGACCAGUGUGCGUGCGCGUGCGUGCUGGUCGAACCAAUCGAGCACUGCUUCCAUAUAUAAAAGACUUCCAUGAACCAAGAAAGAAUGUGAUCAGGCUGAUCAAGUUCCAAUGCUCAAAGCAAUUCUCUAUAUAAAUUUUGCUAGGAAUAAAAUACAACGCCCAAAUAUAUUUAUGCAACGUAGUGCACAUUAUUUAAGGAACACCAUCAUUUUCGUAUACCAAUAUUUUCUUCUUAAAUAAAUUAUACGUGUAAUAUACAACACUCAUAGAACAAUUUUUAGUAGUCCAGUCGGCGCAGUAGAUAGAAAACCAGACAUAAGUUCUAUGAACAUGGCCUGCAAAACACGAGCAAUUCUUGCACAGAAAAGGGUCUUUAAUUCAUUCUUUCUCGAAGCCCUACUUGCUGCUUUUCUAACUUUAAGGAUGAAGGAAAUAACUACACAUUCAUUAGAUGCCAACUCUAUGGAUGUGAACUUUUGGUUCCGGCAUGUAUCUACACCCUAUAUGCAAAAACAAAUUAAAAUUUCAAUUAAAAGUCAACAAAAUCUGAAAAUAUUUUCAAAAUAAACUUGACCUUUCAUUGUACAUGUGAGAAAAAUUCACAAAAACAAAAUUACAUUUUUGACUUCUUUUCUAAAAAUAAAUUUUCGGUCAAAAUAGCAUGAAUAGUUACCUAUAUAUAAUAACAAAUAAAUUUAUUUAUUUUUGC
rnacentral:lncRNA from 1 species